rnacentral:lncRNA from 1 species
GUAAAUUCACAAAACCAAACCAGUUAUUUUUGGAUUAUGCUUUGCAUGUGAUUAUCAGUAAAAAUAUAUGAAAUAUAAUUUAAAAAGUACGUAAAAAUUAUUUGAUAAUUUUGCAUAUGUUGAUUAAAAAUUGGGAGAGUGACUGCAUGUGAUUUUGUGAUGCAGAUAGUUAAAGUACUAAAUGGAGAUAUGGAACCCAAAACUAUAUGGGUGAGAAGUGAUUGCAAGUACCUAUACAAUGGGUCACCUUACGCUCCAUUUCCUCAAGCUCAGGGAACCUCCAGCUCUUGAGCUCUAUCCAAUACAUGAAUUAUCCUCGCCUUGUAACAAAAAAGUGUGUUCUUGCUAAAUGCACGUGCUUUUCUAAGGGAUCAAUUAAAUAAUAAGAAUGUGUUCCUUGCUGAAUUUUUUUAAAAUAUUAAUAAUGAUUGAUAUUGAAUAAUUUUUCAUAUAUAUAUAUAUAUUGGCAGAAUACAUAAUAUCCAUUACGUAUUAUUUUAAAACAAAGAGAUAAUAUGCAACAUAUAUAUAUACACAUAGGUAUGGUUGGUAAUAAUUUAAUAAAUAAUUUUAGUUAAAAAUUUAUAUGAAUUAAAUUUAAUAAUAAAUAAUAAUUUUAUUAGAUAGAUAAUUCAAAAUUUUUUAAAAAUUUCAAAUUAAUGAAAUUUAAAUUUUAUUAAUUAAAUUAAUUGUAGAAUUCAUAUAAAUUUAAAAUUCUUAAUUUUUCUGUUUAAAUUCUUAGAAUUAUUUUUAUUAUAAUUCUUUUUUUUUAAAAAAAAUGUGAUUCUACGGAUUAAAAUUAUAACGGUUUCAUAAAAAAAUAUUUUUUCUUUUUAAUUAAGCAAAAUUUAUAAAAAAAAGUAUUAAAAUAUUUAUAAUAAUAUGAAUAAAAAGUAAUGUACUAAAAAAAAGUAAAAUUUUAUAAUAUAUUACAUUUAGAAAUAAAAUAAAAAUUAUUCAAUCAAAUAUUAAUUUUAUUGAAUUAUUAUCUAUAAUAAAUUUAUAUUGAAUUUUAUUAUUUUUUAGUUUAUACUACAUAUGAGUGAAAGGGGUGACAAGUAAUUAAUAAAAUUAUUUAAAAUACUCAUAUUAUAUUUAUUAUAAAUUUAUUAUUAGUUAAAAUUUUAAUUUAUAAAUAAUUAUAAAAUAUGAUAAAAUUUAUUACUAUUCGUAAUAUUUAUAAUAUGUAGAUUAGAUCAUAUAUAUCAAUGCCAUUUUAAUAUUAAAUAACUUUGUUAUUAUUUUUAUAUUAAUUUUUUUUUAUAUAUAAAACCAGUGAUAAAUAGUUAUUCAAAAUAAGUGGAUACUUUCAUUGGAUAAUUUCAAAAAAAAAAAAAAAAAAUUCAUUGGAACUUAGAAUAAAGAGAAACUCAUUAAUAAACUUAUAAUAUGCAUUACACAAAAUGAUGUUAACCGAAGGCCACAUGCUGCGAAUUCUACGCUCAACGUCAACGUUAAUUUUUUUUUUUAUUUUUUUAUUAAAAAAAAAAAAUGAAAACGAAGGUCCUAACUGUCUUCCUUCAUCCUUCUUACAUCUCCCUCUUUAUCUCUGACCAUUCGCAUUCACACUCCAUAAGAACUCUAUUAUAUAUACUUGCAAAAAACCUCUGGCCGUGGUUGCACAAGUCUGCAACUUCUGAUGGCCAAUCGCUUGGGGAUGAACGGGGAAGAUCACCGGAUUGAAACUAGAGGUAUUAAUUGUUUUUAGCUGAAACUGUUGUGCCAAAUAGUAAUAGUUUCAUGGAGAUUUCAUUUCAUCUAACUAAUUGAGGCAUGUUGUUUAUUGAUUGCUCACUAAGCACAGAUCAGAAUGAAUCUGGCUCAUCUCCAGAGAAGACUAUUGGGCCAAAGUCAUAUUCAUACGGUGAACUAGCAAGGGUAACCGGUCAUUUCUCGCUCAAUAAUCUAAUUGGUCGAGGUGGUUUUGGUCAUGUUUUCAAGGCAUUCUUAGAUGGUGAGAUUCGUGCUAUCAAAAGACUUGAUUUUCCAGAUGUACAGUCUGAAGGAGGUUUGGAGAGGGAGAUUAUGGUCGUCAAAAGCAUCAGUCACAAAAAUCUCGUUGAACUAGUUGGUUACUGCAUUGAUGGAGCCAAUAGGUUGCUUAUUUUAAACUAUUUUCCAAAUGGAUCCUUAAGAUCUAAAUUACACGGUGAGUCCCAUAUCCUUUCUUUUACUUUUAUGACAUGAAUAAUCUUGCAAAUUACAAAUGCUAUUGUAGGAAGUGGGGAUGUUUUGGAUUGGAAAAAAAGAAUGAAGAUCGCUAUAGCUUCUGCAAAAUGAUUGGAAUAUUUACAUGAACACUGUGAGUAUAUACUACUACAUAUUCUUACUUGCAGGAUUUUAACCUUUGAGUGUGAAUUUAUUUAUUUUUGUUUAUAUUGAUAAUUUCUUUUCUCUCAAAUAUUUAUAUUUUAUAUUAUUUUCAGGUAAACCUAAAAUUAUUCAUUUAGAUAUCAAGCCGGAUAAUAUUUUUCUUGACGAAGAUUUUGAACCUAAAGUAAGAUAAUUUUAUAACAAAUAAACAUUUUAUUUAUAUCAUCUAUAAAAUAAAUAUUUUAUUUAUAUCAUCACAUUUGUAUAGUAGAACUUUCAUCAUUCAAUAUCGAAAUUUUAUUUUUAAAUAAUAUUAAAAAAUUAUGUCAACUCCUUAAUUAUAUAAUUUAAUUUUUGUAAUUAAUUAAUAAAUCUAGAUUCUAAUUUUUUUUGGUUUGGCCAUUUUGGCUUGUUUUAAUAAAAUUUAUUGCUUAUAAAAAAAAUAAUAAAUCAACCUUAGUAGGUUUCUUGUCUUUUGUUUUUUCAUGAUUUAAUAUUUUCUUAAUAAACUUGAUUGAAGUACGGAAAAUUGUGUAAUUUACCAAAUAAAAAGUGUAAAAGUAUAUUCAUAGAGAAAAAUAACUUUAAUUUUAAAUUAAGAUAUGUAUAUAAAUGGCAUAAUAAAUUUAUUAAUUAACUUAAAUAAUUUGUUUAGAUAACAGAUUUUGGACUUGCUCAAUUUUUUACCGACGGUGCUACUCACAUAUCCAAAUCAUCAGUUAUGGGAACCCAUGUGUAAGAUAUAAUUUUCUUUCUAUCAUUUAAUUGCAUUGCUAUUAUUUUCUAUUUUUUCAAUACCAUUAUUAUCUUCUCUUAGAAUAGUUUAAAAUAAAAUAAAUAUUAAAAUAGAUAAAAUAAUACAUAAAAAAUAUAAGUAGUCCUUAAUUUGAUAGUAUUAAUAAUUUUAGUAAAUUCUUUUGCAGUUAUGAAGAUCCACUAACAAUAAAAUUGGAGAAAUAUUCUGAUAAAUCUGAUAUUUAUUCUUUUGGAGUUACACUUUUAGAAUUGAUUACGGGAAGAAAACCUAUAGACAACGGCAUUGACAUUGUUACUUGGGUAUGACUCUAUUUGUUUUAAUAAAACUAUGAUAUAAAAAUUUUGAAUUUAGAUUUCAAUUGGAAUUAUUUAGAUUUUAAUUCAAUGCAUUUAUGAUUUAUUAAUAAAUAAUUUUUUUAAUUAAUAUUUUGUAGGCAAAUUAUCUAAUUAAAAAGGCUUUGGAGGGAAGAUAUACCAAUUUUAUAGAUUUCAAUUUACAAUCUUUUGACCAUUAACAAAUGUAUCGAAUGAUUUCUUGUGUUAAUUCUUGUCUAAAUCAACCUCCAAAUUCUCGUCCAACAAUGGAAAAGGUAAAAUUUUUCACAUAACUAAUCUCAAAACUAUAUAUAUUAUUUUUAAGUUUGUAAUUAUUUUAUUGGCAUGCUAUGUAGAUAUAUCUAGUUCUCGAAGAAAAAUCGCCUUCAGAAGAAUUAUACGAUCAUGAAUUGGAAUGGAGUAUUAUUCUAUGCUCUUUUAUGUUAAUUUAUUAGAAAUUAUAUGCAUAUUUAUACUAAAGCUUGAUUUAAUUGAUGCCUAAAUUAUUUUUCAUUUAAUUUCUGUCAUAUCUUAACAUUAGAAAUAAAUGUUAAUUUUCAACUGCAUAAAUAUUAAUUUUUUUAAUUUGAAAUGUAGAAUAAAUUAGUUUUUUUAGUCAAAAUUUAUAAAUAUUAAUGAAAUAUAAUUUGUAUCUUAUAAUUAUUCAAACAAAUGUAAAAACAAUGAUGAAUAUUUUUACCUUAAAGCUUUAAAGCAUAAAUCUAAAAGUUCAUACAUAAUUUCUUAAUCGUUAAUUUUGUCAAAUAUUGAAUUAAAUCAUAUAGUUAAUAUUUAUAGGAUUGAAUAGUUUCAAGAUUAAACAUAUAAUUUUAUUUGAAUUAGAAGAAUAUAAUUACUUAUAGGGUUAUGAUUUAUCUUAUUAAUUAAUUUUAAUCAUCAUAUGAAACAAUAAAGAAAAUCAUUUAUCAACCGAAAACCUCCUUUGUUCCCUAGUAUGAAGGAUGCAAAAUUAAAAACUAACAUUUCUUAAAAAUGAAUAUGUAAUUACAUUUACAUUUAAAUUUGUUAAGAGUUUUUUAGAAUUAAAAAUAUAUUUUAAAUUUUAAAUAUUUAAUUUAUUAAUUAGGAAUCAAUAUGUAAGUUAAUUAUUAUAAUUUAAAAUUAGAUAAAUAAAAAAUAAUCUUUAUUAAGAUUUUGCAUAAAGUAUUUAGCUAGGAUACAAUAUAUAUUACUAGCUUAAAUGAUUCAAGAUCGAUUUGAUGUUUUUCCCUCAAUUUUCUUUCAGAGUUAUAAAUUAUAUUAAGAAAACAAAAAUCUAGUUCCACAAAUAAUAUUUCUCCUUAUAGAGCUGCACUAAUUUUUUUUUUGUUUUUUUGGGAAGCAGACGAGCCUAAGCCAAAUCCCAAACCUUUUAUCUUUCAAGAAACUAAUAAUUAUGGCACACGAGAUCGUGGACAUGCCAGUCGACGAGCAACAAAAGCAACAAGUUAUGGUUCCUCCAACAUCAUUCCAGAAACUUCAUUUGAUGAGAUGGAUCGUUUUCCCAAACCCAUCGUCAUUAGGAGAAGAUGAAUAUGUUACAUUCAAUAAAAACCUUAAACCUUUCCCUUCUUAUUUUUCAUAGACCAGAGUUCUCCUUAUCAUUUUAAGCUUUUCUCUUUUUAUUAUUUUCUUUAAUGGAUAACUUAUUAUUUUAUUUUCUAUAUUGAAUAUGACCGAUCUUAAAAAUAAUUCUCUUUUUAUUCAUAUAUUUUUUUCGUUGAUAAUUUAAUAAAAAUUCAUCGGUGAAUAAUAUGAUCUAUUUUUAAAAGUCUUACUGAUAAAUUUGUACCUGGAAUCUAUUAUGGAAUCCACUAGUAAAUUUUUACCCUGAACUUUUUUUCAAGCUCACGAGAUCAGUUGGAAAAUUGUUGUCUUUAUUUGUCCUCUAUGAAUAUACAAUGGUUCCACAAAAUAGAUAUAUACACUAACUGCAUGUCAUGGUUUGCUUAGAUGAUGAAUCUAGCUCAUACUUUGAAAAAAGGUUGAUUAAAUUGAAGAAUCUGGCUCAUUGCAUGAGAAGAAUUAUAAGGGUUUUGGGCUGAAGCAACUAGCGGUGGCAAGAAGUGCAUCUGACAUUUAUAGGCGUAUAAUGAAUUAGCAAAUGCAACAGGUUAUUUCUCGCUCAAUAACCAAUUUCGUCAAAUUUCAAGGGACUCUUAGAGGGCAAGAUUUGUGCUAUUAAUUAAAUAAAAUUUUAGGAACUAUGUUAUAAUUUACUGUUAAUUUUUUUAAAAUUAAUUUAAUUCUCCUAAUUAUAAUAGUGAUAAAUUGAAAAAAUGUUUAAUUUUAUUAUUUAAAAUUUAAAAUUUUAGAUAUAAAUAUGAAUUAAUAUAAAUAUUUAAAUUUUUUAUUCAAUAAAUCUUUCAAAAAAUAUGUGACAUGAUAUAUAGAUUAAAAUUUUUUUUAUCAAAAUUGAUUGAGAUUAAUAGUUAAAAUUAAGAUAAAUGUGAAAAUAUUAAUUUUAUUUUGAUUGAGAUUAAUAGUUAAAAUUAAGAUAAAUGUGAAAAUAUUAAUUUUAUUUUGAUUGAGAUUAAUAGUUAAAAUUAAAAUAAAUAUGAAAAGAUUAAUUUUAUUGUACAAAAUUUUAAAAUUAGAAUAUAAAUAUGAAAAAUCAUAAAUUUUUCCAUUUUUUAUCUAAUAGACUUUUUCUUAUUAGAUAAAUUAGUCGACACCAGCAUGUUGCCUAAAUUUUAAUGGGUAAUUUAUGAUUUAGUCCCUGGGUAUUACCAUUAUUAACAAAUCAGUCCCUGUAUUUUUAGAAACCUAUUAAAACGUCCUUAUGUUUUCUCUCCGUCAACGAAAUAGUCCUUCUGUCUAUUUUUGCCGUUAAAAAUAUAGUAAAAGACUAUAUUACCCCCAUUAUUUUUCUCCUUCUCCUCCUCCUUCCUUUUCUUCUUCAUCAAUUCUUCUUCUUCUACUUCUUCUCCUUCUUCUUCUGCUUCUUCUCCUUCUUCUCCUUCUUCUUCUGCUUCUUCUCCUUCUUCUUCUUUUGCUUCUUUUUCUUCUUUCUCUUCUUCUUCUUCUUCUUCUUCUCAUUCUUCUUCUUCUUUUUCUUCUUUCUCUUCUUCUUCUUCUUCUUCUUCUUCUUCUUCUUCUUCUUCUUCUUCUUCUUCUUCUUCUUUUUCGGAGGAGGAGGAGGAGGAGGAGGACGAAAGAAAAGACAGGGACUAUUUCGUUAACAAAAAGAAACGAUAAGGACAUUUUAAUAGAUCUGAGAAAAGAUAGGGACUAUUUAGUUGACAAAAAGAAACAAUACGGACGUUUUAAUAGAUUUCUAAAAAUAUAGGGAGGGAUGAUUUCGUUGAUAGAAAAAAACGAUGAGGAGGGACUAUUUCGUUGACAUAAAAAAAGAUAAGAAUGUUUUAAUAGAUAUGAGAAAAGAUAGGGACUAUUUCAUUGAUGGAAAAAAACGAUAAGGACGUUUUAAUAGAUAUGAAAAAAGAUAAAAAUAUUUUAAUAGAUUUUUGAAAAUGUAAGGACUAACUUGUUAAUAAUUGUAAUAUACAAGGACUAAAUAAAUGGUUUUAUUUGAGGGUAAAAUUGGAUUUUAAAAAUUUUCUCUCUCCUCCUUUAUCUAAUUUUAACGGAAAAUAGGACGGAAGGACUAUUUCGUUGAUGGAAAUAAAACAUAAGGACGUUUUAAUAAGUUUUUAAAAAUACAGGGACUGACUUGUUAAUAAUGGUAAUACCCAGGGACUAAAUUGUAAAUCACCCAAUUUUAAUUAUACAGUUGUUAAUUUUAUUGAUAAAGAAUAAAAAACAAAAUUUUUUAUGGUUAAGUGGUAUCGAAGUUGCAAUAGGAAUAAAAAGAUCUCAAUUUUUCUUAUAAAAUUUCAAAUCAAAAUUUUUAGUCAAAGUAUCCUACCAAGUUAUUAAAUUGUUUAAUUAAUCUUUUGCAUUUAUUUUGAAUAACAAUACAAAUAAAUUUCAUUAUUAAUUAAAUCAUCAAAAUCCAUAUUAUAUUUUUAGUUUUUAACAUUAUGCUAAUUUGUAAAGAUAUGGGAUCUAUUCAUUAAAGAUAUGUGUAAUAUAAUUAUUUUCAUGACUAUACGUAGAGAUUACAUUAGAACAAGCAAUAUAUUGGGCACCCGGAUAAAAAAGAAACACAACAGUUUAGAUUUUUAGUAAGUUUAUUUACAAUAAUUAAAUUAAAUGUAAGAUUAAAUAAAUUUAACAUGGAUGAUAAAAUAAUAAAAUGAGUAAACUUAACCGCCUCAGAACACUCAACAUUAUAUUGCGACUCAUCAGCUAUGGUUACACUACAAGAAAUUAAAUUGCUAUGAUGGAAAUCGUCACAAAAAAUUUUAUUUUUGUCAUUAAAAAUUUAUUGUGAUAAAAUAUUAUAGUCACCGUAACCGUAACCAUGUAAUAAAAUGUAUACUAUGAUAAUAAUAAUAUUUAUCAUCAUAAAAAAGUUUUUUUAUAACGAAACUAUUUAAUUAUUAUGAAAUUGUAUAUUUAUAGUGAUAUAUAGUUUUUCACAAUUUAUAUCUAUUUUUCGUUAUUUAUUAUUUUUAUUUGUCAUUAAAAAUAUACUAUUUUAAUUAUGAAUGGUUCGUUUUGUCACUAAAUUAUUGACCAUGGACAUGUAAAAGGAAAGAAAAGAAAGCAAACAAGCCCACAGACAUCAAGAAAAGGAAAGAAAAGAAAGCAAACAAGCCCACAGACAUCAAGUAAAGAGAGCACAACAAGCCAAUCUCGAAAAACCAACGAAAAAUGUCUAGAUAGAACAAACCCAAACAGUUUCGAAACACUACACUCACAAAAACAACGCGGCAGAACUCUCAACAAAAGUGGUGAUCGUAGUGGUGAGACCCAGUUCAUGAAUAUAGUCACUUAGCAUUAGCAUAAGUGUAUACAUUCAUAUGUGUAGGUGGAAAUCAUUCUAACCUUCUCAUUUGCGAUAAUAAACAAUAAACAACUUGCUAUCUUUACGAGACUUUUAUAUUUAAUUUUUUAUUUUCAUAAUUUUCUAUUGCCCUCAACACCAAAUUAAUAUGUCAAUUAUUGAAUUUGACUCUCUUUCUCUCUAACCCUUGAGUUGGAUCUUAGUAUAAAGUAUAAAGUAUAAAGAAACUGUUGAACGAUGAAAUCUGUGAAUAAUUCAGUUGUUGUAUAUUUUUCUCCGGAAAGGAGGUUAUAUAUAGAUACAUUUACAACACAAAAUCAGAAAAGAAAAAAUGAAGCAAUCAUAUUCUAAGAAAACAAGAUAAGUCUGUACAGAAAACAAUAUAUAUCAGAUCUGUUAAUUGUGCAAAUCUCUAUAAUUACGUAAUCUACUCCUAAUUAGGCAGAUUAUUCCAACACUCCCCUCGAGUUGGAGUAUGGAUAUCUAUCAUGCCCAACUUGUCAACCAUAUCAUAGAAUAUAUUCUCAAACACUGCUUUUGUGAGUAUAUCAGCUAACUGGUCUUCUGACUUGACAAACGUGAACUGUAUAAUCUUCUAGUCUAGCUUUUCCUUGAUGAAAUGCCAAUUAACUUCAACAUGUUUGGUGCGAUCAUGUUGUACGGGAUUCUGUACAAUCUCAAUUGCAGCCUUGUUAUCGCAGAAAAAGUUUCAUUGAGCUUGCAUUGUCUAUUCCCAAUUCUUUUAGAACGCUUUUAAUUCACAAUAGCUCGUAUAAACCAUAUGACAUACCUUUGAAUUCGGCCUCUGUACUUGACUGCGUCACAACCUUUUGUUUUUUACUUCUCCAUAUAACUAGAUUCCCUUCCACGAAGGUAAAAUAACUCGAAGUAGAUCGCUUACCCAAUCAACAUCCGUGUAUCCUUCAAUGUCUGAUGUACCAUUUUUUGAGAAUAAUAGUCCCUUGCCUAGAGCCCUCUUCAGGUAUUUCAAGAUCCGGCAUACUGCAUUCAUAUGUUCUUCACUUGAUUCAUGCAUGAAUUGACUUAUAACACUUACAGUAUAUGCUAUAUCUGGCCUCGUGUGAGUCAAAUAGAUCAAUCUCCCAACCAAUCGUUCAUAGCGUCCCACAUCUGUUGGAUUUUGUUCUAUAAACAAACCGAUUUUAUGCUUCACCUCCGUCGGAGUUUCUGCUGAUUUGCAGGCAAGUACUCCAGUUUCAAUCAACAAAUCCAGAAUGUACUUCCGCUGUGAAAGGAAAAUUUCUCGUUCUGAUCUUGCUAUUUCAAUACCUAAGAAAUAUUUAAGUUGCCCAAGAUCCUUCAUUUUAAAUUCAGCAGCCAAAUAGUCCUACAAUAACUUCAUUUCACAAUGAUCAUCUCCUGUUAAGACCAUAUCAUCGACAUACACAAUUAAAGCUGAUACCUUUUCUUCUUUGUGUUUGAUAAAUAAAGUAUGGUCUGAAUUACUCUGUUUAUAACCAAAUGCCUUCAUCAUUGAAGUGAACCUCCCAAACCAAGCUCUAGGUGAUUGUUUAAGCCCAUACAAUGAUUUCUUCACCUUACAAACUUCAUUUCUGUUUGAAGUACUCCGUUUAACUUCCAGUGGGACCUCAAUAAAGACUUCCUCCUCCAAAUCUCAACUAAGAAAAGUAUUUUUAACAUCAAAUUGAUUCAUAGGCCAACCUCGAUUUGCUGCUAUAGAAAUAAGGAUACGAAUUGUGUUGAGCUUAGCCACCGUUGCAAAAGUCUCCUGAUAGUCUACUCCAUACUUUUGUGUAUAUCCUUUUGCAACCAACCUCGCCUUAUAUCUAUCAAUACUUCCAUCUGCUCUAAGUUUCACAGUGUAUACCCAUCUACAUCCAACUGUCUUCUUUCCUUCAGGUAGAGGAACAAGUUUCCAUGUAGAAUUCUUUUGUAGGGCCUCCAUCUCUUCGUUCAUCGCCUUUGUCCAUUUUGGAUAUGCUAAGGCAUCCUGCACACUACUAGGAAUAGAUACUUUGGAUAAUUGAUUAAUAGUAAAUGCAUAUGACUUGGACAAUCUAUGAGUAGAAAGAUAAUUACUAAUUGGAUACUUGACAUUGUCUCUAAGGUCAGGUUCAUACUGUUUCCUUGGUAUACCUUUAUUUGAUCUUUGUGGAUAUCUAGGAGGCAAAUUGUCACAAGAGUUACUUAUUUCAUUACACUCAUCAAGUAUAGGACUCGGGUUUACCUGAGUAGAAAUGUUGGUGUCUAGGUCUGAGUUGAUUCUUUGGUUGAUGGUGUUAUCAUGGGCAACUUUUCAGAUGUUGGUGAUUCUUCAGCAGACGUUGGUAUUUUAAUUUUUUAGAAGGAACUAAUAAAUCUUCAUCACAUCUUUUAGGGAGACCUUGCUGACUGUUACGUUGAAAACUUUCACUUACUUCCUCUAGUUCUAAGAAAUCUGUCAUUAUUUCUUGUGGCACAUCCUCUUCACUAAAGCUCUCCCCCUAAAGAGAAGGAGGUGUGACUCCCCCUGAAUAGUAUGGUUCUGAUUCACGAAAGGACACGUCCAAGGUCACAUGUAAUCUUUUUGUGUGUGGAUCAUAGCAUCGGUAUCCCUUUUGGAAAUCAGAGUAGCCAACAAAUACACAUCGUUUAGCACAAGGAUCAAGUUUAUUCCACAAAGUUUUUGGAAUAUGGACAUAUACUGUACAACUAAAAACCCUUGAUUCAAGAUUUGGGGCAUGUGGCAGUGAGAAGAAAGCUUGCAUCUUUUAUUGAGGAGUUCGGAAAUCAAGUACGCGAGAGGGGACCUGAUUAAUUAGAUAAAUAGCAGACUUCACUGCUUCUCUCCAGUAGAACCAAGGCAUAUUCAUGCCAAAGAGAGAAGUAAGAACAACUUCCAUGAUUUGCCUAUUUUUCCUUUCUGCCAAGCCAUUUUGUUGUGGAGUAUAGGUGUUAGAAGUAUGAUGUCGAAUCCCUCUUUUGUUUAGAAACUUCCCACAGAUUGUAUCCAAGAACUUCAGUGCAUUGUCAGUUUGCCAAACACGAAUCUGCCUUUGAUAUUGAGUGCCCACCAUAUUGUAGAAUUCCUGAAAUGCUGUAAGAACAUCACUUUUUUUGUGAAGUAGAGACACCCAAGUCAUUCGCUUGCACUUAUCAAUGAAUAUAACAAAAUAUUGUGCUUUAGAAAUAGAAGGAAUCUGUGCAUGGCCCCAAACAUUAGAAUGUAUAAUCAUAAAUGGUUCAGAACAUUUAUUUAAGUAUGAUAAAUAAGAAAUACGGUGACUUUUGGCCAAUUCGCAAAUAUCACAAUGAAACUCUGAAAUAUUCAAAUUUGAAAAAAGAUGUGAUUGCAAUUUCUUAAGAUAUCCAAAUGAAAUAUGUUCUAAUCGUCGAUGCCAUAACCAAAUAGUUGCUUGAGGUUUGUCUUUACUAUUCGUUUGACAUGCAAUGUUAUUUUUCUGUUGUCCAUUAUCUGUCAGAUCCAAGUAAUAGAGUUUGCCCCUUUUAACACCAUAACCAAGAAUCUUCCGGGUUAGAAUAUCCUAAAAGACACAGAAUGAGGGCCAAAAAGUUAUAGUACAUGCAAGAGAAGAGGUUAUUUGGCUAACCGAUAAAAAGUUAUAUUCAAGAGAUGAAACAAUCAAGACAAUAUCUAGAGUAAGGGUACUAGACAAGAUGACUGGUCCUUUUCUAGUAAUUGGAGAAGUACCACCAUUAGCGGUAGAUAUAACAGAUUGUGAAGAAGUACAAAUAGAUUAUAACUGUCCUGAAUCUCUAGUCAUAUGAUCAGAUGUACCUGUAUCAAUAAUCCAAGUAUUAUUCUUAGAAGUUGUAGAGAGUACCUUUGCCUUACCAACAAUACCUGGGUGGGUAACGUUAGCUGUAGGUUGUAAUUUGUCCUCCGUAUUUUAUUGGAUUUCUGUUGUGGCUGAAUAAUAAUGGUGUUGGGGAAUACAAAAUACGAUGUUGCAGAUGGUAAACUAUGGUGGUGGUUUCAAGAUAUGAAAUUCGAUUGGAGAAUACAAAAUACGAUGUUGCAGAUGGUAAGAUAUGGUAAUGGUUUCAAUAUAUGAAAUUCGAGAAACAAUUCUUCCAGGAUCAGAAUUGCUCUGAUGCCAUGUUGAACGAUUGAAUCUGUGAAUAAUUCAGUUGUUGUGUAUUUUUCUCCAGAAAGGAAAUUAUAUAUAGAUACAUUUACAACACAAAAUCAGAAGAGAAAAAAGAAAGCAAUCAUAUUUUAAGAAAACAAGAUAAAUUUAUACAGAAAACAAUAUAUAUCAGAUUUGUUAAUUGUGCAAAUUCCGAUUACAUAACCUACUCUUAAUUAGGCAGUUUAUUCCAAUAGAAACCUUAAUCAUUGGGGUUUUUUUUUUUCUUAAAAGAAAGUAAGUUAAAAGGUAAAAUGCACUUUAGAAGUCAUGCAUAAUACACAUAAAAAUAUAUCAACAGGGAGUGAGGUUUUAAAAAUUUUAAUAAUUAAAAAAAAAAGAAUAAUUAAGAUAGAUAAAUGAAGGGAAAAGAAAAAUUGAUAAACUACUUUUUUUUUUUGAAUCAAAUUGAUAAACUACUUUUCAUCUAUUUAUAUUAUUUUUCCUCUUUUACUAUUUUUUAAAUUGAAUUUUCUAUUUUAUUUUUCACUGAAAUAAAAGGAAUUAUAAAUGUAUUUUAUUAAAAUUAUUUAUUUAUAAGAAAAAUAAAAAGCAAAAAAGAAUAAAAAUAAUAUUUUUUCAAAUACAAAUUAAAAAUUAAUUAAAUAAAAUUUCAAAUUUUUUAAAAUUACUUAAAUAUAUUUAUUACUAAAUUAAACUUUUCUGGGUGUAAGAAAAACAUUAUUUAUAAAGUCAAUUCAUAAAAUGUCACUAUUAAUUUUUUUUUGGUUUAAAUAAUGGAUACUUUCUGAUUGUCGCAUUAAGUCAUUGAUGGGACCCAUGAGCCCAUGUCUAUUUAUCACUAAAAAAAUAUUUACCACAUGCUGCGCAUUAAUAAAAAGAAACUCAUUAAUAAAUUUAUAUGCAUUUCACAAAAUGACAUUGACUCGCCUCUGGAGGCCACAUGCUGCCCAUUCUACGCCAACUUCAACAUUUUAUAUAUAUGUAUAUAUCUUUUUAAAGGAAAACGAAGGUCUGAAUGCUAAAGUUACCUACCGUCUUCCAUCACCCUUUCCACAUCUCCCUCUCUAUCUCUGACCAUUCAUUCACACUGAAUAUACUUGCAAGAAAGCUCUGGUCGCGGUUGCAUAAGUCUGCACCUUCUGACGACCUCUAGCUUGGGGAUGUGUGCAGUUUUUUUUAUUAAUUUUUAUAAUAUUUUUAUAUAUUAAAAAUAAUAAAAUAUAUAAAAUAUAAUAAUUAUGUAUUAGUAAAUUUAUAAUUGAUAAAUAAAUUUAUAAUUAGUAUUAUUAAUUAUAAUAUUAUUAUAAUAAUAUAUUAAAAUUAAUAAAACAUAUUAUAAAAAAAUUAUUGUAAUAAAAAAUAUAAUAUAAAUUAAAUUAAUAUAAUAUAAAAAUAAUAUAUUAAUUAAUUAAUAUAAUUAUAAUAUUUUAAUAAUUAAAAAAAUUAAAUCAUGGGAGCUAGGCCAUGAUUACUACGAAAUUACUAAUAAAUUAUAUUAAUUUUAUAAAUGAUAUAUUAUUCUAUUUUAAAUUAAUAUGGAAUUGAAUAAAAUUGUAUUUAAUUAAAAUGUUAAAUAUAAUUAAAAAUUUAAUUUGUUUGAAAUUAACUUUUGCACUAAAAUAUGAAUUCAUUGGAUUAACUUUUGCAAUAAAAAUAAUCAUUUUUGUCAUAUAAGUUGUUGGGUUGACAAUUAAUAUCACCAGCCAGUUUCAAUUAAAACAUAUUACUAAUCCCAUUUAGGAAGGACAAAAAUCGUACCAGAAUUAAAAUUAUAUUAACUAUUAACUAAAAUUAACUUUUAAAAAUUAAAUUUCAAUGGCACUCACAGAUUUAAUCUAGUAAUAAGUGCAUCUAAGUAAAUUUAAGAAAUCUUAGAUUUUAUUUCUCAAUUUUCAAUUUUCAUUUAAAAAAAAUUAAAUUUCAAAUAAAACAAAACUUUUUUUACAUAAAAUAAAAAAAAUUACUAAAUUUUGAAAAAAAUUAAAAUUAACUAAAAUUCGAUACUAAAGGGAUUUUAUAAUGUAAUUUUGACUAUUAGAAUCGUUAAAUAUAUAUUUAUAUUCCUGCAUUAUAUAUUUAAAAUAAAUUCAUUGAACACUUAAGUUAAGACUGUAACUCAUUGCAUAUCUAAUUUAUAAAAUUCUACCAAUUAAAUAUUAAAUAAUUAUAUUAAAAUUUAUUUAUAUAAAACAUUCCAUCGAAUUAUACUGUAGAUCUUGUUCGCCAUAUUUUAAAUUUUUUAAAUGAAAAGAUUUCCCUUUAUAAAGGAGAGUAAUUUUAUUAUUUUAUAAAAAUUUAAAGUAAUAUCGAUAAAUCUAGAAUAUAAUUAAACAAUAAUAAAUGAAAUUAAUUUUUACUUUUUAUUUAUAAGCUAUAGAUAAAAUGAGUAAUUUACAUAUUCAUGUACGAUUAAAUAUUCAAAUAUGUUUUGAUUAUAGUUUUAGUAUUAAGCCUUUAUUUAUUUAUAAAAUAUAAUAUAUAUUUGAAAAAUAUUUUUCAUGUGAAAUAAUAUUAUAUUAUGUAAAAUGAGAGUAAUUUUUUAUUUUAUGAAAAUUUAAAGUAAUAUUAAUAAAUCUAGACAUAAACAACAAUAAAUGAAAUUAAUUUUAUUUUUUUUACACUCUAAUUUAGAGAUAAGUAGUUUUCUGUUGAAAUUAAAAAAAUCGAUCGAACUAAAUUAAUUUAAAAAUUUAGUGUAGUUUUUUAUUUUUUUUCUGUUUGGUUCGAUUUUUAUUUUUAAAAUUUUUUAUUAUUUCAAUUCAAUUUAAUUUUGAUAAAAAAAAUUGAUAAAAUUAAAUCAAACCGAUUAGUGAUAAUAGUAUAUUAAUUUUUUCCAAUAUAGAAAUAUUAGAUUAUAUUUAAAGUUGAAAUAUUUCAAUUAAAUUUUAAAAUAUUAAAACAAAAGUGUUAAAAAUAAAAAAUCUCAUUAAAACGUCUAAUCAAUUAAGCUAAAUCAAAUCAAAUCAAAUUAUAUCAGUUUAUAUUUAAAUGGUUUCUAUUUAAAAUCGAUUUGAUUUAAUUUUUAUAAACUCUAAAUUUUUAAUUUUUAAUUUUUUCAAUUCGAUUUGAGUUUAAACCGAACUGACGAAAUGUUACCUUAUAUGCUAUUGAUAAUAUGAGUAAUUUAAAUUUAAUUUUCAUGAUUCAUAUACAGUUUAAGUAUUAAGCCUAGGGAGCUUUUUGGCCAAGUUUCCCUCUGCGGUCCCUUUUUCUCUUCUUAAAUCUAACUUCUUCUUUCAUUUCCCCCAUGGAAGACGAUUUGCGUUAAUUGACUAUCAAAGUGGUUCAUCCCGUCAAAGGUGAGGAUAACCCAAAGCAAUGAUCAUCCUGUGUUGGAAUUGCCGAGGACUCGACAAUCCUCGGACAGUUAAUGCAUUGAAGGAUUUGGUUACUAGUUACAAGCCGGACAUUUUAUUUUUUAUGGAAACAAAAGCUCUUAGCUCUCGUAUGAAAUUUUUUCGUAGUUUUUUACAUUUUAAUGGUUGCUUCUCAGUCAAUAGACAAUGAUUGAGAGGAGGCCUUUCGUUAAUGUGGAAGAAUCAUGUGUCUGUUUCUGUGAUUGGCUUUUCUUCAAAUUUUAUUGAUUCGGUUGUUUCGCAAGGUAAUGUCCAAUGGAGGUUUACUGGUUAUUAUGGGUUUCCGAAAUCGCAAUGACGACGUCAAUCUUGGAACCUUAUUCGAGUUUUAUCUCGUAGAAGCUCUCUUCCGUGGCUUUGCUCGGGAGACUUUAAUGAUUUAUGCUCUAGAGAUGAGAAAGAAGGAGGAGCAACUUUACCAAAUUAUCUUAUACAGGGGUUUAAACAGACACUUGAGGACAUUAAUAUUGUUCAAAUACCCACUGUUGGCUCUUUCUUCACAUGGGAGAAGGGCAGAGAGUCGAAUAAUCUGGUUAGAGAGAAGCUUGAUAAAGCCCUUGCUACUGAGGAUUAGACUCGUAAAUUCACUAAUGUUAUCUGCUCGGUUGUUCAUGUUCCUAGAUCAUAUCACAAUCCGUUGGUGAUUAAUACAACUCAUAAGGAUAAUAGGAGAGAUAGAAGGAGAUUUCGAUUUGAUAAUGCAUGGUUAUGUAAUGAGGGUCUGACUGAGGUUGUUAAAGGAGCUUGGAUUAAUUUUAUACCACGCAAUCUUUUGAUGAAACAUGAUGAUUUAGUUUCUGCUCUUUCGUUGUGGGGUAGGAGAAGAAAUAUAGAGUUUUAGCAAAAGAAGAAGACUAUAUGGAAAUUAUUGGAUAAUGGGUCCAGUACUGUUUCUCACGCCUCUUUAAAAGAAGAUUGGAAUCGUCUCCUUGAGCAUGAAGAAGCUAGACUUAAACAGCAGGCAAAGUGCUUUUGGCUUAAAAAUGGGGACCAAAAUAUAAAAUUUUUUCAUGCACAAAUUAAUGGUAGACAAAGAAUGAACCAUAUUACUAAAUUAAAGGAGUCAUCGGGUACCUGGAUUGAGGAUGAGUAGGAAAUUAAAAAUCAUGUUCUGCAUUAUUUAAAGUCUAUUUUUUAUGGCAGUUCUAUGGAUUGUGAACGGAUUUUUAAGUUGGUGUCAUCCUUGAUUAGUGAUGCCGAUAAUGCUGAUCUUUGUGCUCCCUUUUCGAAUGAGGAAUUUAGAGCUACUCUUUUUCAGAUGCAUCCAAACAAGGCACCCGGGCCGGAUGGGUUAAAUCCUGCAUUUUACUAGAGAUUUUGGAACUUGAUUGGCAAUGAUGUUUCUGAUGGUUGUCGCCUAUGGCUUCAACAAGGUACUUUCCUUCUUCUCUUACUGAAACAUUGAGUGUUUUGAUCCCUAAAGUGGAUAGUCCUGAAACUGUUAAGAACUUUUAUCCAAUUGUGUUAUGUAAUGUGUUAUAUAAGAUUAUGGCUAAAGCUUUGGCGAACAGAUUUAAAAGAGUACUUCCUAUGAUUAUCUCUGAGAAUCAGUUUGCCUUUAUCCCUCAUCGGUUAAUUACCGAUAAUGUUAUGAUUAUGUUUGAAAUGAUACACAAUAUGAAAACUAAUAAGGGAAGAAAUGAUGGUAAUUGAGCACUUAAAAUUGAUAUUUCUAAGGCUUAUGAUAUGGUAGAGUGGGAGUUUCUAAAAGGCAUGCUGGAACGAUUUGGUUUUUCUACUCAAUUGAUUAAGUGGUUGACUAUGUACUUUUCGAAAGUCUCUUACAAUAUCAAUUUUGAUGGUGAUUGGAUUGGUCCUAUUGUGCCUGGUAGAGGUAUUCGAUAGGGGAUCCUAUUUCUCCAUAUCUCUAUUUGGUGUGUGCGGAAGGCUUAUCGUUACUAUUUAAAGAUGUUGAAUCUAGAGGCUGGUUGUAGAGCUAUAGAGCAGGUACUAGAUGCCUAAAGAUCUCACAUUUAUUUUUUACAGAUGAUUCUCUGCUAUUUUUUAAUGUUAGACUGGAGGAAGCGUAUAAUAUUAAAUCUAUUCUCAAUACCUAUGCGGCUGCUUCUGGAUAAGUGGUGAGCUUCAACAAAUCUGGCAUUUUCUUUAGUCCCAAUGUGGUCUCCUCUGUAAGGUCUAAUAUCAGUAAUAUCCUGGAUGUUCAUUCACCAUUGAGUCAUAGUGCCUAUAUGGGAUUACCUUCUCUUAUUGGAAGGAACAAAAAUAUAAUUUUUAGUUUUCUGAAAGAAAGAAUGUGGAAGAACACUAAUUCAUGGAGCAACAGAUUCCUAUCUAGAGCAGGCAUGGAGGCUCUCAUAAAAUCUGUGUUGUAGGCUACACCUGUAUAUUGUAUGAAUAUUUUUUUGAUUCCCAUUACUAUUUUGAAAGAAUUGCAUAGAAUGGUCAAUGGCUUUUGGUGGGGGGGGGUAAAAGAGAAAGGCGGAGGGGUAUUAAUUGGCUAGCGUGGGAGAAGAUGUGUAAUAGAAAGAAGGAGGGGAGUAUGGGGUUUCGGGACUUUAGGAGUUUUAAUUUGUCUUUACUUGGCAAACAACUGUGGAGGUUCUUAACAAAUCCUAAUACUCUUUGUUAUAGAGUGUUUAAAGCAAAGUACUUCCCAAAUGGUGAUUUAUUUUCCGCCAAUGUAAGUAAUGGUGCUAACUUUGUUUGGAAAAGUGUGAUGGCAUCAAGGGAGUAGAUUCGAAGGGGUACAAGGUGGAGGGUGGGUAAUGGAGAGAAAUUUUAGUGGCUUCAACUCCCUGGAUUCCUAAGGAGGAUACAUUUUUUGCAGAUGAUGGCACUAAUUUUAUUGAACCAUAUUUGCGUGUUUGUGAUCUUUUUGAAGUUAAUGGGAGGAUUUGGAACAUUGCUCUUUUAAUGGAGUUUUUUUCUUCAAGAAAUAUCAGGGUUAUUAUUUGUAUUCCUAUUAGUAUUACCAAUAAGGAAGAUUCCUUCUUGUGGCACUUUGAUAAAAGAGGUAUGUAUACGGUGAAAUCCGCAUACUUUGUGUGUAUGGACUUGCUAGGAAGAUCACUUUUUAAUAUGGGGGGUGAGUUGUGGACUAGUUUGUGGAAUGUUUCGGUCCCUCCAAAAGUGAAGGAUUUUUAUUGGAGAGCUUGUAGAAAUAUAUUGCCUACAAAGGAUAACUUAAGGCAAAAGGGUGUGGAUGUGAAUGCUAGAUGUCCUUGGUGCUAUGAAGAUGAAAGUGUCAAUCAUAUUUUGUUACAUUGUCCUAUGUCCAAGGAAGUUUGGAGGUUAGGGGCAGUGGGAAAUUUGCAGCCUAAUGAUAAUUUUUUUUUUUUAAUUUUUUACUAUAAAUCUUGAAGUUCUAAGAUAAGGUUCAAAAAACCUUUGUAAUGGUCUGUGCAUGGAGAUUAUGGUCAGUAAGAAACUUAUUAUUAUGGAACCAAGUACAAAAUUCAGCAGCUCACCCUGUGAAAAGAUGUCAUGCAUUAUAUCUCGGAUUGGGAAGCUGCUCAACGUGCUGAUGCUUUGCAUGGAAAUACCACUGCUACUUUAUAUCAGGGCAGAAAUUUAUUUUAUUCUUCCAACCUUGCUUGUGAUCCUGAAGCCAUUCCUCUCCAAAUUCGUGUGUCAUCUCCAAAUUUGGACAAUUUCAGUUGGUUUUGUCAAGUUGAUGGAACUUUAUUUCAUGCUCAAGAUUUUAUUGGAUACAGUUUUGUUGUGAAAAACUCUGAGGGUAUAUUUCAAUGUGGUGUUUCUGGUUUCUCGGAAGGUAAUGGUACGUCAGUAAUUAUUGAAACUUUAGCUCUCCAUCACUGUUUGCUCUUUGCGACGGAAUUUUUGCCUUUUAAUGGCUGCAUUCUUAUGGACCGUUUGUAGGUGGUUCAAACUUUUCAGUCUCCACAUUUAAAUAUCUCUGAACUGGGUUUGAUUUUAAAUGAUUGUAAAUCUUUGUUAGACUUUAGAACUGAUAUUUCUAUUAAAUGAGUUCGUCCUUAUGUCACUCUACCUACUCAUAUUUUGACUAGAGAAUCUAUUAGAUAUGAUCGUCUCUCUAUUUGGGAUUAUAUAUCUCUUUGUUUAAUUCAUGAAAUUUUAUUAAUACCAUAAGUAGUUUUGUUUUAAAAAAAAAGUAUUAAGCCUAGGCCUUUAUUUGUUAGUAAAAAAUAAUACAUAUUUGAAAAAUAUUUUAAUCUAACAUAUUUUUUAAAAAAUAUUUUUCAUAAAAAUAUAUUUAAGAAAAUAAUUUAUUUUUUAUUAUUUAAUUUUUAAUUUUAAAAAUAAAAGAUAAUAAUAAAUUUAUAUACAGUAGUAUUAAUAUAAUUCUGAAAAAAAAAUAAUUUAUUUUUUUAAAAGAAAAUAUCAUGUUCUUUAAAAAUUAUAAAAUUUUUCAUUUGAAAAAAUAAAUUUCCCUUGAUUAAUUUUUCUAAAUAUUUCAAAUUUUAUAAAAUAUGCAUGAAAUAAAGUUUUAAUCCACUAAUUUUAAAUAAUAUAAAAAUGUAAAUAUAUAUUUAAAGUUAUUUUAGAUCUUAGAUAAAAUCAGUUAUUCCAACUCCAACCUUUGGUGGUGGCACUAAUCAAGUAUAUAAGAAAAAUAGUUUUAAAGGGCUGCUUUUAUUAUAAUCGAGUAAAAUUAUAUAGUUAAAUUUUUUUUUUGAAAUGAUAUAGUUAAAUGUUUAACAGGUGAUAUUGGUCAAUUUUAUAUGAAUUUAUUAUAUUAAUAAUGAAAUUAUAUUUAUUAUGUAUGUAAAAGAGUUGUAUUAAAUAAUUAUUUUAAUAUGUACAUAUAUAUAUAUAUAUAAUAAUUUUAUUUGAUAAAAAAUAAAAUGAUCAUAAAAUUGAAAUUUUAUUUUAUAUUCUCAUUUUUCAAUUUUUAAAGAAUUUCAAUAAAUUUAAAAGCCAUGAUUGUUGAUUGAUAGAGUCUUAGCAUAAGUGUAUCCAUUCAUACGUCUAGGUGGAAAUGACGUUAACCUUAUGCCCUAAUAAACAAUAAACAACUUGUUAUCUUUAUAAGACUUUUAUAUUUUUAUUUUUAUAUAUUUCAUAAUUUUAUAUUGCCCACUACACCAAAUUGAUUGGUAGUUAAAAUAUCUCUCUCAAACAUUUGGAUUGGACCUCAGAUAUAAAUCAUCAAUGGCACCCGUGAGCCCAUUAAAAACAUAAAUUAGGUACAAAUUAAUAAACCUGAUUAGUCUUACUGUAAUGCAUUAAUUUAAUACUUCAAUAUCUAUUUCUUUAUUUAUUAUUAUUUUUCAAAAACCUCAUUGACGAGAUGAAUAGGACCUUCAAAAUUAAAAAAGCAUUGUUGAUAUUUGUCAGCCGGCUUAGAUUAUUAUUUUUAUAAACAAAUUUUAACAAAUAAUAAAAAAAAACUCUUACUAUUUCANNNNNNNNNNNNNNNNNNNNNNNNNNNNNNNNNNNNNNNNNNNNNNNNNNNNNNNNNNNNNNNNNNNNNNNNNNNNNNNNNNNNNNNNNNNNNNNNNNNNNNNNNNNNNNNNNNNNNNNNNNNNNNNNNNNNNNNNNNNNNNNNNNNNNNNNNNNNNNNNNNNNNNNNNNNNNNNNNNNNNNNNNNNNNNNNNNNNNNNNNNNNNNNNNNNNNNNNNNNNNNNNNNNNNNNNNNNNNNNNNNNNNNNNNNNNNNNNNNNNNNNNNNNNNNNNNNNNNNNNNNNNNNNNNNNNNNNNNNNNNNNNNNNNNNNNNNNNNNNNNNNNNNNNNNNNNNNNNNNNNNNNNNNNNNNNNNNNNNNNNNNNNNNNNNNNNNNNNNNNNNNNNNNNNNNNNNNNNNNNNNNNNNNNNNNNNNNNNNNNNNNNNNNNNNNNNNNNNNNNNNNNNNNNNNNNNNNNNNNNNNNNNNNNNNNNNNNNNNNNNNNNNNNNNNNNNNNNNNNNNNNNNNNNNNNNAAAAAAAAAAAAAAAAAAAAAAAGGAAAACGACGGUCCUAACGCUAAAGUUACCUACUGUCUUCCUGCAUCCUUCCUAUAUCUAACUCUCUAUCUCUGACCAUUCACAUUCACACUCUAUAGAAACUCUAUUUUAUAUAUACUCGCAACAAACUUAUGGUCGUGGUUGCAUAAGUCUGCAACUUCAUCGCCUCUCGCUUGGGGAUGAACGGGGCAGAUCGCCGGAUGGAAACUAGAGGUAUUAAUUGUUUUCAGCUGAAACUGUUGUACCAAAUAGUAAUUGUUUCAUGGAGAUUUCAUUUCAUCUAACUAAUUGAGGCAUGUUGUUAUUGAUUGUCACUAAGCACAGAUCAGAAUGAAUCUGGCUUAUCUCCUGAGAAGAGUAUUGGGCCAAAGUCAUAUUCAUACGGUGAACUAGCAAGUGUAACUGGUCAUUUCUCGCUCAAUUAUCUAAUUGGUCGAGGUGGUUUUGGUCAUGUUUUUAAGGCAUCCUUGGAUGGUGAGAUCCGUGCUAUUAAGAGACUUGAUUUUCCGGAUGUACAAUCCGAAGGAGGUUUGGAGAGGGAGAUUAUGGUCGUCAAAAGUGUCAGUCACAAAAACCUCGUUGAAUUGGUUGGUUACUGUAUUGAUGGAGCCAAUAGAUUGCUUAUUUUAAAGUAUUUUCCAAAUGGGUCCUUGAGAUCUAAAUUACAUGGUGAGUUCCAUAUAUCCUUUCUUUUACUUUUAUGUUCGGAUAACUAAUCAAUAUAACAUGAUUAAUCUUAAAAAUUACAAAUGGUAUUGUAGGAAGUGGGGAUGUUUUGGACUGGGAAAAAAGAAUGAAGAUCGCUACAGGUUCUGCAAAAGGAUUGGAAUAUUUACAUGAACACUGUGAGUGUAUACUACUAUAUAACUUUAUCCGGCAGGAUUUUAGCUUUUUGAGUGUGAAUUUAUUUAUUUAUUUUUAUUUAUAUUGAUAAUUUAUUUUCUCUAAAGAUUUAUAUUCUAUAUCUUUUUCAGGUAAACCUAAAAUUAUUCAUUUAGAUAUUAAACCAGAUAAUAUUCUGCUUGAUCAAGAUUUUGAACCUAAGGUGAGAUAAUUUUAUUAUAUCAUAGCAUAUGUAUAGUAGAACUUUCAUCCGAAAUUUUGUUUUUGAAUAAUAUUAGAAAAUUAUGUGAACUCCUUAAUUAAAUUCUUGUGAUUAAUUAAUAAAUCUGAGUUCUAAUUCUUUUGGUUUGGCCAUAUAUUUUUGGCUUUUUUUAAUAAAAUUUAUUGCGUAUAAAAAAAAUUUAAUAAAUCAACCUUAGUAGAUUUCUUGUCUUUUUUUUUUUUCAUGAUUUAAUGUUUUCUUAAUAAACUUGAUUGAAGUACGGAAAAUUGUGUAAUUUACCAAAUAAAAAGUGUAAAAGUAUAUUCAUAGAACUAAGUGUGAAAAAUAACUUUAAUUUUAAAUUAAGAUAUAUAUAUGGCAUAAUAAAUUUAUUAAUUAACUUAAAUAAUUUGUUUAGAUAACAGAUUUUGGACUUGCUCAAUUUUUUACCGACGGUGCUACUCACAUAUCCAAAUCAUCAGUUAUGGGAACCCAUGUGUAAGAUAUAAUUUUCUUUCUAUCAUUUAAUUGCAUUGCUAUUAUUUUCUAUUUUUUCAAUGCCAUUAUUAUCUCCUCUUAAAAUAGUUUAAAAUAAAAUAAAUGUUAAAAUAAAUAAAAUAACACAUAAAAAAAAUAUAAGUACUCCUUAAUUAGAUAGUAUUAGUAAUCUUAACAAAUUUUAUUGCAGUUAUGAAGAUCCAUUUACGAUAAAAUUGGGAAAGUAUUCUGAUAAAUCCGAUAUUUAUUCUUUUGGAGUUACACUUUUAUAAUUGAUUACCGGAAGAAAACCUAUAGACAAUGGCACUGAUAUUGUUACUUGGGUAUGACUCUGUUUGCUUUGAUAAAAUUAUGAUAUAAAAAUUCUAUUUACCAUUUAUAAAGUUUUGAAUUUAGAUCUCAAUUGGAGUUAUUUAGAUUUAAAUUCAAUGCAUUCAUGAUUCAUUAAUAAAUAAUUUUUUAAUCAAUAUCUUGUAGGCAAAUCCUCUAAUUAAAAAGGCUUUGGAGGGAAUGUAUACAAAUUUUAUAGAUUCCAAUUUACAAUCCUUUGACUAUGAACAAAUGUAUCGAAUGGUUUUUUGUAUUAAUUCUUGUCUAAAUCAACCUCCAAGCUCUCGUCCAACAAUGGAAAAGGUAAAAUUUUUCACAUAACUAAUCUCAAACUAUAUAUAGUAUCUCAAAAUUUGUAAUCAUUUUAUUGUUAUGUCAUGCAGAUACGUCUAGUUCUUGAAGGAAAAUCACUCUCGAAAGAAUUAUACGAUAAUAAAUUGCGAAGGAGUAUUAUGCAUAGAGGUCUAUAUUCUUUUAUGUUAAUUUAUUAAAAAUUAUAUGCAUGUUUGAUCUAAUUGAUGCCUAAAUUUUCAUUUAAUUUGUCAUAUCUUAAUAUUUGAAACAAUGUUGAUUUUCAACUGCAAAAAUAUUAGUUUUUUAAUUUGAAAUUUAGAAUAAAGUAGUUUUUAACCAAAAUUGAUAACGUAUUAAUUAAAUAUAAUUUUUUAUCUUAUAAUUAUUCAAAAAACUGUGAAAAGAAUGAAAAUUUACUUUAAAGUUUUCUUUUUUUUUUUUUUUGAAAUUGAAAUCAGAAAUUGAGAGAAUAAAACAUGAGAACUCUCAAAUACACUUACCAUCAGACUAAGUCUAUGAGUGUAAUUAUCUUAAAGUUUUAAAACAUAAAUCUAAAAGUUCAUACAUAAUUAGCUGAAAAAAUUGGGUUGGAACAAAUAUAUGUGGUUUUUUCCUCUAUUUUAUUCUAUAGUUGCAGAUUAUUUAAAAAAAAAAAUAUCUGACCUUUACGUCAAGCUCACAAAAUCUGUUGUAUAAUGGUUCCUUAAAGAAAGGAUGAUAAUUUCAUUUCUUAGCUCAAGUGAAAAAAAUAAGGACAUGUACAUAUAUAGAGGUACUAAUAGUUUUACAGAUCUGAAAGGAUUUAUAUCAUCGCCUGAGUUGAAUAGAAGUAUAAUUGGCGGGCCGAGGCAAUAUUCAUAUGAACAACUAGCAAAGGCGACGAAUCAUUUUUCUAGAAACGAUCUCAUUGGCGAGGGUGGCUUUGGACAAGUUUAUAGGGGAUUACUAGAUGGUGAAUCCCUUGCUAUUAAGAUACUCAAAAAUCAUCCAGAUUUACGGUCGCAAGAAAACUUGGAGAAUGAGAUUAUGGUUGUUAGCAUCAUCUGCCACAGAAAUCUUGUUGAAUUGCUUGGUUACUGCAUUGAAGGGGCCAAUAGAUUUCUUGUUUUUAAGUAUUUUCCCAAUAAGUCCUUGAGCUCUCAAUUAUAUAGUGAGUUUCAUCCUUUCCCUUUAUAUAUAUAUAUAUAUAUUUUUUCAUAACAGUUAUGAAAAUUAAUAUAAAUAAAAAUUGGUUUUUGUAGAAAGCAAUCGGGAUUUGGACUGGGAGACGAGGAUAAAUAUUGCCAAAGGCUCUGCAAAAGGCCUAGAAUAUUUACAUGAAUACUGUGAGUAUAUAAUUAACUAUAUUCAUAUCUAAUAAUUGCCAAACUUUUUAGCUCUUGAGGUUCUAUAUAUCUAUUGUUCUUUCUUUGAGUUAAUAUAUAAUUUAUUUUAUCUUAAAAUUUUUAAUUUUUUUAUAUUAGGUGAGCCUCCUAUCGUACAUUUAAAUGUCAAGUCCAACAAUAUUUUUCUUGAUAGUGAUUUUAAACCAAAGGUAAGAUAUUUUGAUAAUUAUUGAACCCUUUAUACAGUGCAACAUCAAAUAUUGUUGAAUGUCAAAAUUUUAUUUUUAAAAAAUAUUGAAAUAUUAUGUGAAACUCCAAUAAUUUGACAAUGGUAUUUAAAUAAUAAGUGAACAUUAAUAGGUUUGAUCGUCUUCCUUUGUGCUUUAGUGUUUUUAAUCGUAAACUAAUAAUUAAUUAGUUCUUAUGAUUGCAUAAAUUUUUAAAAGACAAUCUAUUUUAUUUCAUAUAAUUUUAGAAAAUUAAUAACUAGAAUUCGAAUCAGAAUUUCAUUGAAGUCUUUGUUAUAAUUUUGAAAAAUAUAUUAAAAUAUUUUUAAAAUUUUAAAAAGUUUAUUGAUUAAUUUUUUUGUUAAUUUUAACUAUUAAAGAUUAUAAAAAAAAUCUAAAAUAACAUCAAUAUAGAUAAACAAAUUAGAAAAUAACUUUUAAAAAUUGAGAAAUUAAUUAAUAAAUUUUUACAUAUUAUAAAAAUUUAAUUAUAAAAUAUUUAAUAGUUAAAACUAACAGAAUGAUUUUAUAUAACAGAUUCUUAUACAAAAAGGAACUAGUCAAAGAACAUUUGUGAUCAACCACUAAGGAAGAGAAGGUGGAGCACUUUGCACACGGCAAACCAUCUCUUUGGCCAUUUCACACUAUCCAAUCCAUAAAUGGUUAACCGAUUCUUCAAGAGACAAGACCACCAACACCAUCCAACUUUGCUGAACCUUUAGCAUAUGCCCGUUAAUGAUCCACACAACCAACUUCACUAUACAUCAAUUAAAUACUAUCAAAGAUACUCCAUCCGCAAAAGUCAAUGCACACCAACAAUGAUAAAAAAAAAAAAAACCCUAGAUGNNNNNNNNNNNNNNNNNNNNNNNNNNNNNNNNNNNNNNNNNNNNNNNNNNNNNNNNNNNNNNNNNNNNNNNNNNNNNNNNNNNNNNNNNNNNNNNNNNNNNNNNNNNNNNNNNNNNNNNNNNNNNNNNNNNNNNNNNNNNNNNNNNNNNNNNNNNNNNNNNNNNNNNNNNNNNNNNNNNNNNNNNNNNNNNNGUUUUUUUUUUUUUUGAAAAUAUAAAUAGAGGGUUUUUAAACUCACAAGAGCUAAUAAUAUUGAUUUUACUAUACCACAAAAACUAAACUGUAUUUUAUCUUUUUGAUGAAUAUUCUUAAAGUACACAACAGUCUAAUUUGUUAGAAUAAGAGUAAAAGAAGUAUAUUUAUGAAAUUUGGUGUGGAAAUAACUACACCUUUUUUUGUGUAUAUAUAUUUAUACAGCAUAAUAGAUUUAUUUAUCUACUCUUUUUUGAAAAUAAAUUUAUUAAUCUAUUUAAAUAAUUUUGUUUAAUUAGGUGGCUGAUUUUGGACUUGCACGCUUUUUUUCGGAGGCUGCUACUCACAUCUCUGAAUCAGCAAUUAUGGAAACCAGAGCGUAAGAUAAUUUGUACAUGUCUGAUUGUUUAGUGUCAUUAUUAUGUUCUACUUCUAGAAUAAUUAAAAUAAAAUAAAAUACAUAUGAAAACAAAAGGAAACUAGUGCUUCUUUAUAUUUUAAUUUCUUGAAUCUUGACAUGAAUUUUGAUUGAACUUACUAAAUUGCAGCUAUAUAGAUCCAUAUGCAAUAAAAACUGGAGAAUACUCUGUAAAAUCAGAUGUUUACUCAUUUGGUGUUAUGCUUCUGGAAUUAAUUACCGGAAGAAGGCCCAUAGAAGAAGACGGCUUUGAUGUUGUUGAAUGGGUAAGGCGUAUGAAAUAGUAUACUUUAAAAAUUUAUGAUAUGUAAUUGUAUAACUAAAAUAUAAUAAAAGCUAUUUAAGAUCCAAAACUCACCAUUCACAUGCAAUCACUGAUAUUAAUGCAUUUGAAAUUUCAUUGAUGUAAGUCCGAGUUAAUAAAUAGACAUAAUUAUAUUUUUAUCGAUAUUCUACAGGUAAAAUCUGAAAUUAAGAACGCUUUGCGGGAUAGAAAAUUUGAAAAAUUUGUAGAUUCUACAUUGCAAAUGUUUGACGAUGAAGAAAUGUAUCGAAUGUUGUUCUGCAUUGAUGUUUGUAUAAAUUUCCAAAGUUUCGCCCAUCAAUGAAGAAGGUAAAAAAAAAUUUUCUUUUUCAUAUAUUAUAAUUGAUAAUAUAUACAAUAAUUUCAUUAUUAUUGUGCCAUAUAGAUACUUCUAGCUCUCGACGGAAUUUUGCCUUUAGACGAAUUAUGCAAUGAGAAGGGUGAUAACAAAUUGCCAGGAUACCCUACUUUAUAUCAAAUUCCAUCUCCUAUGAAUAGAAGUACAAGUAUUGGGCUGAGGCAAUAUUCAUAUCAACAACUAGCAAAGGCCACCAAUUAUUUCUCCUUUAACAAUCUUCUUGGCGAGGGUGGCUUCGGACAAGUUUACAUGGGAUCAGUAGAUGGUCAAUCCCAUGCUAUUAAAAAACUUCAAAAUCAUCGAGAUUUACGGUCUCAAGGAAAACUGCAAGAUGAGAUUAUAGUUGUUAGCCGCGUCCGUCACAAAAAUCUUGUUGAACUGCUUGGUUACUGCGUUGAAGGGGCCGAUAAAUUUCUUGUUUUAAAGUAUUUUCCUAAUAAGUCCUUGGGUUUUCAAUUACAUGGUGAGUCUCCUUCUUCCUCUUUGUAUUUUCAUAACUAUUAUGAAUAUUAAUAUAAAUAAAAAUUGGUUUUGUAGAAAGCGGUAAGGAUUUGGACUGGGAGACGAGGAUGAAUAUCGCUAAAGGCUCUGCAAGUGGACUAGAAUAUUUACAUGAACACUGUAAGUAUAAAAUUAACUAUAUUCAUAGCUAAUAAUUGCCAACCUCUUUAGCUCUUGAGGUUCUAUCUAUUGUUGUUUGUUUGAGUUAAUAAUUUAUUUCAUCCUAAAUUUUUUUAUUUUUUUAUAUUAGGUGACUCUCCUAUUGUACAUUUAGAUAUCAAGUCAGAUAAUAUUCUUCUUGAUGAUGAAUUUAAACCAAAGGUAAGAUAUUUUGAUAAUAAUUUUUUAUAUUGAAGCCAUCAUACAGUGGAACCUCUCAAAAAAUAUUGUUGGAUGUGAAAGUUUUAUUUUCAAAAAAUACUGAAAUAUUAUGUGAAACUCCAAUAAUGUCUACGUUGUAUUUAAAUAAUAAUUGCACCUUAAUAGGUUAAUUAGUUCUUAUGAUUCAAUAAACUUCACAUAUUAGCAUAUUAAUCUACUUAAAUCAUUUCGUUAAUCAGGUGGCUGACUUUGGACUUGCACGCUUUUUUUCGGAGGCUGCUACUCACAUUUCCGAAUCAGCAAUUAUGGGAACCAAUGCGUAAGAUAAUUUAUAUAUGUCUGAGUUAUUUGAGUUUUUUAGUGUCAUUAUUAUGUUCUACUUCUAGAAUUAUUAAAAUAAAAUAAAAUACAUAUGAAAACAUAAGGAAACUAGUGCUUCUUUAGAUUUUAAUUUCUUGAAUCUUGACAUGAAUUUUGAUUGAGCUUACUAAAUUGUAGCUAUAUAGACCCAUAUGCAAUAAAAACUGGACAGUACUCUGUAAAAUCAGAUGUUUACUCAUUUGGUGUUAUGCUUCUGGAAUUAAUUACUGGAAGAAGACCCAUAGAAGAAGACGGCUUUGAUGUUGUUGAAUGGGUAAGACCUAUGCAAAUAGUGUACUUUAAAAAUUUAUGAUAUGUAAUUGUAUAACUAAAAUAUAAUAAAAGCUAUUUAAGAUCCAAAACUCACUGCAGGCUUAACAUGGUGGUAAGUACAUCUACUCCCCCAAUUCCCAAUUCAUAUUUCAAAAAAAAAAAAAAAUCCAAAACUCAUCAUUAUUAUAUUUUUAUUGAUAUUUUACAGGCAAAAUCUAAAAUUAAGAGUGCUUUGCGGGAUGAAGAAUUUGAAGAUUUUGUAGAUUCUACAUUGGAAAUAUUUGACCAUAGAGAAAUGUAUCGAAUGUUGUUCUGCAUUGAUGUUUGUAUAAAUAACCAUCCAAAGUUUCGUCCAUCAAUGAAGAAGGUAAAAAAAAAAAAAAAAAAAUUCAUAUAUUAUGUUAAUAAUUAAUAAUAUAUUCAAUAAUUUCAUUAUUGCUAUGCCAUAUAGAUACUUCUAGCUCUUAAAGGAAUUUUGCCUCUAGACGAAUUAUGCAAUGAGAAGGGUGAUAACAAAUUGCCACGGUACGCUACUUUAUAUAAAGAAAAGUCCUAUAUGGAAGUUUUGAACGAGAAUCAAGGAGAGCAUCACGAAGCAAGCCUUGGUCAGUCUCACUGUAGGCAAGGCUUACAUCAAAUGACUUACAUUGAGAAGUGAAUGGAGCCGUGGUGCAAACUUCAAGUAAGGCUUAUUCAAACUUUGGGCAGGGCUUAUGUAGAGUUAAAAGACUUCUAUAUCCGAUUCUCAAAAUUUUGUGGAUAACUAUUUAGGAAGCUUCCUUUCAUAUAUAAUUUAAAAAAAAAAAAAAAGAAUAUUUUGGGAUCCUUACUUCUAUUUUGGGAUGAGACUUUUUUUAUUCCUCUUAGACUACGAAGUAACCAUUUAAAAAGGAGAGGCUCUUUUAGAUUGGGGAUCUUCUGACACUUUUGAAUAUGUCUUUAUGUUAGUUGCUAUACAAUGUGCUUCACUAGCUAAUUUCAUUUAUAUAGCUAAGGAAUUUUCAAGAUGCGAUUCAUAAGGAUUGUAAAAUCGAAUUAAUAUUAAUACUCUAUCUUUAUUUCUGGUUUCUAAUAUUUUAUAUGCUUGAAAUUGAAUUGAGGAUCAAUUUUAUGUCUUGAGAAACACGCUUUAAAUAUGAAAUUUAUUGAAGUGAACUUUGGUGAAAUUAAACUAUUUCUACUAUCAUCCUAUUGCAUGAAAAUUUGGUUCUUUGUUUUGGACAAAUUAAAUUUGAGAUUGGUUGAGGACAGGACUGUGUUUUAUUGUUUCAUUUUAAUUUUUGUGCUUGAAGAUAAGCAAAGGUGCAAGUGUGGGGGAAUCUGAUGGGUUGUAAAACUCACAAUUUUUUUCUCAUUUAAUUUCAUGAUUUUACUAUAAUUUUGAUAUAAAUAUUUAAUUUUAAUUUGAAUUUAAUUUUGGACAGGUUUGUGGGCAGAAAUUGAGAAAAUGAACGAAAAGACUGAAUUAAAUGAUUUUUGUAAGGUUACAACCUUGAUCAAACUUGUAGUGCUGCCCCAACUUUCUUCUUCUUUUGCUUAGUUGUUAUAAUUUUAUUAUGGUCAUGAGUGACUAAAUAAUUAUUUUCAGUUGAAGGUUAAAUUAAAUUGAGAUUUGUUCAAAUUGGAGGUUAUGCACUUCAAUUCUCUUCAUUUUAUUUAUAUUUUCUGUCAAUGAAUUCAGGAGACCUAUUGAAUCUCUUAGGAAAACAACCUAUAACUAAUUAAUCUAAUUAAAUCCAUAAUCGUUUCAUUGGGUUAAUAAUAAGUAGCAAUUAACAUAUUAGUUUAUGUUAAGAAAUUGAUAGAUUUGGUUUAAAUAAAUUGUGUUUUUAUUGGUCAAAUUUGGAUUUUUCUCUCUUAAUAUAGUUGACUAAUUAAAUCUACACGCGUGUUGGAAUUUUAAUUGACUAGGAAUUAAUUUAAGCACGAAGCGGAUUAAUUUAUUCAUAAGAAAUCAUUGGUGAGAUUCGCGUGCUUGACCACUAUAACCAAACAAUAGAUAAGAUGAAUUAUGAUCAUCUGCAAAAUAUCUCAAUUUAAUUAUCUUCAUCUGAAAAUUCUAACUAUUUAUUUGUUUCUCAAAUUUCAAUUACAUUGUUUAUUAUUAUUUUUACAGGCACAACCACUUUCAUAAAAAAAAAUUCUUUUAUUCUCACUUUUUAAUAUUAAAUUAUUUCUCUAUUUUAAAUUGGUCAUUUAAAUUAAACAGAAUUAAAAUAUUUGUGGAAUCGAUAUUCACUCACCCUAUUUAUAAAAUUUUACCAAUUAAAAAAAAUGAAUUUUAAAUUUACGAAUUCAAUACUCAUCAAAGUUGUUUCAAUUCCCCGUUAGUUCUCUUUAUCAAUUUAUCUAAAUUAAAGAAUGAAUAAUUAAAAAACCAUAAUCAUAUGAAUUAGAUAUUAGACCAUCUAGAUCGUUGACUUUGAAAAAAAAAUGUUAAUAAUAAUUAAAUUCAAAGGCCAUGAUUGUUCAUUGAUAGAGUUAGUAACAUAAGUACAUCCAUUCAUAGGUCUAGGUGGAAAUCACGUUAACCUUAUGUCUUAAUAAACAAUAAAUAACUUGUUAUUUUUAUAAGACUUUUAUAUUUUUAUUUUUAUUCUCAUAAUUUUUUGUUGCCCACUACACGAAAUUAAUUUGUCAAUUGAGUUCAAAUCUCUCUCAGAUAUAAAUCAUUAAUGGCACUUAUGAGCCCACGUCUAUUUAUCACUAAUUAAAAAACUAUUUAGGUACAGAUAAACCUGAUUAGCCUAACUGUAAAUUGAAUUAAGUGGAUUUUAUGUGAUUUUUUUUCUGAGCUAAUAAAAGACCACACUCAAAAGAAUUUGAAAAAAAAAAAAAAAAACCUCAUUGAAACUUAGAAUAAAGAGAAACUCAUUAAUAAAUUUAUAAUAUGCAUUACACAAAAUGACAUUAACUGGAGGCCACAUGCUGCGAAUUCUACGCUCAACGUUAUAUAUAUAUAUAUAUAUAUAUAUAAAAGAAAACGACAGUCCUAACGCUAAAGUUACCUACUGUCUUCCUUCAUCCUUCCUACAUCUCCCUCUCUAUCGCUGACCAUUCACAUUCACACUCUAUAGAAACUCUAUUAUAUAUAUAUAUACGCAACAAACUCAUGGUCGUGGUUGCAUAAGUCUGCAACUUCUGAUGGCCUCUCGCUUGGGGAUGAACGGGGCAGAUCGCCGGAUGGAAACUAGAGGUAUUAAUUGUUUUUAGCUGAAACUGUUGUACCAAAUAGUAAUAGUUUCAUGGAGAUUUCAUUUCAUCUAACUAAUUGAGGCAUGUUGUUUAUUGAUUGUCACUAAGCACAGAUCAGAAUGAAUCUGGCUCAUUUCAUGAGAAGAUUAUUGGGCCAAAGUCAUAUUCAUACGCUGAACUAGCAAAGGUAACUGGUCAUUUCUCGCUCAAUAACUUAAUUGGUCGAGGUGGUUUUGGUCAUGUUUUUAAGGCAUCCUUAGAUGGUGAGAUCCGUGCUAUUAAGAGACUUGAUUUUCCGGAUGUACAAUCCGAAGGAGGUUUGGAGAGGGAGAUUAUGGUCGUCAAAAGUGUCAGUCACAAAAACCUCGUUGAAUUGGUUGGUUACUGUAUUGAUGGAGCCAAUAGAUUGCUUAUUUUAAAGUAUUUUCCAAAUGGGUCCUUGAGAUCUAAAUUACAUGGUGAGUUCCAUAUAUCCUUUCUUUUACUUUUAUGUUCGGAUAACUAAUCAAUAUAACAUGAUUAAUCUUAAAAAUUACAAAUGGUAUUAUAGGAAGUGGGGAUGUUUUGGACUGGGAAAAAAGAAUGAAGAUCGCUACAGGUUCUGCAAAAGGAUUGGAAUAUUUACAUGAACAUUGUGAGUAUAUACUAUUAUAUAUUCUUACCUGGCAGGAUCUUAGCUUUAGAGUGUGAAUUUAUUUAUUUAUUUUUAUUUAUAUUAAUAAUUUAUUUUUUUUUUAAAAUUUAUAUUUUAUAUUUUUUUCAGGUAAACCUAAAAUUAUCCAUUUAGAUGUCAAACCAGAUAAUAUUCUGCUUGAUGAAGAUUUUGAACCUAAGGUGAGAUAAUUUUAUAACAAAUAAAUAUUUUAUUUAUAUUAUCACAUAUGUAUAGUAAAACCUUGAUAAUUGAAUACUGAAAUUUUAUUUUUCAAAAAUAUUGAAAAAUUAUAUGUACUCCUUAAUUACAUAAUUUUAUUUUUGUAUUAAUUAAUAAAUCUGGGUUCUAAUUUUUUUUUUGUUUGGCCAUAUAUUUUUGGCUUUUUUAAUAAAAUUUAUUGCUUAUAAAAAAUUAAUAAAUCCACCUUAGUAGGUUUCUUGUUUUUUUUUUUAUGAUCUAAUAUUUUCUUAAUAAACCUUUUUGAAGUACGGAAAUUGGUGUACUUUAUCAAAUAAAAAGGUAAAAGGAGUAUAUUGGUGGAAUUAAGUGUGAAGUUUCAACUUUAAAUUAAUGUACACAUUAUAUAUAAAUCGCAUAAAUAAAUUUAUUAAUCAACAUAAAUCAUUUGUUUAGAUAACAGAUUUUGGACUUGCUCAAUUUUUUACCGACGGUGGUACUCACAUAUCCAAAUCAUCAGUUAUGGGAACCCAUGUGUAAGAUAUAACCUCCUCUUCUAUCAUUUAAUUGCAUCGCUAUUAUUGUCUUUCUUUUUUCAGUACCAUUAUUAUCUAUUCUUAGAAUAGUUUAAAAAUAAAAUUAAAAUAGAUAAAAUAACACAUAAAAAGAUAUUAGUACUCCUUAACUUGAUGGUAUUAGUUUCUUAAGAAAUCUUAACAUAAAUUUUAAUUCUGUUAAUUUUAUUGCAGUUAUGAAGAUCCAUUGACAACAAAACUGGGAAAGUAUUCUGAUAAAUCUGAUAUUUAUUCUUUUGGAGUUACACUUUUAGAACUGAUUACCGGAAGAAAACCAAUAAACAAUAGCACUGAUAUUGUUACUUGGGUAUGACUCUGUUUGUCUUAAUAAAAUUGUGAUAUAUAAAUUCUAUUUUCAACUUAUAAAGUUUUGAAAUUAAAUCUCAGUCGGAGAUAUUUAGAUUUCAAUUCAAUAUAUUUAUGAUCUAUUAAUAACUAAUUUUUUUAAUCAAUAUUUUAUAGGCAAAUCAUCUAAUUAAAAAGGCUUUGGAGGGAAGAUACACAAAUUUUGUAGAUUCUAAUUUACAAUCCUUUGAUCAUGAACAAAUGUAUCGAAUGGUUUCUUGUGUUAAUUCUUGCAUAAAUCAACCUCCAAACUCUCGUCCAACAAUGGAAAAGGUAAAAUUUUUUACGUAAUUAAUUUAAUUUUAGCUAUAUAUAUUAUAUAUUAUAUAUUUUCAAUUAAUUUUAUGAACUCGAAAGAUUAUAUAAUUGACUUGUAAUCAUUUUAUUUCUAUGUCAUGUAGAUACGUCUAGUUCUUGAAGGAAAAUCGCCUCCAGAGGAAUUAUACGAUCAUAAAUUGCAAUGGAGUAUUAUACAUAGAGGUCUAUAUUCUUUUAUGUUAAUUUAUUAGAAAUUAUGCAUAUUUAUACUAAAACUUGAUCAAAUUGAUGCCUAAAUUAAUUUUCAUUUAACUUGUGUCAUAUCUUAAAAUUAGAAACAAAUGUUGAUUUUCAACUGCAUAAAUAUUAAUUUUUUAAUUUGAAAUGUAGAAUAAAUUUGUUUUUUAGUCAAAAUUGAUAACAUAUUAAUGAAAUAUAAUUUUUAUCUUAUAAUUACUCAAACAAACAGUAAAAACAAUGAUGAAAGUAACCUUAAAGUCAUACAUAAUUUCCUAAUCGUUAAUUUUGUCAAUUAUUGAAUUAAAUCAUAUAGUUGAUAUUUAUAGGAAUGAAUAGUUUCAAGAUUAAACAUAUAAUUUUAUUUAAAUUAGAAGAAUAUAAUUACUUAUAGUUUUAUGAUUUAUCUUAUUAAUUAAUUUUAAUCAUUAUAUGAAACAAUAAAGAAAAUCAUUUAUCAACCGAAACCUCCUUUGUUCACUUAUAUGAAGGGUGUAAAAUUAAAAUUUUAACGUAUUUUAUUUACUAUUUCUUAAAAUUAAAUGAAUAUGUAAUUACAUUUACAUUUAAAUCUGUAAGAGUAUUUAUAAUUAAAAAUAUAUUAUAAAUUUUAAAUAUUUAAUUUACUAAUAUAUAAAUUGGAUAUUUGUAUUAAAUAGUUAUUAUUUGAGUCAAUUUACAAGUCCAUUAACUCAUUUAUAAUUUUACAUAUUACUUUUUUCUUCACAUAAUUUUUAUUUAUUUUAUUUUUUACAUGUAUUAAGAAAUAUAAACUUUUUUAUUAAUUUUUUAAUUAUAUUUAAAUUUUAUUAAAUAUUAAAAAAUAUUUUAAGAAAUUCCUUAAAAAUAAAAAAAAUUAAAUAGAAUUAUAAUAAUUGAUUUAUAUGUUACUAUAUUUUAAAAAAAGAAAAUGAAUAAUAAUUUUAAGAUAAUAAAAUAAAAUAAAUAAAAAUUAUGAAACGGAAAAAAUGUUAUUUAAUUAUUUAAGUAAAGGUAAAUAAAUAGAAAUAAUGAAGCCGUGAAUAGUUUUUUGAUACGAAAAAAAAAUUAAUGUCCAUGAAACCAUUUUCUAUUUUGAGAUAGUUUAAUUUAUUUAAAAAGAUCUUAUAACAUAAUUAUUUUGAGAUAGUUUAAUUUAUUUAAAAAGAUCUUAUAACAUAAUUAUUUGUUUAUAUUAUAUACAUAUUGUUUUUUUUUUUUUAAUACUUAUAUACAUAUUGUUUGACAAAUUCUUAAUAAGAAGAUUUAGAUUGUUUACAUAAUAAACUUUUUUUUUUAUAGUUAGUCUUUGUAGGUAAAUUUCAAUCAUAUAGGUUAUUCGAAUUUGUCUAAAACACUAAUAAUUCACUAUAUGAAAUUAAGAGAAGGAAAAAUAAAAGUAUGAAAAUUAAUUAGUAAGCAUGGUUAUUUGCCUUAAUUAAUAGAGAUAAUUUACUCAUAAAGCUUGCUUUAUGUUCACAUAUGGAACAACUUUAUUUAAAAAAAAAUUAUUGUGAAAACUUACUUAAUUAGUGUCUAAAUAUAUAAUAAGAGUUUUUUAAACAUAGUUAGGAGUUACAAAUUAAUUAGUUGAAAAAAAUUUUGAGUUUGGAACAAAUAUAUAUAGCUUUUUGCUCUAUUUUAUUUCAGAGUUACAAAUUAUAUUAAGAAAAUAAAAAAUCUGAACUUUUCGUCAAGCUCACGAGAUCAGUUGGAAAAUUCUUAUCUUAAUUUCUUUGCCCUCUAUAUAUGUAUAUACAAUGGUUCCACAAAUUAGAUAUAUACACUAACUAAAUAUGGCAUGUUAUGGUUUGCGUAGAUGACGAAUCUAGCUCAUACUUUGAAGAGAUUGAUCAAAUUGAAGAAUCUGGCUCAUUGCAUGACAAGAAUUAUAAGGGUGGGCUAAAGCCAUAUUCAUACAGUGAACUAGCAAAGGCAACUGAUCAAUUCUCGCUCGAACGCCAAUUUGGUCAAGGUGGUUUUGGUCAAGCUUUUAUCGCAUCCUUAGAUGGUAAGAUCCGUGUUGUCAAGAAACUUAAAAAUUUUCCGGAUGUACAGUCGGAAAGAGAUUUCGAGAGGGAGAUUAUGGUUCUCAAUGGAGUCCGUCACAAAAAUCUUGUUAAGUUAGUUGGUUACUGCAUUGAGGGAGCAAAUAGAUUGCUUAUUUCAAAGUUCUUUCCCAACAUGUCAUUGAGAUAUCAAUUAGACAGUGAGUCCCAUAUCCUUUCUUUUGCCUAUGUUCAUAUAACUAAUUAAUAUGACGUAAUUAAUCUUACAAAUUACAAAUGAUUUUGUAGGAAAGGAGAAUGUUUUAGACUGGAAAAAAAGAAUGAAUAUUGCUAUAGGCUCUGCAAGAGGAUUGGAAUGUUUACAUGAAGACCGUGAGUAUAUAAUAGAGAACAUAUUUCUGAUUUCUGCUUGUUAGGCUUUUAGCGUUUGGGAGUAAGUUUUUAUUAAAUUUUAUUUUCAUUUGCAUUAAUAAUUUAUUUCCUCUAAAAGUUUUAUACUCUUCUUGUAUUAUUUUCAGGUAGACUCAAAAUCAUACAUUUACAUAUCAAGUCAGAUAAUAUUCUUCUUGAUAAUUACUUUAAUCCUAAGGUAAGAUAAUUUAAUAAUAAAUAUAAAUUUUAUUUAUAUCAUUACAAUGUGGAAUUAUAUGAACCCAUUAGUUUGAUUGUUGUAAUUCAUUAAUAAUGAGGCUUAACAAGGUUUCUUGUCUUUUUUAAUGCUUUACUACUUUCUUAAUAAACCUUAUUGAAGUACAGAAAACAGUGUAAUUUAUCAAGUAAAUAUAUAUAUAUAUUCAUGAAAUUAAGUAGAAAAUAACUGCACCUUUAAAUUAAUAUAUACAUUAUAUAUAUGUACAGCAGAAUAAAUUUAUUAAUCUACUUAAAUCAUAUGUUUUAGAUUUCAGAUUUUGAACGUGCCCUGUUCUUUAGGGAUGCUACUACUCACGUGUUCAGAUUAUCAACUUUUGGAAUUCACAUGUACGUAAAAAGAAAAAAAAUUUCUUUCUAUCAUUCAAUUACAUCUCUAUUAUUGCCUCUCUUUUUUUCAGUGCUAUUAUUAUCUAAUUUUAGAAUAAUUUAAAAAAUAAAAUAAUAUAAAAACAAAAAAAAACACAUAAAAAAGAGUUAGGGUUUUUUAUUUAAAGAUAUUAGUUUUUUUAAAAAAAUAUUAAUACAAAUUUUAAUUGUGAUGAUUUAAUUGCAGUUAUGCAGAUCUACCGUCAGUGAAAUUACAAAAGUAUUCAGAUAAACUCGAUGUUUAUUCUUUUGGUGUUAUACUUUUGGAAUUGAUUACCGGAAGAAAGCUCAUAAUUGAUGAAAACAUUGACAUUAUUACUUGGGUAUGACUUUUUUACUUGUAAUAGUUUAAUAUAAAAAUUGCAAUAUAAAAUUAUGAUAUAAGAAUCAAUAAGAAAAAAAAAAUAAAUUUAAAUCUCCAUUGGAUUGGAUGUAUGCAAAUAAAAUAAUAAAGCAUUCUUUAUAAUCACAUUAAAAACAUUGAAAAAGACAAAACCAUAUGCUAUAAGUUAAAUACAAAUGAUUCAUUAAUAAUAAAUAACUUAUUAAUCAAUAUGUUGUAGGCACAACCUCUGAUGAAAAAGGCUUUGGAGGGAGAAUAUACGGAUUUUAUAGAUUCAAGAUUGCAAUUUUUUGACGAUCAAGAAAUGCAUCGAAUGAUUUUUUGUGCUAAUGUUUGCAUAAAUCAACCGUUAAGAUCUCGUCCAUCGAUGAAAAUGGUAAAAUUUAUUUAUAUAAUUAAUUUUAAUAUAUUUCAAAACUCUAUAUAUACAUUACUAUUAUUGUUUAUUUUCAAUUAAUUUUAUAAAAGCAUUGAGAGAUUAUAUAAUUGACUUAUAAAUCUUUCUAUAUUGAUAUGUCAUGUAGAUACUUCUAGCUCUUGAAGGAAUUAUUCCUCUAGAUUCUUUGGCAAGAGAUGAAUGACAACAAAUUGCGAUCGGAAGCUAUUCAUAAAGGUCCGUUUCUUAUAAAAAAUGGGAAUAUCUAUUUCGAAUGUUAUUCAUUUUCUUUAGAUUUAUUAAAUAAAAAAAUUAAAAAGUAUAUGAUUUGUCAUAUUUAUUCUAAAUUUAAAAUUUUGAACAAUAAAAACAAAUUCUUUUACAUUUACUUCAAUUAAUUUUUUUUAGAAAAAAUUUUAGUUCAAAUGUCACGUCACAUAGGUUUAUUCUUUGCAAGGCCUGCUCAAUAAAAAAUUCAAACAUUAACAUUAAAUUCAUAUUUAUAUUGAAAAUUUUUGAAUAAUAAAAUCAAAACUUUUUUAAUUUGACACAAUUAUAAUCAAUAGAACUAAAUAAAUUAAAUUUGAAAAGAACUAAAUAAAUUAAAUCUGAAAAGUUAAUGAUAAUUAAAUUACAAUAUAAUCCCUAAAAUUUUAUAUUAACAAAACAUAUAGUCUUUUAAUUUAACAUGUAGUCAUUUAUAAACUAUAAUAUAGUCCUUAAAUUUAUCAUAUGUACUAUUAAAUAUAUUAUAUUCAAUAAAUAUUUAUUAUAAAUAAAUUUUCAUUACAUAAAAUAUCACAUAUAAAUAUUAUAUAAUAAAAUAUUUUAUUAAAUAUUUAAAUUAGUUAUUAUAAAUUAUAUAUAUAUUUUUGAUAUAUAGAAAUUGUACUUCAUAUAAACAAUAUUAAAUAAAAUAAAAUAUUAUAUAUUUUAAUCAGUCAUUCAAAACUUGAUCGAAGAACCCGUGUUUAUUGAAGAAGCUAUAGAGUCGAGUAUAAAAAAUACUAGUUUGAAAGGCUUGUUGGAAUUGAUCUGCUGCAGUAUUUACAUUAUACAAACUUGAUCGAAGAACUAGUGUUUAUUGAAGAAGCUAGAGAGUCGAUUAUAAAAUAUACUAGUUUGAAAGGUUUGUUGAAAUUGAUCUGCUACGGAAUUUACAUUAUACGCAACAGAAGCACCUGAAGUACUAAACGGAAUAGGUAUUAGCUAUAGUUUGGUAAUGGUUGGAGGAGCAAACUUAGAUUUGACAAGAAUCUUAUCUCUUACCCAUAUCUCUCAUAAGUUAUUUUGUUCACCUAUAUAAAUAAGUAAAUUUGUGAUGUCUAGUAAUUUAUUAGUCUAUUGAAAUUGUACUUCAUAUCAUUAAUAUUAAAUACAAUGAAAUAUUAUAUAUUUAAUAUAGUCUAUAAUUAUUUUAUAUUUUAAAUUUUUAUUAAUCUACAAUAUUGUAUAAAAAUAAAAAUGAGAAGUAAAUAAUGAGAUUAACAAAAAAAAAGAUAUUGUUGAAAUAAAAAUAUGUAUUUUAAAAAUUUUAGAGGUUAUAUUAUAAUUUACGGUAACUUUUUCAAAUUUAAUUUUAAUAAUUUUGAUUAUAAUUGUGAUAAAAUGAAAAAAAUUUUAUUUUAUUAUUUAAAGUUUAAAAUUUAAAAUAUAAAUACAUUCAUAUUAUUUCUUUAUUUAAAAGGAGUAGGAUAUGAACUUAAUUCACCUUUUAAAAAAAGAAGUAUCCGUCUCAGUUCAUCUACUUGGUGAUUUUGCUUUUUUCCUUUGAUAAUAUUUUCUCCUUAUAGAGCUGCACUAAUUUAUUUAUUUAUUUAUUUUUUUGGAAACAGAUGAGCCUAAGCCAAGAAGCAACAGAAGCAACUAGUAAUGGUUCCUCCAACAUCAUUCCAGAAACUUCAUUUGAUAAGAUGGAUUGUUUUCCCAAACCCAUUGCCUUUAGGAGAUUUAAUAAAAUCCUUAAACCUUUCUCUUCUUAUUUUUAAUAGACCAGAGUUCUCAUUUAUCAUUUUAAGCCUUUCUCCUUUUAUUAUUUUCUUUAAACGAUAACUUAUUACAUUAUUUUCUAUAUUAAAUAUGACCAAGCUUAAAAAAUAACCCCUUUUAUUUAAUUUCAAUAUCAAACACUAUACAAAAAUUUUUAAAAUAUCAAUAAAUUUUUUCAUUAGUAAUUCAAUAAAAAUCUAUUAGUGAAUAAUAUGAUCUAUUUUUAAAAGUCUCGCUAGUAAAUUUUUACCAACAAAUUUUAAAUUUAUUAGCACCACUACCGAAUUUAUCAAUAUAGAUUCUCAUUUUUUAUUUAAUUCAGAUUGUAGUGUGAAUUUUUCGGAUAGAGUUACAAUUUGAAUAAAUAAUAUAAUUUAUAUUCCAUAGUCAUUAAAAAUGUAAAUAUAUAUUUGGAAAAGAAAAAGAGUAAAUGAUAAAAUAAAGUGAGAAAAAUAGAAAUGAAAGAAAAUAAAAAUAAGAGAAAAGGAAAUGGCGUAAAAUGAGAAAAAAUUAUAAGAAAAAAAAAGAAAAAGGGGAAAAACAAUAGAAAAGAAAAUUAUAGAGAAGAAAAAAGGAUGAAAGAAGAGGAAAAUGAUGAUAAGAGAAGUGAGAGAAAAUGAAAUAAAUAAUUAGAGAAGGAAAUAAACCAAGAGAAAAUAAUAGAAAACGAUGAGUUGUAAAACUCACUAUUUUUUUUUACUAUAAUUUUGAUAUAAAUAAUUAAUUUUUAUUUAAAAUUUGAUUUUAAAUAGGUUUUUGCGUAGAAGUUAAGAGAAGAAAUGAAAAGAGUUUGAAUUGGAAGAUUUUUGGAUGGAGAGGUUAUAGCCUUGGGCAAGUUUGUAACUCAAGGCGAUAGACAACUCCAUCUCACCCCGAUUAGUAAAUGGCAUAAAAUGAGAAAAAAUUAUAAAUGGCAUAAAAUGAGAAAAAAUUAUAAAAAGAAGGAAAAAGGAGAAAAACAAUAGAAAAGAACAUUAUAGAGAGAAAAAAAGGAUGAAAGAAGAGGGAAAGGAUGAUUAGAGAAGUGAGAGAAAAUGAAACAAAUAAUCAGAGAAGGAAAUAAAUGAAGAGAAAAUAUUAAAAAAUAAUGAGUUGCAAACAUCACCACUUUUUCUUAUUAAAUUUUAUAAUUUUGAUAUAAUUUUAAUAUAAAUAAUUAAUUUUUACUUGAAUUUGAUUUUGGAUAGGUUUCUGAACGGAAGUUGAGAGAAAAAAAUGAAAAGAAGCUAAAUUAGAAGAUUUUUGAAUUGGGAUGUAGCCAAAGCCAUGGGAUGUAGCCAAAGCCAUGUACAGCUUCAAAUUUGAAAAUUUGCCACCUCAGCCCGAUUUUUUCACCUAAACAUGGAUAAAAUCAGUUUUAAAUUGGAUCAAAUAUAAUCAGAUUAGAAUACUAGUAAAAUAGGAGAAGCAAAGUUUAUAUUAAAUUAUUAAAUUUUAUCUUUUUGUUGAAGGAAAAACCAAUAUAAAGUCUUUCCAAAAAUUAAACCUACAUCAUAUUCUUUUAUUCUCUCCCUCCUUUUCUCUCUAAGCUGCCUCCUCUCCUCUUCUCCUUUUUUCUUUUCCUCUUCUUUUCCUUUAGAUUUUUGUAAUUUUAUUAUGAUAUUUAAAAGCUAAACACUCUCUUUUUUUUGAAAAUUAAUUUAAAUUGAGAUUUUAUUUAAAUUGUGAGAUUAUGUGCUUCAAAUAUCUUUAUUUUAUUUCUAUUUUCUAUUAAUUUCGGAUUUUAAUAAACACCACCUCUAUUCUUAUCUUUUUAAGAAUUCAAGAAACCUAUUGAAUAUCUUGGGUAACAUAUAACUAAUUAAUCCAAUUAAAUCCAUAAUUAUUUAAUUAAAUUAAUAACAAGUAGCCAUUAAUAUAUUAGUUUAUAUUAAAAAAUUAGUAAAUUUGAUUUAAAUAAAUCACGUAUUUUUAUUAAUUAAGUUUGGAUUUUUAUUUCUUAAUACGGUUGAUUAAUUAAAUUUAUAUGCGUGUUGGAUUUGUUAGUUAACUAUAAAUUAAUCUAAGCGCGAAACGUAUUUAACUACUAUAACCAAAUAAUAGAUACUAAAAUGAAUUAUUUUUCUAAUCUAUAAUAACGGUCAAACCCUUCAAUUUGAUUACUUUCAACUGAAUUUAAUUUAAUUAUUUAUUUUACGAUCUCAAUUUGCAUUACUUGUUUUUUUUUUAAAAGUAUUUUUGACUUGUCCAAGAUAAAAACUAAUUUUAUAAAAAAUUCUCUUCUUUUUUACUUUUUAUAUUAAACUACUAUUUGAUUUCAACUAGUCGUUUAUGUGAAAUCAAUAUUCAACUAUCCUAUCUACAAGUUUUUGUUAAAUCAAGAAAAGAGAAAUAAAUUUUAAUUAAUAGAUUUGAUAUCUGUUAGAAAUAAAUAGAAAAAAUAUAGAAGAAAAUAAAAUUAGAGAAACUAAUAUGAAUAAAAAUUAUAUAUAAAAAAAGAGAUGGAGGAAAGAAAAGAAAAAUGAUGAAAGAAAUGAAAAAGGUGAAAUUAAUAGAAAGAAAAAUUAUAGAGCAAAAUGAAGAAAAUAAGAAAAGAGGGUAGAGUGAGAGAAAAAGAAAAAUUGAAAAAAGGAAAAUAAUAAAAAAAUAAGAGAAAAUAAUUAUGAGGUAAGAAAGUCAAAAUAAAAAUAAUAAUAAGAAAAAAAAGAGAGAAAAUAGAAGAAUGAAAAAUUAUAUAUGAAUGGAUGAUAAAAGGAGGAUAUCGCGUUAAUAUUUAUAAAUGCAAAUUAUUAAUGAAUUUCAAAUUUUUUUUAAAAAAUGUGGGCUUUUUUUUUAAAAAAAUUACUAAUAAAUUUAAAAUUCGUUAUUAAAUUAUUAGUAAAUGAAAAAUAGUAAAAUUUUUUAAAAAAUAACACAAAAAUUUUAUGCAUAAUCUUAUAUUAAAUUUAUCCAAAAAAAUUUUUUUAUUUAUUAAUGAUAAUAAAAAUUAAUAAUAGAUUUUAAAAUUUAUUGGUAAUCUGUUGGUAAAGUAUUAAUAGAUUUAAUAUUUGAUUGGAAUGAAAUUUAGAAUGAAUACACUUAACGUAUGAAUCAUUUAAAAAAUAAAUGUAUUUGUUCUGUAGCAUCAAUUCGGAUUGGUUUUGAUUCGUUUAAAAAAUAUAGUUUGAGAGACUAUAUGUGAAGCAAUUAGGUAUAAAUUGAUAUCGAACUCUCAAAAUUUGAUAAUUUCAACUCCAUUAACAACCACCUAUGAAUAUUUUUUCAGAUUACACCCAUUAUUUCAAGUUUUAGAUCGAAUUAAUCCAUUAACCUAAAUAGUUCAUGGGAGAAAAUUGACUUACUUGGAUUCUGGAGGAUUAACGGACCAAGUGCUCCAUUAACCUAAAUAGUUCAUGGGAGAAAAUUGACUUACUUGGAUUCUAGAGGAUUAACGGGACCAAGUGCUAGUUUUCGGAUACAAAAUUCAGUAGUUUUUCAAAUGUACUAUAUGAAUGGAUGGAUGACAAAAGGAGGAUAUGGCGUGAAUAUUUUUAAAUGCAAAUUAUUAAUGAAUUUAGUAAUGAAUUACAAAUUUAAAAAAACGUGGGCUUUUUUUCACUAAAAAUUAUUAAUAAAUUUAAAAUUCAUUAGUAAACGAAAAUAAUAGAUUUAAAAAAAAAUAACACAAAAAUUUUAUGCAGAAUUUUAUCUUAAAUUUAUCAAGAUGAAAAUUUUUUUAUUUAUUAAUGAUAAUAAAAAUUAAUAAUAAAUUUUAAAAUUUAUUGAUAAUUUGUUGGUAAAUUAUUAAUAGAUUUAAAAUCUAUUAAUAAUUUCAAUAGUUUUUCAAAUGUACUAAUAAAUUGAAAUUCAUCAAUAAAUUACAACAUAUUUGUUAAUUGAUUUUAAGAUAAUUAUUAAAUUUUGAUAUUAAUUAUUUUAUAUUUAUAAAUUAUCAAUCGUAUUUUAAUUAAAAUCUAUUAAUAAGAUUAACAGAUUUAAACUUUAAACAAAAUAUUUAUAUUAAAAAUUAUCAAUUAAUUUUAAAAUCGAUUAGCAAAUUCGUUAAUAUAACUAUCAAUUAAUUUUAAUUAAAAUUGACUGGUAACUCAACAGAGUUUUUAAAGAAAAUAUGAGGAAAUUUAUUACUGAAUUUCAAUAACUUAUUAGUAUAUUUGUACGCAUUCUCUUUAUUAAAAAAUGACCAAGCUAGCUAUUUAAAAAUGACUCUCAUAUUAUUGGCUAAUAUGUCAAACUAACUACUUUGUAGUUUCUUUCAUUUAUUAAUACGUAAUGGAUUUAAUUUAUAAUAAAUAGACCAACACUAAUAGCUCAUUCGCCCAAACAAAUGCAUUAAUAAUUCAACCAUCUUCUAUGACAGCCUGGCUGCUGUGUGGAGAUUACUUGCUCAAGUUUUAUUUUUUAUUCAAUUAUUUUCAGUUUAAAUAAUUGAAAAAGGGUUAAAUACUAAUUAAACUUAAAGGCCAUGAUUGCUCAUUGAUAGAGUCUUAGAUAAGUAUAUCCAUUCAUACGUCUAGGUGGAAAUCACGUUAACCUUAUGCCCUAAUAAACAAUAAACAACUUGUUAUCUUUAUAAGACUUUUAUAUUUUUAUUUUUAUAUAUUUCAUAAUUUUAUAUUGCCCACUACACCAAAUUGAUUGGUAGUUAAAAUAUCUCUCUCAAACAUUUGGAUUGGACCUCAGAUAUAAAUCAUUAAUGGCACCCUUGAGCCCAGUAAAAAAUAAAUUAGGUACAAAUAAACCUGAUUAGUCUUACUGUAAUGCAUUAAUUUAAUACUUCAAUAUCUAUUUCUUUAUUUAUUAUUAUUUUUCAAAAACCUCAUUGACGAGAUGAAUAGUACCUUCAAAAUUAAAAAAGCAUUGUUGAUAUUUGUGAGCCGGCUUAGAUUAUUAUUUUUAUAAAUAAAUUUUAACAAAUAAAAAAAACUCUUACGAGCACAUAUGACUUCUAUUUUAAUCUGGUGUUAUAAUUUAACAUUCUUUUAUGCUCAAAAAUAAAUUGAGCAUGUGGAAAUUGAUACAUAGCCCCUCAUACUUUUUAUUAUUAUUAUUUAAAAAAGAUUGUGAUCAAACAAUUAAAAAUUUAGAUUCCUACAAUGAAUAAUUUUCACCGCUAAAGGGUUUUCCUUUGUCACAAAAAGCUUAUAUGAUAGAUUUAUGAUAAAAUUAAUCAUGUGAUUGAUAGCUUCGUCACAAACUUUUUGCAAUAAAACUUGUGUCUAUCGCUACUAUGUCGACGAACUUUGUGAUUGCACUGCUAAAUCAACGGCAAAAUUUCUUCAUUGCAAAAAUUUCUUCAUUGCAAAAUGGUAUGUAUUGUUACUCUCAAACUCUUAUUAAGUAUGAAGUUUAUAAGAUCUAUUAUCGUGUUAAUGGCUUAAAAAAGCCUUUCAUUAAAAAAAAAAAUAUAAGUUACAAAUUAUCUUAUUGCAAAAUGGUGAUGUUUGUUUCACUUUGAUAUUUUGACUCUACAUAAAUUUUAGGACCAUGUAUUAUUAUGGGUCAUCUUAAGCAAAUUUAAUUUUUAUAAUUUUAUAUAUUUUACAAGAAUUAUUUUACAGAUGAGUCUUAAUAGGCUAUGUUAUCUAUAAAAGAGAUACAAAUCUAAAAUGAUAGUGCGCUAUACAUAUUGAAAGAUUCUUCUUCAAAUUCAAGUGAUCUAUCGCUCACACGAUGUAAGAGUGUCCUUAAUUGAUAGAAGAGUACUUUUGUUAAAUUAUUUAUGUAAUGAUGUUCAUUUUAUUUUUUUAUAUAUAUUAAAAAAUAUAAUUUUUUAAUUAUAUUAAAAUAUUUAGAAAUUUUUUUAAAAAUAAAAUAAAAUAAAAUUAAAUACAAUUAUAAUAAUCAAUUUAUAUACUUUUAUAGUUUAGAAAAAAUAAAUAAUAAUUUUAAAAUAAUAAAAAAAAAGAUAAAAAUUUAUAGAGCAGUAUUUUAUUGUAAUAUUUUAAAAGCCUUGGGUCUAGGUCGGUCUUUAUUUUGUUUUAUUUUAUGGGUCUUGGUCUAUAUAUUAUAAAACGUUAAUUCUAGAAGGCUUAAUAAUCAAUAAUUCAACGUGCUUUUAUCUCAUUGGAUAGAUAUUAUUGAUUAAUUAGAUGGUCAUCACCUAAUAAUUAUCUCAGCUCCACAAUACGGCUUCAACCUCAAUAUCUUUCACACUUGUAAGCUCUACAAAUAUAUUAAUAUUAAUAUUUUUUAUAAUGUUUAUAUAUUAAUAUUUAAUAGAUUUUAUUAUUAAUAUUUAAAUAAAAAUUAUUGGUGUUACAUAAUUUCAAGUUAUAAAAUUAAUAUUAUAUUGCGAUUAAAUACAUCAAAAUAAUUCAAUUCUAAAAUUAAUUUAAUUAUAUUGUAUAUAUUUAUUUAAUAAUAAAUUUUUUUAUUAUUUUAAUAAAUUAAUAUAGUAAUAUUGUGAUUAAAUAAUAUUAGCAAUCUUAUACGCCUUUAAUCACAUAAUAAUAUUAUUGUAUAAUUUUAUUAGGAUCAAUUAUAAAUUUAUUAAUAUGUAGUUAUUAUAUUAUAUAAAAAUAUUUUAAUAUAUAAAAGUCUUAUAAAAGAGUACUAAUCAAGUAUAGAAGGAAAAUAGUUUUAAAGGGCUGCUUUGAUUAUAUUCGAGUAAAAUUGUACAGUUAAAUAUUUAACAGGUGAUAUUGGUCAAUUUUAUAUGAAUUUAUUAUAUUAAUAAUGAAAUUAUAUUUAUUAUGUAUGUAAAAGAGUUAUAUUAAAUAAUUAUUUUAAUAUGUACAUAUAUAAAUAAUAAUUUUAUUUGAUUAAAAAUAAAAUGAUCAUAAAAUUGAAAAUUUAUUGUGUUUUUUUUGAAAAAUUAUAAUUUUAUUUUACAGAGGGCAUUAAAACCACAAGCAUUCCUAGAUAACCACAAGCAUUCCUAGAUAGCCACAAACACCAUAUUAUAGCAUAAAAGAGAGAGCACCAAAAUUUUCUUUGAAAACUUCCAUGGCAAAGAGAGUUCCAUUCCUCCAUUAAAGAAGCUACGGAGGAGGGAAGGCAAAACUGAAUAUUCCACCAUCAGAAAAACUAAUUUCAUAUAUCAUAUGCAAAGCCACAAAUGAAGAAAGAUGUGUGAGACAAUUUCAAUUAUGGCAUGAAAUUAAGAGUAGUUGUUGAUUCCAAUUUAUUAAACUCUUUUUCAUGUUUCAAAAGGUAGGGAUUAUUUUUAAAUAAAAUCUCCUGAUUUAUUCUUUGACGGGUGUCAUUUAAAAUUUACUUUUCUUUUCUUUGAAUUUGUAGAUAGAGUAAGUGAGUAUUGAUUCCACAGAGAACUAAAUUUGAAAUAGAAGAGUAAUUUAAUACAAAAAGUGAGAAGUGGUUUUGCUUUGGGUAAGCAAAGAAAAAUAAACUUAAAAGAAAAAUAAUAAAUAAUAAAUAAUGUAAUUUAAUUAAUUAAAACUUUCAGCUAAAAGUAAUCAAAUUGCGGUGUUUUGCAGUUGAUCAUUGAUUAGAAAAAACAUAAUUAUAUUAUUAUUUAUUGUUUGGUUAUAGUGAUUAAACACGCGAAUUCCACCAAUUUUUUAUUAUGAAUAAAUUAAUCAGUUUCGCGUUUAAAUUAAUUUCUAGUUAACUAGCAAACUCCAACACGCGCGUGUAAGAACCUAAACUUGAUCAAUAAAAACACACGUUUUAUUUAAAUCAAAUCUACUAAUUCCUUAACAUAAGCUAAUAUGUUAAUUGCUACUUGUUAUUAACCCAGUUAAAUAAUUAUGGAUUUAAUUGCAUUAAUUAGUAAUAUGUUGUCUUUCGAAGAAAUUCAAUACCCUUUGAAUUCUCAAGAAAACAACAAUGGAUAUGGUGUUCCUCAAAUUCAAAAAUUAACAGAAAAUAGAAAUAAGAUAAAAAUAAUUGAAAUACAUAACCUCACAACUUGAAUAAAAUUUCAAUUUAAAACUGAAAAUAAUUGUUUAGCCUCUAAAGGUUAUAAUAAAAUUGCAACAACUAGGAAAAAAAAAAAGAAAAAAAAAAUUAGAUGAAGAAGAAAAUAGGGGAGGCAGCAAGAGAGGAAAGGAAGAAGAGAGGGAAAAAAUAUAUGAUGUCCCUAGGUUUAAUGCUAGGAGCCUUUAUAUAGGCACAAAAAGAUAAAACUUAAUAGUUUAAAAUAAAAUCUACUACUCCUAUAUUAUUUCUAUUUUAUUUUAUCUUUAUUUUAAUUUGAUUCACUUUGAUUUAACUUGAUCUUAUUUGAAACUGAUCUUAUCCUUAUUCAGGUGGCAAAAUCUAUCUUAUUCCCAUCGCCUUGGGUUACAGGUUUGGCCAAGAUUGCAACCUCCCAGUAUAAAAAUAUUUUAAUUCAGUAUUUUUUCGUUUCUUUUCUCAACUUUUGCUCAAAAAUCUGUUUAAAAUUAAAUUUCAAGUAAAAUUAAAUAUUUAUAUCAAAAUUAUGGAAUUAACAAAGGAAAAAGUUGUGAGUUUUGCAACUCAUCAUUCUUACUAUAAAAAGAAUACUAAUUCACUUAAAAUAUUCUUUUUAGCUUUGAUGGAAACCUAUAAUUAAUAUUAGAGUUAUUGAUAAAGGAUUAUUUAGACUUUGUCAGAAAUUUUAAUCAAUAUUGCGUGACUAAGACGAUAUAAGAGAAAGGCUAGAAGCCGAAAAAAUCUUAUUGAAAUUCUUUAAAAAUUGAAAAGUGAGACUCUAGUAGUUAAGUAAGACUAUUUAUAAUAGAAAAAAAACUCUAAUAUGUAAAAUUAUAAAAAUAUCUAAAAAAUUAAUUAAAAUGUAAAAUUAACCCCUAAACGAUGGAAUUUCUAUAUCGAACUAUGUGACAGACUUGCGGCCCUCAUCACACUUUUAAAAGUCGUGCGCCUCGAAAUUCUCUUUUCGAAAAGUUAUUGUGAGUCUCUAUCGGAUGUCGACAGUAAAAAUUAAGACCGGUAUAGGUCUGUCGUAAAAUUCAAGACUAGUUACUCCGUAUCAGUUAUGACAACUAAUAAAGAACAUAUUAAAAACUUGAAAGCUAGACUUGGUGAACCCCAAUCCCAUUUUAGUUGAAUCGAGAACGGUGUGAAUGAAAAGUUGCAACAUAUGGAAUCUGCCGUCGGCAGAAUUUCUAAACUCAUAAUCUCCAAUCGCUAUUUGUUGGCAACAAUUUGGAGACACCAGCCACUUCUCCCAUUCAACUUAUGAACACGUACAGAGAAGAGUGAUGAUAUCAAUAUGAGGAGAGCAGACACUUGUUUGCUUCAAAGCUCACUAAAUUAGAAUUCCCUCAAUUCAAUGAUAAUGAUUCUACUGGAUGGUUUGCAAAAAUUGAAAAAUUCUUUGAUUACCAAGAUACUCUAGACGAACAAAAGGUUCCUCGGAUCAUGCCAUAUAACGAAAUAUGAACACGCCUACAUAGGCAACAUGGGACGUGAGCACACUUACAUAUAGAACGUGAGUGGCCCAUGUAACGUGAAGAAGAACGUGGCCUUAUUUGUUGAUAUGCUUGCCUCACCUACAAUCAGGCCAAAUUAUUAUCUAUUUUUAAUAUUGUUAUUUCUUCUUCACCUAGCUAUGAAGUUAGAAGUAGUUAUGGAUUCUAAUUUGUAUUUAAACUCUUUUUCAUUUAUGAAAAAAAGCAUGCAUUAUUCUGAACAAAAAUUCAUGGUUUAUUCUUACCAUGAACGGAAUAUUAGUUCACUUAAAAUAUUCUCUUUAGUUUUGAUUGGAACCCAUUAUCCAAGGCUCUUCAGUUUUUGCAUUGAACUGAAAUUAUUUACAUCUGAUGCUGGACCUUGGGAAAAUUGGGUAUGCAUUUGAAUCUGGUGUAUCCCAUACUCCACUAUUGUGAAUUAUUAUAUAUCCAUUCAUACGUCUAGGUGGAAAUGACGUUAACCUUAUGCCCUAAUAAACAAUAAACAACUUGUCAUCUUUAUAAGACUUUUAUAUUUUUAUUUUUAUAUAUUUCAUAAUUUUAUAUUGCCCACUACACCAAAUUGAUUGGUAGUUAAAAUAUCUCUCUCAAACAUUUGGAUUGGACCUCAGAUAUAAAUCAUUAAUGGCACCCUUGAGCCCAGUAAAAAAUAAAUUAGGUACAAAUAAACAGUGACGGAGCCAGGAGCUUCCCUUUAGUAGGGCACCACUGGCUUAGCGCGACAUUAAUAAUUUAUCAAAAUUUUAGCAAAACAUCCCUAAAAUAUGGAUAUUUUCCAAAUGAUUAUUUCCAGCCGCCUUUCUUCUUCUUCAUCCUCCAAACCAAAACGCUGCAACUGCACUGCUGCGGCACCUUCAUCCCCUUUUAAAGUAUUUUCCGGUCGCCGGUAUGGCACGUGCCCCUUGCCGUACCGUCCCUCCGCCCCUGCAAAUAAACCUUAUUAGUCUUACUGUAAGUGCAUUAAUUUAAUACUUCAAUAUCUAUUUCUUUAUUUAUUAUUAUUUUUCAAAAACCUCAGAUAUAGGACCUUCAAAAUUAAAAAAGCAUUGUUGAUAUUUGUCAGCCGGCUUAGAUUAUUAUUUUUAUAAACAAAUUUUAACAAAUAAAAAAAAACUCUUACGAGGGCAUAUGACUUCUAUUUUAAUCUGGUGUUAUAAUUUAACAUCCUUUUAUGCUCAAAAAUAAAUUAAAAAAAAAAAAGGGAAAACGACGGCCCCAACGCUAAAGUUACCUACUGUCUUCCUUCAUCCUUUCUACAUCUCCCUCUCUAUCUCUGACCAUACACAUUCACACACUAUAGAAACUGUGUUAUAUAUCUACUCGCAACAAACUUAUGGUAGUGGUUGCAUAAGGAGAAAAACAAUAGGAAAGAAAAUUAUAGAGAAGAAAAAAAAGGAUAAAAGAAGAGGGAAAGGAUGAUUAGAGAAGUGAGAGAAAAUGAAAUAGAUAAUUAGAGAAGGAAAUAAAUGUAUAGAAAAUAAUAGAAAAUGAUGAGUUACAAAAUUCACCAUUUUUUCUUAUUAAAUUUUAUGAUUUUGAUAUAAAUAACUAAUUUUUAUUUAAAAUUUAAUUUUAAACAGAUUUUUAAGCGAAAGUUAAGAUAAAAAAUAAAAAAAAGGCUAAAUUGAAAGAUUUCCAGACGGAAAGUUAUAGCUACAAACUUGUACUCCAAGGCGAUAGACAGCUCUAGAUUUUAAAAAUUAUUAUCUCAACCUGAUCAAGAAAUGGCAUAAAAUGAGAAAAAAUUAAAACAAUAGAAAAAAAAGUUAUAGGAAAGAAAAAAGGAUGAAAGGAGAGGGGAAGGAUGAUCAGAGAAGUGAGAGAAAAUGAAACAAAUAAUUAGAUAAGGAAAUAAAUGAAGAGAAAAUAAUAGAAAAUGAUGAGUCGGAAAACUAACCACUUUUUUCUUAUUAAAUUUCAUUAUUUUCAUAUCAUUUUGAUAUAUAUAAUUAAUUUUUAUUGAAAAUUUGAUUUUGAAUAUGUUUUUGAGCGGAAAUUAAGAGAACAAAUGAAAAGAGUUUGAAUUGGAAGAUUUUCGAACUGGAAGGUUAUAGCCUUGAGUAAGCUUGUAAUCCAAAGUAAUGGAUAAUUCUAAAUUUCAAAAAUUGCCACCUCAGCUUAAUUUUUCCACCUAAGCAUAGGAUAAAAUCAGUUUCAAAUUGAAUAAGCACAAUAGAUUAGAAUAGGGGUAAGAUAUGAAUAAUAUAAUUUAUUUUAAAUUAUUAAAUUUUAUCUUUUGUCGAGGAAAAACCAAUAUAAAGUUUUCCCAAGAGUUAAACCUACAUCAUGUUCUUUUAUUCUUUUCCUCCUCUUCUCUCUAAGUCGCCGCCGCCCUUUCUUCUUCUCCUUCUUCUUUUUUCUUUUCCUUUUCUUUUUCUUUAGAUUUUUGCAAUUUUAUUAUAGCAUUUCAAGGCUAAACACUCUCUUUUCAAUUGAAGGUUAAUCCAAAUUGAAAUUUUAUUCAAGUUAUGAGAUUAUAUGCUUUAAUUCUCUUCAUUUUAUUUAUAUUUUAUGUUAAUUUCUAAUUUUAAGAAACACCAUCUCCAUUUUGUUUUCUUAAAAAUUCAAGAGGCCUAUUAAAUCUAUUGAGAAUAUAACAUAUUGCUAUUAAUCCAAUUAAAUUCGUAAUUGUUUAAUUGGGUUAACAACAACUAGCAAUUAACAUAUUAGUUUAUAUUAAGAAAUUAGUAGAUUUAAUUUAAAUAAAUAGCGUGUUUUUAUUGAUAAAGUUUGGAUUUUCUCUCUUAAUACAGUUGACUAAUUAAAUCUAUAGCGUGUUGUAAUUUAAUCAUAACUUAAUUAUAAAGAAAAAUUGGUAGGAUUCACGUAUUUGACCACCGUAACCAAACAUUAGAUAAUAAAAUGAAUUAUUUUUCUAAUAAAUGAUUACGGUUAAACUCCUCAAUUUGAUUGCUUUCAAGAUCUCAAUCUGCAUUGCUUGUUUUUCUUUUAAGUAUUUUUUAUUUGUCCAAAACAAAAAUCAAUUUCAUCAAAAACUCUCUUAUUUUUUACUUUUUUUAAUUAAAUUAAUAUUUUAUUUCAAUUAGUCAUUUAAAUUAAAUAAAAUUAAGUUCUCUAUUUGAUUGAUACUCAUUUACUUUAUCUAUAAGUUUUUAUUAAAUCAAGGAAAUGAAAGUACAUUUUAAUUGAUGGAUAUCCGUAAAAAAAUGAUAGAAGAAGACAAAAUUGGAGGAACCAAAUUGAAUAAAAAUUAUAUAUAAAAAAAGAGUUUGGAAAGGAAAGAAAAAUGAUGAAAAAAAAAUGAAAAAGGUGAAAUUAAUAGAAAGAAAAAUUAUAGAGCAAAAUGAAGAAAAUAAGAAAAGAGGGGAGAGCUAGAGGAAAAGAAAAAUAAAAAAAAUGAUAAAAAAUAAGAGAAAAAAAUUAUGGGUAAGAAAGUCAAAAUAAAAAUAAAAAAAAAAAGAAAAAAGACAAAGAAAAUAGAAGAAUGAAAAAUGAUAAAUGAAUGGAUGACAAAAGGAGAAUACUGUCUUAAUAUUUAUAAAUAUAAAUUACUAAUGAAUUUAGUAAUGUAUUCUAAAUUUUUUAGAAAAAAUGUGAUUUUUUUUUCUUUAAACCAACAUAUUUAAAAUUUGUUAGUAAAUUUAUUAAUAAAUGAAAAAUAAUAAAUUUUAAAAAGAUAAAAUAUAAAUUUUAUGUAAAAUUUUAUUUUAAAUUUAUCAGGAAAAUUUUUUAUUUAUUAGUGAUAAUAAAAAUUAAUAAUAGGUUUCAAAAUUUAAUUUUAAUUUAUUAGUAAAUUACUAAUAGAUUUAAAAUCUAUUAAUAAUUUCAAUAGUUUUCCAAAUGCAUCAAUAAAUUAAAAUCUAUUAAUAAAUUAUAACAUAUUUAUUAAUUAAUUUUAAGUUAAUUAUUAAAUUUUAACACCAAUUAUUUUAUAUUUAUAAAUUAUCAACAUAUUCUAAUUAAAAUCUAUUAAAUAAGAUUAACAAAUUUAAAUUUUACACAAAAUUUUUAUAUUAAAAAUUAUUAAUUAAUUUUAAAAUCGAUUAGUAAAUUCGUUAAUAUAAUUAUCGGAUGAAAAUAGACCGAGUAACUCAACAGAUUUUUUAAGGAAAAUAUGACGAAACUUAUUACAGAAUUUUUAGGCAAUCGAUUGCCUACUUAGGCGACGUAAGAGCGCUCUUUCAGACAAUCGAUUGCCCACUUAGGCGACGUAAGAGCGUCUUCUCAGACAAUUAAUUGCCCACUUAGACGACGUAAGAGUACCAUUUUAGACAAUUAAUUGCCCAUUUAGGCGACGUAAGAGCUCCUUUAGAUAAUAUAAGAGCACCCCUUAGGCAACGUAAGAACGUUCUUUCAAAAAAUCAAUUGCCCACUUAGACGAUGUAAUAGCGCCCUUUCAGAUAUCAAUUGCUCACUUAAGCUACAUAAGAGCGCACUUAGACGAUGUAAGAGUGCCCUUUUAGGCAAUCAAUUGCCCACUUAAGCGGUAUAAGAGCGUCAUUAGGCGACAUAAGAGCGCCCUCCAGGUGAUAUAAGAACCCCUUCAAGUAAUCAAUUGCUCAUUUAGGUGACGAAAGAGCGCCCUUUCAGGCAAUUAAUUGCUCCCCUUAAGCAAUUUUUACUCCCUCAUCAACAACCGAUUGCCAUGCAGUUUGUUAUGAUGGCAUCAUAGUACCAAAUCUCAUCAAUGCAAGUUGUUAAAGCAGACGGGAAUAUAAGUCAAGUAACAUUUAUUUAAACAUACAAGUUCAUCUAUUAAAACACUUAUAUUUUAGUUAUAUAUUGGUAACUUUAGUCUUCUCAUCUAGAUUAAAAUACACUCAUAAAACAUCAUUAGCACAAAACAAGUAACAAAGAAACUAAAGCCUCCAAAGUCAAAAUACAAGGCGACAAGUUCGUCAAGGGAAAAGUCAAGGCAAUCACCAAAGUGAUAUGUUGCCAAAUUCCCGUAAGGAGGCAAGUUCGUCAAAGAGAAUAAUCUAGUAUCGAACCUAAAGAUUCGACCAUUGUAGGAGGGACUACCGAUAUAGUUAUAUCUCUAUAACAAAAUACAAAAUAAUAUUAAUAAAAUAGAGUCUAAGGGAGAAGAAAGAAAAACUCUAAUAGAGGAAAGCAAGCUCAAUCUUUUAAACCAAUUGCCCCUCUUUCCAUGAAACACCCUUUUUCUCUCUUAUUAUAGAGAAUGAUUGUUGAAAAAUGAGUUGUAGGAGACUUUUAAGGUGACUCCCCUUGUGAAUGAGAAAAAAUGGAAUUUUUAUAGUGUUUUGAUGUUUAACUUAGGGUUUUGGAGUUAAAAUAAGAAGAAAAUGAUAUCUUUAUAGUGUCUCAGGACUAGGCCGUGCGUGUAAGGAGUCUUUCUCUCAACCUAGCGGUGAGAACCACUGUCCAUUUAGGGACAAAAGUAUGUCUCACGAUCAGACCGUGAGAUAUUUUGACCUCAUUCUUCUAUUCAUUGCUCCUCAUAGCCUGUUUGUGAAUUUUUGUUGAUUUUCAUGGCCUAGUCAUGAGAAGUCUUAUCUCUUGAUCUCCAAAAUCUUCAAAAUAAACUCCAAUUUUAUUUAGAAAUAAAGAAAAUUAAUAAAAGUUAGAUAUUUGAAAAUUAAUAUCUAUCAAAUAAAAAUUGUAUAAAAAACAUAAGAAAUAACUAUAGAAUUGUAUUUAAAUGUGGUAAAAAUAAAUAUAAAAAUUAUUAUAUUAAAAAAGUGAAAUAUUAGUUAACUUAAAAUAUAUAUUUUUUAAUUUUGAUUGCCUAGGUUCUUCAGUUUUUGCAUUCAACUGAAUUUAUUUGCAUCUGGGUAUGGAUCUGAAAUUUGUUGUGGACAAGAUAUACAUAUACACACAUAUAAAUAUGGUUACAACAAUGGAGAAUGAUAUUGUAGCAAUGGGAGAUUGAACUGGUAGCACAAUUAUUGGCUUCCAUUAAUACAAUUAGACCAUAUACUGAGAGAAAUCAUCAUCUCAUUUAGAAAGUUUAAUUAAUGUUACAGAUUCUCUUUAUCAAUUAUAAAAAAAUCUGAACGAAUUAAAUAAAACAUUUGUUAGUAUGUAAAUUAAAGAAUGGAUAAUUAAAAAAUCAUAAUCAUAUGAAUUAGGUUCGCCUUCCACAUCGUCGAAAAAAAAAGUCACAAUCAUUGAAAAAAAAAGUUAAUAGUAUUUGAAUUCAAAGGCCACGAUGGUUCAUUGAUAAAAGUCAUUAGCGUAAGUGUAUACAUUCAUAUUCUAGGUGAAAAUCAAGCCAAUAUUCUCCAUUACCUUAAUAAACAAUAAGCAACUUGCUAGUGUUAUAAGAUUUAAUAUUUAAUUUUAAUAAACAAUAAAGUAUUUGAAUUCGAACAUUUCUCUCCAAACCUUGAGUUGAACCUUAAUAAUUUUUUAAACAAAUUUUAACAUGCAGAAAAUAACAGUUUUUAUAGGACUAGUUAUUAUUAAUAUAUUAAAAUAAUUAAUAUUUUUGAGCUAUUAAUAAAAAUUAUAUCUAUUUUCAGACUUCAUUUAAUCUGAUGGUAAAUUCAUUUAAGUAAAUUUAAGAGAUUUCAGAUUCUAUUCCUCUAAUUCUUAUUUAAAAAAAAAAAAUUAUAUCAGAUAUGUGAUUUGUUUUUGAGCUAUUAAUAAAACCCGCAUGCUGCGCAUUAAUAAAAAGAAACUCAUUAAUAAAUUUAUAUGCAUUGCACAAAAUGACAUUGACUGGAGCUGGACACCACAUGCUGCCUAUUCUACGCUCAACGUCAACAUUAUAUAUAUAUAUAUAUAUAUAUUUUAAAGGAUAACGAAGGUCUGAAUGCUAAAGUUACCUACUGUCUUCCAUCAUCCUUCCUACAUCUCCUUCUCUAUCUCUGAUCUUUCACAUUCACACUUUAAUAUAAGAACUGUAUUAUAUAUAUACUUGCAAGAAAUCAUUGGUUGUGGUUGAAUAAGUCUGCAACUUCUGAUGGCUUCACGGUGGGAAGAUCGCCGGAAUGAAACUGGAGGUACUAAUCGUUCUAGCUAAAACUGUUUAAUGAGUUCAAAUAGUAAUAUUGUUAUGGAACUUUCAUUUCAUGUAACUUAUUGAAGCAUGUUGUUUAUUGUAUGGUCACUAAGCACAGAUCCGAAUGAGUCUGAUCCAUUUCCUGAGAAGAGUCCAAGUCAUGCUUAUGCAUCUGAUAAUUCUAAGGUUAUUGGGCCAAAAUCAUAUUCAUACAGUGAAUUAGCACAGGCAACUGGUCAUUUUUCGCUCAAUUACCAAAUUGGUCAAGGUGGUUUUGGUCAAGUUUUUAAGGCAUCCUUAAAUGGUAAGAUCCGUGCUAUCAAGAAACUCAAUAAUUUUGUAGAUGUACAGCCCGAAGGAAAGUUGGAGAACGAGAUUAAGGUCGUUAAUAGAGUCAGUCACAAAAAUCUUGUUAAGCUAGCUGGUUACUGCAUUGAUGGAGCCAACAGAUUGCUUAUUUUAAAGUAUUUUUCCAAUGGGUCCUUGAGAUCUAAAUUACAUGGUGAGUCCCACACCUUUAUUUUAUGUUCAUAUGACUAAUUAAUAUAACAUAAUUAAUCUUAUAAAUUAUAAAUGGUAUUGUAGGAAAUGAAAAUGUUUUGGACUGGAAAAAGAGAAUGAAAAUCGCCAUAGGUUCUGCAAAAGGAUUGCAAUAUUUACAUGAAGACUGUGAGUAUAUAUUAAUAGAAUAUAUUCGUUCUUAGUAGGCUUUUAGGCUUUUUUAGAAUGAAUUUUAAUUUUUUUCUUUAUUUGUGCUAAUAAUUUAUUUCCUCUCAAAGUUUUGUUCUCCUUUUUUAUAUAUAUAUUUUUUCAGGUGAACCUAAAAUCAUACAUUUAGAUGUUAAGGCAGAUAAUAUUCUUCUUGAUGAUAACUUUGAACCUAAGGUAUGUUAUAUAAUUUGAUAAUAAAUAAAAAAAAAAUUUUAUAUCAUCAUAUAAGUAUAGUGUAACCUUGAUCAUUGAAUACCAAAAUUUUUAUUUUUGAAUAAUAUUGAAAAAUAAUGUGAACCCAUUAAUUUGAUUGCUUAGGUUUCAGAUUUUGGACUUUCCCUAUUUUUUUCGGAUGCUGCUUCUCAUGUCUCAAGAUCAUCAAUUAGAGGAACCCAAAUGUAUGUAAGAUACAAAUUUCUUUCUAUCAUUUAAUAACUGUCUAUUGUUUUCAGUGCCAUCAUGAUAUCUUCUCUUAGAGCUCCUUAAUUUAAAGAUAUUAUUUUCUUAUAGGAAAUCUUAAUAUGAACAUUAAUUGUGAAGAUAUUAAGUUGAAUUGUAUGAUUGAAUUGCAGCUAUGCAGAUCCAUUGACAACCCAAUUGGGAAAGCACUCUGAUAAAUCUGAUGUUUAUUCUUUUGGUGUUACACUUUUGGAGUUGAUUAGUGGGAGAAAACCCAUAGAUCAAAAAGGCGUUAGUAUUGUUAUUUGGGUACGAAUCUAUUAAACUUUAACAAUUUAAUAUAAAAUUUGUGUUUUUAGCUUUGAUAUAAGAAUUGAUUUUUAAAAAAAAUGGAUAGAGAAAAUCACAAUUGGAUGUAUUAAGAUAAAAUAAUGAAACUUUCUCUCUAGCAACAUCUAAAAAAAGACAAAAACAUAUGCUAUAUGUUAAAUAUAAAUUUACACGCAACAUGUAUUUAUAUCCAUUAAUAAAUAAUUUUUAAUCAAUAUUUUGCAGGCAAACUCUUUAAUUGAAAAAGCUUUGAAAGGUGAAUAUGGGGAUUUUGUAGAUUCCAGGUUACAAUCCUUUGACCAACCCUUUGAUUACGAAGAAAUGCAUCGAAUUAUUUUUUGUGUUAAUGCUUGCAUAAAUCUACCUCUAGAAUCCCGUCCAUCAAUGAAAAGGGUAAAUUCUGUUCACAUAAUUUAAUUUUGAUAUAUAUAUAUAUAUAUAAAAUACAUGUUAUUUGCAAAAAAAUUUAUGGAAGCAUUUAGAGAUUACACAGUUGACUUGUAAAUCUUUUUAUCAUUGCUAUGCCAUGUAGGUAGCUCUAGCUCUUGAAGGAAUUCUGCCUCUGAAGAAUGACAACAAAUUGUACUCCGGAGUUUCAUAUAAAGGUCUGUUUUCUUAUAAAAAAUGGAAUAACUUUUGCAAAGUAUUAUUAUUUUUUUAGAAGACUUACUAUUUAGUAAAAUUUAUUAGUUAGUAUCUUAAUUUUAAAAAAUAUAUUAAAACUUUCAUGAGACAUUAAAAAGUCUACUAAUUAAUUUUAUCGUUAAUUUUAGUCAUUAAAUAUGAAAAAAAAAUCUAAAAUUAGAGACUAAUUAACUUAAUAUAUAUAAAAUUAAGAUAUCAAUUAAUAAAUUUUAUUGAUAUUAUAGAGACUAAAUAAUAAAAACACUUAAUAUUUAAAGUUAACAAAUGACUAAUUAGUAGAUUUUUUAAUAUUUUAAAAAUAUUUUAAUGAGUUUAAUGAAUUUCAUUAUUAUAUUUGAGGGACUAAAUAAUUAUUUUUUCUUCUCUUUAUAUAUAAAUUUAACUUAAUGAUAAAGUGAGAUCAUUUUAAUGUUAAAAAAACCCCUAAUAUUAGAACAAAAUUUGAUUUUUAUUUAAAUCUGAUUGGCAUAUAAUUCCUUUAUUUAAAAGGAGAUGGAAUGAUAUGAACUUAAUUCAUCUUUUUUUUGAAAAAAAAAAAAAAAAAGUAUCCACCUCUGUUCAUGUAUUUAUAAUUUCUCCCUGUUGAGUUGCACUAAUUUACCCUUCUUUUUCCGGAAGCAGAUAAGCCUAAGCCAAGCCCCAAGCCUUCGUUCAUUCCAGAAACUAAUAGAUCAUCAAAUCAAGUUUACAAACCAAGGAGAUUUACUUAUAAACAACUAAUAAAUAUAACUUAAUGAUAAAGUUGGAUCAUCUUAAUGUUAAAAAAAUCCUAAUAUUGGAAUAAUUUUUAAUUUAUUUAAAUGACAUAUAAUCCUUUAUUUAAAAGGAGGAAGGGAUUUAAUUAAUUCACCUUUUUGUAAAAAAAAUAUAUCCACCUCUGUUCAUGUACUUGAUCCUUUUUUUUUUUUUUCCUGAAGCAGAUGAGGUUAAGCCAAGCCUCAAGCCUCCUAUCAAUCAAGAAACUAAUAAGCCAAGCUCCAAGCCUCCUGUCAUUCAAGAAACUAAUCAAAUCGUUGUACGGAAUGGUCGAAGCACCAGUCGACAACCAACAGAAGCAACUAGUAAUGGUUCCUCCAACAACAUUGGAGAAACUUCAUUUGAAGAGAAGACUCAAGUUUACAAACCGAGGAGAUUUACUUAUUUUGAACUAACAUCUGCGACUCGAGGUUUCGCUAAAAACAACCUUCUUAACGGGGGUCCUUUGGGUAAAGUUUAUAAGAGUAUCCUAAAUUAUGAUGAAACGGUGAUAGUGAAGAAACUCUAUAUAUACAUGUGUGAAGGGAAAGAAGAUGAAUUCAAGAAGAUUAAAGACAUCAGCACUAGUGUCCAUGAUAAAAAUGUUGUUAACCUGAUUGGAUACUGUGAUGAAGGAGACAAAAGGUUGCUCGUUUACGAGUAUUUUCCAGCCAAGUCCUCCUUGAGAUCUCAUUUAGAUGGUAAGCCCUUUAUCUUAAGCAACUCAUCAAUAAAUGUGUGUGUUACUAUAGGAUUUAUGGCUUUAUAAAGAUAAUGUUUAUUAAAUUUUGGAUCAGACCUAACUCAUUCCAAAAAUUAGUUCACUGAGAAGAGUGUCCAAAACCCAUAUAAGUGGCACAUUAUCCCUAUAUCUCAAAUCAUUAUCAGAUUCAACACAAUCUCCAUGUACAGGACUAAAUUGGGGAGUGAAAUAUUUAUGUAAGACUCAAUAUUGAAUGAGAAGACUAUAAACCAUGUUAAGUUUUGGGUAAGUCUAAUUCACCCCAAAAUCUAAUUCUGAAAAUCCUUAUAAGCGGCAUAUUACCUCUAUCCCAAACCAAUGUAGGAUUCAACAAUGUUAAAUGAAAAAUUCUUAUUUGAACCUGGACCUAGAACAUAGAAAAUUGGAUUUCAUUUAAUUUUUUUAUGGAGUAAUCCACUUACAUGUAUUUUUAGUCCAUAAUGAAUCGAGUCCGAAUACCGGCUUUACAUGUUAAAUGGAUACCUCCAACAGUCCUUAAAACAAAAAAAGUUGCAAACGUCAACGGCCAUUACUUCAUUCAAUGGCCCAUUUAAUAGCCAUAUCGAAAGAAGGGAUGAAGGCCAUCAGUUCCAAGUGUGAUGUGAAAAAAUUUCCCUUGAACCCGAGGUCACAGUGAGGUGAGCUGUUGGGAGCUAUGGGUAUUUUUUCCUCCAGAUUUAGAGUAGUUGCUUCAGUGGGAUGACUUAAACAUUGAGUAUGCGAGAGUAAGAUUUAUUAUUAGAAUACUUUAUUUAUGAGAUUUAGAGUGUUAUUUGAUUUAGUGAAAUGACUUAAAUACUGAUUAUAUGUGAGAGUAGUAUUUACUUUGGGGCAUUUUUUCUAAGGGAUUUAGAAGGUUGUUUAUUGCAUUAGGGUGACUUAAAUAGUGGGUAUGUGGGAGUGGUAUUUUCUAUCUGAGAUUGAAAAGAGUGUUCCUUUAGUGAAAGUUGCUUAAACACUUAGUGGUAAUAACAUGAGUCUUCAUAUUUAUAUGAGAGGAAUAUACAAAUAUUAUGGAAAAUAUUAUAGGAAUUACUCAAAUAAUUAUUAUAAUAUUUGUACAUAAUAUUAUUCGCAUAUAGUGAAAAAGUAUUUUAUUGCUAUCUAUAAACGUAGGCUGGCAUUCAGCUAGUCGAACCAAAUUAAAAUUUUGUAUUUUUUAUUUUUUUUACGAUUUCUAGAAAUAAUCCCUAAUUUUUUCCGAACGGAUAAUAUGGCAGGGAAUGGCAGUUUGGAUUGGCCAACCAGAAUGGAGAUCGCUAUACGCAUCGGAAGAGGAUUGGUAAAUCUGCAUGACUUAUGUGAGUCUUCGCUUGUAUGCUUAGGCCUUGGCUAUAUCAAAGCUUGAUUUUUCCAGAUUUUCUCCCUUAAUAUUUGUGAUCUCUAUAUUUCUCAGACAAGCCCUGGAAUAUAUACGAGCAUUAUAAGGAUAAUAGCAUCUUUCUUGAUGAAAAUUUUCAACCAAAGGUGAUUAUAUAUAUGGCAGAUUUAAACAUUUUCGAAUGAUCAAUUAGUAUUAUGUAAAAAAUUUCUUAAGCUUAUUAUUCAAUAUGCAACUAUACUUAACUGUAAAUAUAUGGUGCAAUAAAUUUACUUUGAUUAUCAUUUUAAUCAGUUUGCAGAGUAUAAACGUGACAAAUUUUUCUCAAAAGAUUCUGGAAAUUCUAUUCCUAGAAGGUAAAGAUGAAACUUUUGUUUAUGUUUUCUCUUCGUCAUAUUGUUUGCUCAAGCUUAUAGAUACAUGAUCAAUUCUCCAACUGCAGUUCUAUGUCUUCAAGAUAUGUAAAGCUAGAUGUUUAUUUCUUUGGUGUAAUUCUUUUGGAGAUGAUUACUGGGAAAUUACCUGAUCUUCGUUCCUAUGAUUCCUUCAACUUAAUUGAAUGGGUACGUAUUAAUUUUUUUGUUUUAAUACAAAUGAAAAGAGCUUCUUGAUUUGAGUAUGUAAGGGUUUAUUUAUUUAUUAUUCUUAACGUUCAGGCUGUUCCUACAAUUCAAAAUGAUUGGCCCCAAGGCAACUAUAAGUUUGUUGAUGAAAAAUUGGGGAGAAACUUUGACGAGGAUGAAAUGGAUAGAAUGAUAGAAUGUACUUUAGCAUGUGUAGAGCGUUAUCCACAAAAUCGACCAGAAAUGAGCAAGGUAAUUUCAUAAAGCUUUACAUUCUAUUUUAUAUUAUGCAUAUAUACAUGUGAGUUCGUUUUUUAAACGAUUCAAUCGAUAUAUUUUAGUAUUUAGAUAAUAAUAUUUUUAUUACGAUCGUAAAAUUAUUAUCUUAAUGGCUAAGAUAAUAAUUUAAAAUUAUUAUAAAAAAAUUCAUUCGAUAAAAUUAUAAUUUUAAUUAAAAAAAUAAUUAAAUUAUUACUUUAUUUUUAACAACAAUGUAAAUAUAAUAGUUGUUAAACUGUUAUUAUUAAUUUAUAAUUAUUUUUAAAUAUAUAAAACAAUAAUUUAUAAUUAUUGUAUUAAAUUUAUUUUUCUAAUAGUAAUUAUAAUAAACUAAUAACAUUCAUGUGUUGGAAUCAUACUCUAAUUUUGGGAAGAAAAAAAAACUCAAUUGCUAAAAGUUAAAUUUUGUAAGAAUUAUUGAUGAAGUUAUUUUAUUCCAUUUAUUAGCAGAUCAGUACUCUUUUGUUUCCCUUUUUCUAAUUACUUUUCUCGGUAAAGCAGGUUGUUGAAGUUCUAGCAGGAAACAUUCCUCGGAAAAAUCUCAAGAAUUGAGAUGAAAUGUUUGAAAAAGAAAAUUAUUUUUUUCCUUUUCAAUAGAAGUUGGAAACUUCCUUGAAAGGCCGAUUGGACAUUGAAAUAAAAGAUAGACCUCAGUUGAAAUGGCAAAGGAGUGUAACUGGAAGACUUUCUGAAUUUUGCUUGUAUUGAUGUGUCUUGGAGACUAUUGCAAUUUAAAAAAAAAAAAAAAAGUUCCGUUUGAAAUAAAUCGAAUGUAAAAAAGUGAUUUAGCUUAGAGUAAUUUUUUUAAUUAACUCUUUUUAGUUAAUAAAAUUAAAAUUUUAGUUAUUAUGUUUCUAAAUAUACAAAUUAAAUUAAAUUCUUCUAAAUUUUUAGUUUUCAAACAGGAAAAUAAAAGGUUUUGGAAGGUUUGAAUCCAAAUAAGAACCUUGAGAGAAUUAUAUCACCACCGCCAAAUUGCUGGACUAUCUACAGUAGCAUUUCUUUUUCAAAACAAUUGAAAAUGAGGUUACUUCUUAUUAUUAAUUUAAUUCCAAUAACUUAUCAUAUUUGUCGUUAUUAUCCAUAUUAAACAAUGACCAAGAUUUUAAAAUGACUCUCUCUAAUUUAAUUCUAAUAUUAAAAAUGACCAAAUUUAUUAUCUAUAUUAAACAAUGACCCUAAGAUCAAACUAACAACUUUGUAGUUUCUUCAUUUAUUAAUAUGCAAGUGGGACAUAAAAAAAUCAUUAGUUAAUUAAUUUAGUACGUCCUAUUUUAUAAUACACUGACCAAUCUGAAAGCUGAUUGGCCCCCACAAAUGGAUUAAUUAAUAAUUCAACCUUCUUAAUUAAUGCCGCCUUCACUGACAGCCUGGGUACUGUUCAGAAACUAACAAUAUAGUAAUCUUAGAUUGCACCGACUCUGCAUAAUUUGUAUUUUUUUAAUACUCCCUACUUUGAAACUUUAAUUUUCGCUAUCAGUCCUCAUUCAAUCUAUUCGAUUUUAAAAAUUAAAUCCAUCGAAAAUUAAAAUUUAAAUAUUUUUAAAAAUUUUAUUUUAAAAAAAAAAUAUAUUUUUCAAAGUUAAAUUAAAUUAAUUUUAAUUAAAAAUUAAAUUAAAUUGAAUUCAUUUAAUUUAAUUUUAUUCAAUUCAAUUUCAUCAGUUAAAUUUUUAAUAAUUUUUAUUUUUUAUAUUUUAAAAUUUAAUUAAAUUAUUUUUAUUUUAAUAUAAUUUAAUAUAUUUAUAUUAUUAAAAAUAAUAUAUUAUUAUCCUUAAUCGGUUCAGUUUAAUUUUUUUUUAUUUUUUUUAUUAAAAUUAAACUGAAUUGAAAUAAUUAAAAUUUUUAAAAUUAAAAAUUAAAUCAAAUCAAAAUAAAUAAAAAAUUAAAUUAAUUAAUUUUUUCCAUUUAAGCUGCAUGCGAAUCACUAUCAUCUUUGCCAUGCUGUCAAAAUUAGAUAACAUAUGUUUUUAUUAAAAAAAUAUUAUGCCCAUGUAAAACAUAUAGGUUAAAUAUAUAUUUAUAUAUUUAUAUUUUAAUAUUAUAUACAAAACGAUACAAGAAUAUAUAUAUAUAUAUAUGACUGACUCUCUCUCUCCUUGGCUUUUCAUUUCCUACCUUGACUGACUCUCUCUCUCUCUCUCUCAUCGUAACCUUGUGGGCAGCCAUGGCUGGGUCUUACUUUCGCUGGUUCAAGAAUAACGAAGGAAACGCCAAUGACCAAAACAGAGGAGGUAUAUCUUUGCUUAUACUGUAAGAUAAAUCCAACUCUGUUGGAAUUUCUUACCUUCUAAUAUCUAUAUUAAUAUAUAAAAAUCCAAAUCACUGUAUCAUGAUCAUAUAUGAUUAGAUUUGUUUGUUAUGUUAUAGACCUAUUUUUCUUAUUUGAUUUAUCAAUUUUUGUUUUUCAGAUAUUAAUUAUUGACAAUAAAACUUAUAUUUAAAAAUAAAAAAAGAAAGCCCUUCUCAUUUGAUUCUCUUUUGUUUUCAAUUAUUAAAAACAGAGGAAAAUGCAAUUCCAGAACCAAGCAGAGGAGGUAUGUUACAAGUGAAUUGCUAAACAUCCUAUUUGAAAUUUCGAUUAUGUGUGAAAUUUAUAUUUGCCGUACUACAUCUUUUAGUUUCGUAAGGAAUUAUUGACUUAAAAGUAGACCUAGCUAGAUCUAUGGAACGGAAUAAAUGGAAAAUUGAAAUAUGAGUAUUUUAAUAAUCAAACCGAAUUGAUUUUAAUCAAAAAUUAAAUCAAAUCGAAUCGAUUUGAUUCAAUUUAAUUUAAUGAGUUUUAGUUUUUAAUAAAUUUUUUUAUUUUUUACGCCGUUUUUUAAUAUUUUAAAAUUUAAUUGAAAUAUUUUAAUCUAUAAUCUAAUCUCUUUAUAUUAUUAAAAAUAAUAUAUUAUUACCAUCAAUCAGUUCAGUUUGAUUAUUUUAAUUUUUUUUUUAUCAAAAUCAAACCGAAUUGAAAUAACUAAAAUUUUUAAAAUUAAAAUUCGAAUUGAAAUAAAUAAAAAAUUUAACUUAAUUUUUAAAUUAAUUCAGUUCGGUUAAUUUUUUCGAUUUGAAUUCAAUACUGCUCACUCUUAACCAGAUUUAUUCAAGCCGUGAAUUGAAUUGAAAUGAUCAAUUAAAUUCUAAGGUGACUCCCCCUUAUGAAUGAGAAAAAAUGGGAUUUUUAUAAUGUUUUGAUGUUUAACCUAGGGUUUUAGAGUCAAAAUAAGAGGAAAAUUAUAUUCUUAUAGUGUCUCACGACUAGGCCGUGCCUGAGGAGACUUUGUCUCGGCCCAGUUGAUCAAGUAUAAUUUAGCGACAUUUUUCUUAUUAUUAUUACUAUUUAAAUAUGUAUUUUCUUACCUUAAUUUAUAUUUUUACAAUAUUUUUGCAGAAAAGGAGAAAAAUGGAAACUUGGAGAAAAAUAGCUUGAAAUGCUAGAAAACUGAUUUGGCCGAAGCGAUUUGACCAAAUCAAGCCUCAAAGAAUGCCAAAGGCAGCUACAAGAAGAGGAAGCUAACCUACAAGACUUGAUAUGCCUAUGUUGAUUUGCCCGGAUCGUUGGCCAAAUCACCUUAAGAAAAGUUGAAACUGAAACCCGGAGGAAACACGCAGAAAUGAUUUGGGCGAGGGAUUUGCUCAAAUCACUGUCUAAAUCAACGGUCCUCAGCAAGAAAAUACAGAAGCACGGAAAAGCAAAAAUCCAAAGAUUCAAACGUCUUAGAGUCCUAUCCUACUUCAAAUACACCAAGACCAAUCCUAUGACACCACAUAAACUGCACCAAAAGGAGUCCUACACCAAAUGAGAUCUAUUCAUGCUAGAAUAUAAGAUAAAGAAGAAAUAAAAAAAAGACCAUCAAAGACCAAGUCUAAAUAAGAUUCCAACUCCAAGAAGGAUUAAGACUUCUCACCUAUAAAAAAGGGCAGCAACCAACAGCAAAAAAAUAUCAGAAUUUUGGGCAGAAGCUUCGACAACACCUCUCGCUCUCAUUUUCUUCUUCUUUUUCUCUUUUAUGUGUUCUUUAUCCACCAUGAGUGGCUAAAAACUUUUAUCUCUAGUUGAAGUUGGAGAAAUUUCAGUUUGUUAUGAAUUGGGAGAUUUGAAACUCCAUUGUUAAAACUUUUAUUUUUCAAGAUUUAUGCAACUUGUUCUUCAUGUCUAUUAUUGCCUUGCUAUUAGAAUCAAUAAGGGCCCAUUGCUUUUAAUUAUAGGUAAUAUAUUGUUAGUUUAAAUAAUUUAGGUCUGUAAUUGCUUAGAUUAUUUGAACACAAGUAACAAUUGGUUGCAUGAUCUAACUUAACCACGCGGUUGACAUUAGAAUUAGGUUUCUCUAUUUUUUAAUGCAGUUAACAGUUGAAAAGUGAAAAACUCUAAAGACGUUCCUUGGCAAUUUGUUAACUAGUGUUUGAUUAACGAACAUUUCCUAAUCAAAUUAAAACUAAUGAGGAAUUUGGUUGUGGGAAGCGUCUUCCACAACCUAAACUAAUUUAUUAAUAUAAAUAGAAGUAUCCAAGCGUCAAUGAUCAAUUCUAAACUGAAAUGGAUCAUAUACUUCAAUUAGAGUCUUUUUAUUAUUGAUUUACCCAUCUUUUAAUUAUUGCUCUCUUUACUACUUUAGUAUUAAUCUUAGAUCAUCAUCAUAAAAAACAACCCCCUUUAUUUUAUUUUUGUUAGUUGAUUUGCCCCGGUCAUUGUUAGGAAAGUCUUUAGUGUCAAAUCUCUGUGUUUCGAUCCUAUUGCCACUAUCUACAGUUCUUUUUGGUGAUUAUUAAUAGAUUUAUUUUUUACGAUUUCGACAACCGCUAUCACUAGUGGUGAAAACUACUGUCCAUUUAGGCAAAAAACAUGUCUCACGACAAGGUUGUGAGACAUUUUGACCUCAUUUUUUUUUUCUAUUCAUUGCUCCUCAUGGCCUAUUUGUGAAUUUUGGUUGGCCAUGAGAAGUUUUGACUUUUGAUCUCCAAAAUGUUCAAAAUCUUCAAAAUAAACUCCAAUUCUACUUUAGAAAUAAAAAAAAUUAAUAAAAGUUAGAUAUUUUAAAAUUAAUAUCUACCAAAUAAAAAUUAUAUAAAAAAUAAGUAUAGAAUUGUAUUUAAAUGUGGUAAAAAUAAAUAUAAAAAUUUAUUAUAUUAAUAAGUGAAAUAUUAGUUAACUUAAAAUAUGUAUUUUUUUUAAUUUUAAUUGGAACCUAUCAUCCUAGGUUCUUCAGUUUUUGCAUUCAACUGAAUUUAUUUGCAUCUGGGUAUGGAUCUGAAAUUUGCUGUGGAUAAGAUAUAUAUACACACACACGUAUAAAUAUGGUUAACAAUGGAGAAGGAUAUUGUAGCAAUGGGAGAUUGAACUGGUAGCACAAUUAUUGGCUUUCAUUAAUACAAUUAGAACAUAUAUAGACUGAGAGAAAUCAUCACCUCAUUUAGGAAGUUUAAUUAAUGUUACAGAUUCUCUUUAUCAAUUAUAACAAAACCUGAACGAAUUAAAUAAACCAUUUGUUAUUAUGUAAAUUAAAGAAUGAAUAAUUAAAAAAUCACAAUCAUAUGAAUUAGGUUCACCUUCCAGAUCGUUGACUUUUGAAAAAGGGUUAAAAUACUAAUUAAAUUUGAAGGCCAUGAUUGUUCAUGGAUAGAGUCUUAGCAUAAGUGUAUCCAUUCAUACGUCUAAGUGGAAAUCACGUUAACCUUAUGCCUUAAUAAACAAUACACAACUUGUUAUUUUUGUAAGACUUUUAUAUUUUUAUUUUAUUUUCAUUGUUGGCCACUACACGAAAUUGAUUGGUCAAUUAUUGAGUUAAAGUUAGAAUAAAGAGAAACUCAUUGAGCUAAAGUUACCUACUGUCUUCCUUCAUCCUUCCUACUUACUCUCUAUCUCUGACCAUUCCCAUUCACACUCUAUAAGAACUGUAUUAUAUUUAUACUUGCAACAAACCUCUGGUCGUGGUUGCAUAAGUCUGCAAGUUCCGAUGGCCUCUCGCUUGGGGAUGAACGGGGCAGAUCGCCGGAUGGAAACUAGAGGUAUUACUUGUUUUUAGCUGAAACUGUUGUACCAAAUAGUAAUAGUUCAUGGAGAUUUCAUUUCAUCUAACUCAUUGGGGCAUGUUGUCUAUUGAUUGUCACUGAGCACAGAUCCAAAUGAAUCUGGCUCAUCUCCUGAGAAGAGACCAAGUCAUACAUCUGCAUCUGUCAAUUAUAAUGAUAUUGGGCCAAAGCCAUAUUCAUACAGUGAAUUAGCAAGGGUAACUGGUCAUUUCUCGCUUAAUAACCUAAUUGGUCGAGGUGGUUUUGGUCAUGUUUUUAAGGCAGUCUUAGAUGGUGAGAUUCGUGCUAUCAAGAAACUUGAUUUUCUGGAUGUACAAUCUGAAGGAAGUUUGGAGAGGGAGAUUAUGGUCAUCAAAAGCAUCAGCCACAGAAACCUCGUUGAACUGGUUGGUUACUGUAUUGAUGGAGCCAAUAGAUUGCUCAUCUUAAAGUAUUUUCCAAAUGGAUCCUUGAGAUUUAAAUUACAUGGUGAGUCCCAUAUCCUUUCUUUUACUUUUAUGUUCAUCUAACUAAUCAAUAUGACAUAAUUAAUCUUACAAAUUAUAAAUGGUAUUAUAGGAAGUGAUAAUGUUUUGGACUGGGAGACAAGAAUGAAGAUCGCCAUAGGUUCUGCAAGAGGGUUAGAAUAUUUACAUGAAAAUUGUGAGUAUAUACUACUACAUAUUCUUAUAUGGCAGGAUUUUAGCUUUUGAGUGUAAAUUUAUUUAUUUAUUUUUAUUUAUGUUGAUAAUUUAUUUUCUCUCAAAAUUUUAUAUUCUUUUUUUUAUAUUUUUUUCAGGUAAACCUAAGAUUAUACAUUUAGAUAUUAAACCAGAUAAUAUUCUUCUCGACGAAAAUUUUGAACCUAAGGUGAGUUAAUUUUAUAAUUAAUAAAUAUUUUAUUUAUAUUACUGUUCUCUAACAAAAAAAAUAUCAUUAAAUACCAAAAUUUUAUUUUUAAACAGUAUUGAAAAAUUAUGUGAACUCAUUAAUUAUAUAAUUUGAUUGUUGUAAUUAAUUAAUAAAUUUUGGUUCUAACUUUUUGGUUUGGCCAUAUAUCUUAUAAAAAAAUUAAUAAAUCAAUCUUAGUAGGUUUCUUAUCUUUUUUUUUUCAUGAUUUAAAGUUUUCUUAAUAAACCUUAUUGAAGUAGGGAAAAUAGUGUAAUUUAUCAAAUUAAAAAAGUAAUAAACUUAUUAAUCUUCUCAAAUCAUUUGUUUAGAUAACAGAUUUUGGACUUGCUCAAUUUUUUACGGACGGUGCUACUCACAUAUCCAAAUCGUCAGUUAUGGGAACCCAUGUGUAAGAUAUAAAUUUCUUUUUUAUCAUUUAAUUGCAUCGCUAUUAUUGUUUAACUCUUUCGUUGCCAUUAUUAUCUACUCUUAGACUAGUUUAAAAAUAAAAUAAAAUUUAAAACAGACCAAAAAAAACCCACGAAAAGAAAUUAGGACUUGAAGAUCUUAGUUCGUUAAAGAAAAUUUUAACAUGAUUUUUUUUAGAAAUUUAUAAUUUAGUACCUCAAUAUUGCAAUUAUUAACAAGUCAGUUCUCGUAUUUUCAGAAAUCUAUUAAAAUGUCUUUAUUUCUGCUGUUAAAAAUAUAUCAAAAAACCAAAUUAUCUCCCUUCUUUUCCUCUUCCUUCUUCUUCAUUAAUUCUUCCUCCUCUUCUUCUUCUUUGGUUCUUCUAUUUCUUCUUCUUCGAUUUUUUUUUAUUCUUAUUCUUUAAAGAGGAGGAGACGAUUCUUCUUCUUCUUCUUCUUCUUCAUCAUCAUCAUCUUCUUCUCCUUCUUUUUCUUCUUCUUCUUCUUCUUCUUCUUUUUCUUCUUCUUUUUCUUCUCCUUCAUCAUCAUCUUCUUCUUUUUUUAUUCUUCUUUGAGGAGGAGGAGGAGGAGGAGGGACUAUUUUAUUGACGGAAAGAAACGAUAAAGACGUUUUAAUGGAUAUGAGAAAAGAUAAGAACGUUUUAAUAGAUUUCUAAAAAUAUAGGGACUAACUUGUUAAUAAUAACAAUAUCCAAGAACUAAAUAAGGGGUUUUAUUUGAAAGCAAAAUUGUAUUUUAAAAGUUUUUUCUCUCAUUCUUUAUCUAUUUUUAAUGGAAAAGAGGACGGAAUGACUAUUUCGUUGACGGAAGAACUAUUUCGUUAACAGAGAAAAAAGAUAAAGAAGUUUUAAUAGGUUUCUAAAAAUACAGAGAUUGACUUAUUAAUAAUAACAAUACUCAAAGACUAAAUAAUAAAUCUCUCUUUUUUUUUGGUAAGUACCUUAAUAUGAAAUUUAAUUGUGAUGAUUUUACUGCAGUUAUGAAGAUCCAUUUACAACAAAAAUGGGAAAAUACUCAGACAAAUCUGAUAUUUAUUCUUUUGGUGUUACACUUUUAGAGUUGAUCACCGGAAGAAAACCCAUAUAUAAUGGAAUUGACAUUAUUACUUGGGUAUGACUCUAUUUGCAUUAAAGAUUUUAUUUUAAACAUUCAAUUGAAAAAAAAAUAAAACUUUUGAAUUUAGAUAUUCUAUUUAGAUUUGAGUCUAAUGCAUUUAUUAUCCAUUAAUAAAUAAUUUUUUAAACAUUCAAUUGAAAAAAAUAAAACUUUUGAAUUUAGAUAUUCUAUUUAGAUUUGAGUCUAAUGCAUUUAUUAUCCAUUAAUAAAUAAUUUUUUAAUCAAUGUCUUUUAGGCAAAUCCUUUAAUUGAGAACGCCAUAGAUGGAAGAUAUGUGAAUUUGGUAGAUUCCAAAUUACAAUCCUUCGACCAGGAAGAGAUGCAUAGAAUGAUUUCUUGUAUUAAUUCUUGUCUAAAUCAAUUACCAAACUCUCGUCCAACAAUGGAAAAGGUAAAAUUUAUUCAUACAAUUAACUUAAUUUUAAUAUAUUCAAAACUAUAUAUAUAUAUUACACAUUAUAUAUUUUCAAUUAAUUUUAUGAAAGCAUAUAUCUCGAAAGAUUACAUAGUUAACUUGUAAACAGAUACGAUUAGUUCUUGAAGGAAAAUUACCUCCAGAGAAAUUAUACAAACACAAAUUGCAAUGGAGUAUUACACAUGAAGGUACAUAUUCUUUUAUAUUAAUUUAUUAUAAAUUAUAUGUAUAUUUAUUCGAAAGUUUGAUCUAAUUGAUGUCUAAAUUUUGAUUUAAUUUGUGUCUUAUCUUAAUAUCAAGAAACAAAUGUUGAUUUUCAACUGUAAAAAUAUAAUUUUUUUUUUUAAUUUGAAAUUUAUAACAAAUUAGUUUUUAACCAAAUCUAAUAGCAUAUUAAUGAAAUAUAAUUUUAACAAUGAUGAAACAUUUACCUUAAAAUUCAUUCACAUAAUUUAAUUCUGGUACAUUUCAAAAUUCUCUCUAUUUUACGGACUAUUUUCAAUUAAUUUUGUGGAAACAUUGAGAGAAUACGUAAUCGACUAUUAAAUCUGAUUGGCUAUAAUUCCUUUAUUUAAAAAGAGGAAGGAAUGAUAUGAACUUAUUUCACCUUUAAAAAAAAUGUUUCUGCCUCAGAUUUUGCUUUUUUCCGUUAAUAAUUCUCCUUACAGAGCUGCACUAAUUUACCCUUUUUCUUUUUUUUGGCAAGCAGAUGAGCCUAAGCCAAGUCCCAAGCCUCCAAUCAUUCAAGGAACUAAUAAUAAUAGUACACGAAAUAUUCGACUUGCCAGGCGACGUCGACCAACAGAAGCAACUAGCAAUGGUUCCUCCAACAUCAUUCAAGAAACUUCAUUUGAUGAUGAGAUGAUAUAUGAAAAGCCCGUUUUGGACAGAGGAGAAAACUGUUGCAUUUCAUAAAACCUUAAACCUUUCUCUUUCUUAUUUUUUAUAGACCAGGUCCUCCUUAUCAUUUUAAGCCUCUCUUUUUUUUUUUUUUUAAAACCAUAACUUAUUACAUUUCUACACAUUCUCUCUAUUGGAUAUGACCUAACUUUAAAAAAUAGCCUCUUUUACUUAAGUCCAAUAUCAAAUUUGGAGUAUCAACAAUUCUUUUCAUUGAUAAAUCCGUUGGUGGAUAUAAGACGAAGCAACUAAUUUUAAAUUUUAUGACAUACUUGGAUUGGACCUAACUUUUAAUCGACGUCGGAUGGAGACCCACGAUAGCUUUUUAGAAAAGGAAUUUCGAAACGCAUGACUUUUAAAAGUGUGAUUAGGGUAACAGGCCUGGUCACAAAAUUCAAGUGGUCAAUUUUUCAUUUUAAUUAUUUUUUUAAAUAUUUUUAUAAUUUUGCAUAUUAGAAUUUUUUCUAUUAUAAAUAGGUUUUGGCUAUUUGAGACUCACUUGUCACUUUUUUAAGAAUUUCGAUAAGACUUUUCCACUUUUAACCAUUCGUUUUUUUCAUAUCGUCUUAGUCAAACAAUAUUGAUAAAAAUUACAGACGGAGUUCUUUAUCAAAUAGUACCAUUCAUUUUUUAAAAGUCUGGUUGUUAAGAUUUUACCAACAAAUUUCAAAUUUGUUAGCGCUAUGUACUACUGAAUUUAUCAACAUAGAUUUCCAUAUCUUAUCUAAUUUGGGUUGUAGUCUAGAACUUUUCAUGUUGAGUUAUAAUAUGGUGCAUAAAUAAAGUAUACUUAAAAUUCAAGCCAUAUAAAUAACAUAAUUUAUGUUUAAUAUUUAUUAAAAAUAUAAAUAUAUUUAGAAAGAAAGUGUAGAUGAUAAAAUAAAGUAUGAAAAAUUAAAAAAAUGAGAGAAAGUAGAAAUAGUAGAAAAGUAAAUGGUAUAAAAUGAGAGAAAAUUAUUAAAAAGAAAAAGAAAAAGGAGAAAAAACUAAGAAAAUGAUUAAAAAGAAAAAUUAUGGAGAAUAGAAAAGAAUAAAAGAAGAGGGAAAAGAUAAUUAAAGAAGUGAGGGAAAAGGAAAUAAAUGAUUAGAGAAAAAAAAAUGAAUGAAGAGAAAAUAAUAGAAAAGAAAAAGAUAGAUAAAAAAAUAAUAGAAAAAACUAAAAUUAGAGAAAUUAAUAUGAAUAAGAAUUAUAUAAAAAUAAAAAAAUGAGACAUAAAAAAGGAAGAAAAAUAAUGAAAGAAAAGAAAAUGAAAAAAGUUAUAGAAAGAAAAAUUAUAGAGCAAAAUGAAGAAAAUAAGAACAGAUGAAGAGAAUAAGAGAAAAAAAAGGAUAAUAGAAGAAUGAGAAAUGAUAAAAAAAUAAUAAUAAUAAGAGAAAAAAGAUUAUGAGAUUAGAAAGUUAAAAUAAAAGAAAAUAAUAAAAAAUGAAAAAAAUGAAAAAAAAAAGGAAAAUGAAAAAAUAAAAAAUAAUAUAUGGAUGGAUGACAAAAGGAAAAGGAGAAGUGUUAAUAUUUAUAAAUCAAAUUAUUAAUGGAUUAUAAAUAUUUUAAAGAAAAUGUGUUUUUGAAGAGAAAGAAGGAGAAGCAUGCCUUUUUCCUUUUAUUCAAGAUGUAAUGAGUUUUUACAAGAGUAAGAUAAUCCCGAAACUUAGUUUUAGAGGAGCUUAUAUACUCCUCACGUGGAGCGUAACAGGUGCUCAGAUUGUAAAAGGACAAUUAUGCCCAUAAGACAGCAAAGAAUAAAACAAAACAAUAUAUAUCAACUAAACUAUGAUUAUCUUGCAUUCUCUUCACGCCUCCUGCAAGUUGGAACUGGGAUGGAGACCAGGGGCAACUUGGAACAAAGGUGGUGAUGCUGAUCAGAAGAUAAAGGCUUGGUGAGCAAGUCUGCAAGUUGAGCAGUGGUGGAAACAUGCGAAGGGUGAAUGAAGCCCCGCUGAAGCUGCUCACGGACAAUGUGGCAGUCAAUCGAAAUGUGUUUUGUACGUUCAUGAAACACCGGGUUAGCAGCGAUAUGCAAGGCAGCCUGAUUGUCACAGUGGAGAGGGAUUGGCAGCUGAGUAGGCACCUGCAAGUCUUGAAGAAUAUAAGAAAUCCACAAUAAUUCACAAAUAGUACUUGCCAUAGCACGAUAUUCCGCCUCAGCGAAUGAUUUUGAGACAGUGGGUUGUUUCUUGGUUUUCCAAGAAACCAAUGAGGAUCCAAAAAAAAUGCAGAAUCCAGUGAGAGAUUUGCGCGAAAAGGGGCAGGAGGCCCAAUCAGAAUCACAGUAAGCUGUGAGAGGCAUGGUGGCAGUAACAGGAAAGCAUAGCCCUUGAUGUAUAGUGCCUUUCAAGUAGCGAAGGACAUGCAUGGCAGCCUCCCAAUGAGGCUUGCGGGGUUGAUGCAUGAACUGGCUCAGAUGUUGGACAGCAUAACUGAGGUCAGGCCGUGUAAGAUUAACAUAUAGCAACCUCCCAAUUAGACGUCUGUAAGCAUGGGGUUCAGGAAGAAUAUCUCCUGUGUCCAGAGAGAGAUGCAGCCCUUUAGGCAAGGGAAAGGAGGCUGGUUUGCAUGAGUGCAUACCAGCAUCCCUCAAAAUGUCAGAAAUAUACUUGGUUUGGCUUAAAAGAGUAGCAGUAGAUGAUCUGGCCACUUCUAGGCCAAGAAAGUAUUUCAGAAACCCCAAGUCUUUAAUGGUGAACUUGGAAUGUAAAGCAUUUUUAACCUCAGUCAUAGCAACAGUAGAGGUACCAGUAAGAAGAAUGUCAUCCACAUAUAUUAACAAGGCCAAAAAAUAGUCAGUAGUGCAUUUAACAAACAGGCAGUAGUCAUGGGCAGAUUGGGUGAAACCUAGUGUCUGUAAAAAACUUGUAAACUCAAGAUUCUAUUGCCGAGAAGCCUGUUUAAGUCCAUAUAAGGACUUCUGGAGGAGGCAGACUUGCCCGGGCAGAGCUUUAUCAUAACCCUGUGGUGGAAGCAUAUAGACUUCCUCAUCUAAGGUGCCAUGUAAGAAAGCAUUGUUUAUGUCAAGUUGAAACACAGGCCAUUGUUUAUGAGUAGCAAGGGCUAUGAGAAUACGAACUGUAGCCAAUUUGGCAACAGGAGAAAACCGAUCUUUAUAAUCAAGACCUUCAAUUUGAUUGUAACCCUUGGCGACCAACCGGGCUUUGAAUCUAUCAAUGUCACCAUUUGGUUUACAUUUGACCUUAUAGACCCAUUUACAACCUAUGGCUUUCUUGCCUUUAGGAAGGGUUGUAAGGAUCCAGGUGUUAUUCUGUUCGAGGGCAUGCAAUUCAUGUUGCAUUGCAUUAACCCAAUCAGUAUUUUGCGAUGCCUGAAUGUAGGUGGCAGGUUCUGGAAUGUGAGAAAUGUUCAGGACAUAUGUUUGAUAUGAAGGUGAAAGGUGAAUGGUGGAAAUGGGAGGAUGGACAGUGGUGAUUGCCGUGGCAACAAAGUCAUCCAGCCACGCUGGUGGUUUAAUGGCUCUGGAAGACCUUCGGAGGCCAGAGAGAUCAGGAGAAGGCUGAGAAGGUGAGGAUAUAGAUGUGAUAGGCUCUGAAUCAGGUAUGGGAAUAGGCAGCACCACAGGGGGUUGCAGAGAUUGUGUGCUAAAGGGAAAAAUGUGUUCAUAGAACACAACAUCACGGCUAACAAAGAUAGCACCAGUAGCUAGAUCAUAGAGUUUGUAAGCUUUGUGAUUACUGGCAUAACUAAUAAAGGCUGCCUUAAUGGACUUGGUACCAAAUUUGUCUUUGUGAGUGUUUGUUUUGGUGGCAAAACAAAGGCAUCCAAAUUUUUUUAGAUGGAAAUAAUCAGGGGCUUUCCCAUAGAGACGCUCAUAAGGGCUCUGCCAACCAAAUUGGGCCAUAGGAAGUCUGUUUAUUAGAUAGGUGGCAGUAAGGACACAUUCAGACCAAAAAGUGUGUGGGACAUGAGAGUGUAUUUUGAGAGCUCUAGCCAUGUCUAAAAGAUGUCUGUGCUUUCUCUCAACCACUCCAUUUUGUUGAGGAGUGUGAGGACAAGAUCUUUGAUGUAUUAUGCCCUUUUGAUUUAAUAGUCUAGAGCAAUCAUUACUAAGAAAUUCACAUCCGUUAUUUGUCCUUAUUGUCUUGACAGAGGCAUUGAAGUGAGUUUGCACCAUAUUCAGAAAUGUAGAUAAGAUAUGAACAGUUUGACUUUUAAGGCGCAUUAAGAAGGUCCAGGUGGCCCUGGUAUUGUCAUCAACUAAAGUGAGAAAGUAUUUUGCUCCUGUGACACUUUCUAUGUUAUAAGGGCCCCAAAUAUCUAUGUGGAGGAGAUCAAAAGGUUCCUUAGCAACAGUGGUACUAAGGGAAAAGGGUAACCUGGCCUGCUUGGCUUGGGAACAGGUUUGGCACUGUAAAGGAGUACCCUUAGUGUGUUUAAGCACAUCAAUAUGUUUGAGUUUCCCAAGGGAUGCAUGCCCUAGUCUAUCAUGCCAAUCAACAAUAUUACUAGCAUACAUACAAGAUUCAGUUCGAGAAGAUUGGCUUUCUUUAUUUAUAGAAUGUGUAGAAAGCAUGGUAUUUANNNNNNNNNNNNNNNNNNNNNNNNNNNNNNNNNNNNNNNNNNNNNNNNNNNNNNNNNNNNNNNNNNNNNNNNNNNNNNNNNNNNNNNNNNNNNNNNNNNNNNNNNNNNNNNNNNNNNNNNNNNNNNNNNNNNNNNNNNNNNNNNNNNNNNNNNNNNNNNNNNNNNNNNNNNNNNNNNNNNNNNNNNNNNNNNNNNNNNNNNNNNNNNNNNNNNNNNNNNNNNNNNNNNNNNNNNNNNNNNNNNNNNNNNNNNNNNNNNNNNNNNNNNNNNNNNNNNNNNNNNNNNNNNNNNNNNNNNNNNNNNNNNNNNNNNNNNNNNNNNNNNNNNNNNNNNNNNNNNNNNNNNNNNNNNNNNNNNNNNNNNNNNNNNNNNNNNNNNNNNNNNNNNNNNNNNNNNNNNNNNNNNNNNNNNNNNNNNNNNNNNNNNNNNNNNNNNNNNNNNNNNNNNNNNNNNNNNNNNNNNNNNNNNNNNNNNNNNNNNNNNNNNNNNNNNNNNNNNNNNNNNNNNNNNNNNNNNNNNNNNNNNNNNNNNNNNNNNNNNNNNNNNNNNNNNNNNNNNNNNNNNNNNNNNNNNNNNNNNNNNNNNNNNNNNNNNNNNNNNNNNNNNNNNNNNNNNNNNNNNNNNNNNNNNNNNNNNNNNNNNNNNNNNNNNNNNNNNNNNNNNNNNNNNNNNNNNNNNNNNNNNNNNNNNNNNNNNNNNNNNNNNNNNNNNNNNNNNNNNNNNNNNNNNNNNNNNNNNNNNNNNNNNNNNNNNNNNNNNNNNNNNNNNNNNNNNNNNNNNNNNNNNNNNNNNNNNNNNNNNNNNNNNNNNNNNNNNNNNNNNNNNNNNNNNNNNNNNNNNNNNNNNNNNNNNNNNNNNNNNNNNNNNNNNNNNNNNNNNNNNNNNNNNNNNNNNNNNNNNNNNNNNNNNNNNNNNNNNNNNNNNNNNNNNNNNNNNNNNNNNNNNNNNNNNNNNNNNNNNNNNNNNNNNNNNNNNNNNNNNNNNNNNNNNNNNNNNNNNNNNNNNNNNNNNNNNNNNNNNNNNNNNNNNNNNNNNNNNNNNNNNNNNNNNNNNNNNNNNNNNNNNNNACAGGUGCAUGGAGGAAGGGUCUCCAUUGAUCCCAAUUCAUCCCAAAACCCUUUCAAUUUAGUGAAAUAGACAGAUGCAGAGGCAUUGUCUUGAGAUAUCAAGGAUAUUUUCCUACGCAACUCAUAGAUCAUGGUUCCAUUACACUCACCGAAUCUUUCGGUAAUUUCAAGCCAGAGAUCCCUAGGUGAGGCUGUGUAAAUGAAGCCAUCGACUAACUCUCUGGAUAUAGAAUUUAGAAUCCAGGAUGUGACCAUAAAGUCACAUCGCUUCCAUUGUUCAUAGGAAUCAGAUCCUUUAUCAGGUAUUGUAACGGUGCCUUCUAUAAAUUCCAGUUUCUGUUUGGCUCCUAGGGCUAUCCUAAUGGCUCUACACCAAGACCUAAAAUUUGUCCCUAUCAGAGGAGCAUAUACUAAAACCAUACCUGGAUGGUCCGAAGACUGGAGAGUCAGAGGAUCUCCAAGAUUCUGAGUUCCGAUCUGGAUUUUGUCCUUCGCCUCCGUGAUUUUGCCUUCUUUACUGGUAUUCCCUCGUUCUGCCAUGAUCGACAAGAUUUGUCCGUUUUAGCCACAGAUCGUGGUGUAAGUUUGUAGAUCUGACUGAGUUGAGGCCGUCUUGAAGGAAAACGGAAAGAUUAACGAGAUCUGCUUGUCAUGCAAGCCAGAUUCGGUGUAGGACUGGUGAUGGCGUUCACCUGGAGUGUAAGCCGGCUCUUUUCGGUAAAGGUUGUUUUAAAAAAGGAAUGGCGAGGAUGAACGGAAGAGACAGGGAAAGGUGCAAACCCUAAUCCGCUCUGAUACCAUGAAGAGAAAGAAGGAGAAGCAUGCCUUUAUCCUUUUAUUCAAGAUGUAAUGAGUUUUUACAAGAGUAAAAUAAUCCCGAAACUUAGUUUUAGAGGAGCUUAUAUACUCCUCACGUGGAGCGUAACAGGUGCUCAGAUUGUAAAAGGACAAUUAUGCCCAUAAGACAGCAAAGAAUAAAACAAAACAAUAUAUAUCAACUAAACUAUUAUUAUCUUGCAUUCUCUUCAUUAUCCUUUAAAAAUUAUUAAAAUAUUUAAAAUUUAUUAAUAAAUUUAUUGGUGAAUGAAAAAUAGUAGAUUUUAAAAAAGUAACACUCAAAUUUUAAGUAAGAUUAUAUUUAAAAUUCAUUAAUAAAUUUAUUGAUGAAUGAAAAACAGUACAUUUUAAAAAAGUAAUACUCAAAUUUUAAGAUUUAAUUUUAAAUUUAUUGAAAGAUAAAAAUACCUUUUCUAUUUAUUAAUUUAAUAAUAAGAAUUAUUAAUAAAUUUUAAAAUUUAUUGGUAAUCUAUUUACAAACUAUUAAUAGAUUUAAAUUUUAUUAAUAAUUUUAAUAGUUUGUUCGGAAGUAUCAAUAAAUUACUAACUGAUUAUUAAAUUUCUACCACAAUAAUUUUAUAAAUUUAUAAAAUUAUCAACAAAUUCUAAAAUCCAUUAUUUAAACUUUUACACAAAAAUAUGACGGAACUUAUUAUUGAAUUCCAAUAACUUAUUAGUAUAUUUCUACGCAUUCUCUUUAUUAAAUAAUGACCAAGCUAUUUAAAAAUGACCCUCAUAUUAUUGGCUAAUUAAUAAUUCAACCAUCUUCUGUGACAGCCUGCUGCUGUGUGGAGAUUACUUGCUCAAGUUUUCUUUUUUUAUUCAAUUAAUUUCAGUUUAAAUAAUUGAACUCAAAAAUAUUGUUGACUUUGGAAAAAGGGUUAAUAGUAUUUAAAUUCAAAGACCAUGAUUGCUCAUUGAUGGAGCCACUAGCGUAAGUAUAUGCAUUCAUAUCUCUUAGGUAGAAAACAAGCCAACCUUCUCUAUUGCCUUGAUAAACAAUAAACAACUUGUUAUUGUCAUUUGACUUUUUAUAUUUUAAUUUUUUUUAUAAAUAUAUGUUGCCCAUAUCACAAAAUUAAUUGGUCAAUUAUUGAAUUCGAAUAUCUCUUUAACCCUUAAGUUGGAUUUUAAUAUAAAGUAUAAAGAAAUCUUAAUUAUAUAAUUUACUAAUUGAAUAAUUGAGGUUUUUUCUUGAAAAAAUUGUAAGUUAGAAGUAAAACGCAUUUUAAAAGUCAUUCAUGAAUAUGCACACAAAAAUAUAUCAGUAGUGAGUGCCAUUUUAAAAAUUUAAUAAUUUGAAAAAAAAAAUAAAAAAAAAGGAAAUUAAGAGAGAUAAACGAAGUGGAAAAGCAAAAUUGAUAAACUUCACUUACAUCUUAAUUUUCAUCUAUUUAUAUUAUUUUUAAAUUGAAUUUUCUUUUUGAUUUUCCACUGAAAUAAAAGGAAUUAUAAAGUAUAUACCAAAACCUCAAUCUCAAUGAAGUAAUUAGGUUUAUUAAAAUUAUUUACUUUCUUAAAAGAUGAAAGGGUGGAAAGGAUAAGAAUAGCAUUUUUUAAUUAUAUAGUUAAAUUCAUUAAUCUUGAUUUUUAUAUAAAAAACUUAUUUGAUCACUUGAUUGAUGGAAAGAUAAAUAUUAAAUUACUAUUUUUUUAAAAAAAAACAUAACAUUAUCAAUAAAUAUAUAUAAUAGAUACACAUUUUUAUUAUUAUUCAUAGCUUAUCUAAUUCGUAAGAGUGACACUCAAGUAUUAAAGUCAAUUGUUAUUCUAAAAAAAAGUCAAUUAUUUAGAUGUCACAAUGAAAAUAUGACUAUUAUUUUUUGUUUAGAAUAGGAAACAACUCAAUAACAAUUAAAUUUAUAUCCAUUACACAAAAUGUCAUUGACUGGAGCUGGAGGCCACAUGCUGCACAUUCUACGUUCAACGUCAACGUUAUAAUUCUUUUUUUAAGAAAAACGAAGGUCUGAACGCUAAUGUUACCAGCUGUCCUUCCUUUAUCUUUCCUACAUCUCCUUCUCUAUCUCUGAUCUUUCACAUUCACACUUUAAUAUAAGAACUGUAUAUAUAUAUACUUGCAAGAAACCAUUGGUUGUGGUUGAAUAAGUCUGCAACUUCUGAUGGCUUCACCGUGGGGAGAUCGCCGGAAUGAAACUAGAGGUAUUAGUCGUUCUAGCUAAAACUGUUUAAUGAGUUCAAAUAGUAAUAUUGUUAUGGAACUUUCAUUUCAUAUAACUUAUUGAAGCAUGUUGUUUAUUGUAUGGUCACUAAGUACAGAUCCGAAUGAAUCUGACUCAUCUCCUGAGAAGAGUCCAAGUAAUGCAUAUGCAUCUGAUAAUUCUAAGGUUAUUGGGCCAAAAUCAUAUUCAUACAGUGAUUUAGCAAAGGCAACUCGUCAUUUUUCGCUGAAUUACCAAAUUGGUCAAGGUGGUUUUGGUCAAGUCUUUAAGACAUCCUUAAACGGUGAGACCUAUGCUAUCAAGAAACUCAAUAAUUUUGUAGAUGAACAGGCCGAAGGAAAGUUGGAGAACGAGAUUGAGGUCGUCAAUAGAGUCAGUCACAAAAAUCUUGUUAAGCUAGUUGGUUACUGCAUUGAUGGAGCCAACAGAUUGCUUAUUUUAGAGUAUUUUUCUAAUGGGUCCUUGAGAUCUAAAUUACAUGGUGAGUCCAAACCUUUAUUUUAUGUUCAUAUAACUAAUUAAUAUAACAUAAUUAAUCUUAUAAAUUACAAAUGGUACUGUAGGAAAGGAAAAUGUUUUGGACUGGAAAAAGAGAAUGAAAAUCGCCAUAGGUUCUGCAAAAGGAUUGCAAUAUUUACAUGAAGAUUGUGAGUAUAUAUUAAUAGCAUAGUAGGCUUUUUUGAGAAUGAAUUUUAUUUUUUUUUCCUUAUUUGUGCUAAUAAUUUAUUUCCUCUGAAAGUUUUGUUCUCCCUUUUUAUAUAUAUGUUUUUUUUUUUUUUUUCAGGUGAACCUAAAAUCAUACAUUUAGAUGUUAAGGCAGAUAAUAUUCUUCUUGAUGAUAACUUUGAAUCUAAGGUAUGAUAUAUAAUUUGAUAAUAAAUAAAAAUUUUAUUCUUAUCAUCAUAUAACUAUAGUGGAACCUUUACCAUUGAAUAUCAAAAUUUUUAUUUUUAAAUAAUAUUGAAAAAUAAUGUGAACCCAUUAAUUUGAUUGCAUAGGUUUCAGAUUUUGGACUUUCCCUAUUUUUUUCGGAUGCUGCUUCUCAUGUCUCAAGAUCAUCAAUUAGAGGAACCCAAAUGUAUGUAAGAUACAAAUUUCUUUCUAUCAUUUAAUAACUGUCUAUUGUUUUCAGUGCCAUCAUGAUAUCUACUCUUAGAGCUCCUUAAUUUAAAGAUAUUAUUUUCUUACAGGAAAUCUUAAUAUGAACAUUAAUUGUGAAGAUAUUAAGUUUAAUUGUAUGAUUGAAUUGCAGCUAUGCAGAUCCAUUGACAACACAAUUGGGAAAACACUCUGAUAAAUCUGAUGUUUAUUCUUUUGGUGUUACACUUUUGGAGUUGAUUAGUGGGAGAAAACCCAUAAAUCAAAACGGCGUCAAUAUUAUUACUUGGGUAUGAAUCUAUUAAAUUGUAACAAUUUAAUAUAAAAUUGUGUUUUUAGCUUUUGAUAUAAGAAUUGAUCUUUAAAAGAAUGGAUUCAACAAAUCACAAUUGGAUGUAUGGAGAUAAAAUAAUGAAACUUUCUUUCUAGCAACAUUUAAAAAAAACAAAGAAGACAAAAACAUAUGCUAUAUGUUAAAUAUAAAUUUACAGGCAACAUGUAUUUAUAUCCAUUAAUAAAUAAUUUUUAAUGGAUUUUUUGCAGGCAAACUCUUUAAUUGAAAAAGUUUUGAAAGGUGAAUAUGCGGAUUUUGUAGAUUCCAGGUUACAAUCCUUUGACCAUGAAGAAAUGCAUCGAAUUAUUUUUUGUGUUAAUGCUUGCAUAAAUCUACCUCCAAAAUUCCGUCCAUCAAUGAAAAGGGUAAAUUCUGUUUAUAUAAUUUAAUUUUGGUAUAUAUAUAAUACACGUUAUUUGCAAUAAAUUUUAUGGAAGCAUUUAGAGAUUACAAGUGUUGACUUGUAAAUCUUUUUAUCAUUGCUGUGCCAUGUAGGUAGUUCUAGCCCUUGAAGGAAUUCUGCCUCUAAAGAAUGACAACAAAUUGUACUCCAGAGCUUCAUAUGAAGGUCUGUUUUCUUGUAAAAAAUGGAAUAACUUUUGUAAGGUGUUAUUAAUUUUUUAGGAGACUUAUUAUUUAGUCUAUCAAAUAUAGUAAAAUUCGUUAGUUAGUCUCUUAAUUUUGAAAAACAUAUUAAAACGUUCAUAAGAUAAAAAAUCUACUAAUUAAUUUCUCCGUUAAUUUUAGUCAUUAAGCGUUAAAAAAAUCUAAAAUUAAGAACUAAUUAGUUUAAUUUUUAUAAAAUUAAGAGAUCAAUUAAAAAAUUUUAUUUAUAUUAUAGAAACUAAAUAGUAAAAACACUUAACGUCUAAAGUUAACAUAUAACUGAUUAGUGGUUUUUUUAAUAUUUCAGGGAUAUUUUAAUGAGUUCUUUAAAUUAGUGGAUUAACUAGUCAAUUUUAUUAAAUCUGAGGGACUAAAUAAUUAUUUUCUUUCUCUGUAUAUAUAAAUUAUAACUUGAUGAUAAAGUGAGAUCAUUUUAAUGUUAAAAAACCCUUAAUAUUAGAACAGAUUUUGAUUUUUAUUUAAAUCUGAUUGGCAUAUAAUUCCUUUAUUUAAAAGGAGAUGGAAUGAUAUGAACUUAAUUCAUUUUUUAAAAAAAUAAAAAGUAUCCACCUCAGUUCAUGUAUUUAAUAAUUUCUCCUUGUUGAGUUACACUAAUUUACCCUUCUUUUUCCGGAAGCAGAUGAGCCUAAGCCAAGCCCCAAGCCUCCGAUCAUUCCAGAAACUAAUAGAUCAUCAAAUGAAGUUUACAAACCAAGGAGAUUUACUUAUAAACAACUAAGUUCUGCAACUAAAGAUUUCUCCGAAAGCAACCUUCUUUACAGGGGUAUUAUGGGUGAAGUAUAUAUGGCAUCCCUAAAUGAUGUCGGACAAGUGAUAAUCAAGAAAUUUCAUCUCGAAAAAGAAGAUGAAUUCAAGAAGAUUAAAGGCAUCAGCAGUAGUGUUCAUCACGAAAAUCUUGUUAACCUGGUUGGAUACUGCAAUGAAAGAGAUAAUAAUCUGCUUGUUUAUGAGUGUUUUAGGUUUCGAUCCUCUUUAAGAUUUCGUUUACUCGGUAUGCUCUUUAUAAUUAAAUAACUUGCAAAUUCUACAUUUAUCAAAAACCUUAUUUUAUUAUUUUUUGGCCGGAUUUUUAACUAGAUGCGUAUAUAAUACAGGGACAAAAAUAAUGAGUACAUCAAUAAUGGAAUGGCCAACCAUCAAGGGCAUAGCUUUAAGCAUCGCAAAAGGAUUAGUACAUCUCCACGAAUUAUGUGAGUCUUAAACUGAACCAUUAUUUGUUUCUAGUUUUUUUUUUUUUUUUACAUUUUAUUUAUGAUGUCUGUAUUUCCAGAUAAACCUUUGAAUACCUACGAGCAUUACCUGGAUGAUUGCGUAUUUCUUGAUGAUAAUCUUGAACCAAAGGUAGUUAUGAUAAAUUUAAAUAUUUUCAAUGAUCAAUUAUUGAUAUAAAUCUUGGAGAUUAUAUUCUGUGUGUGAUCAAUUAUAUGUAAAAUUAUCAUUCAACAUGUAAUUAUAUCUUUUUUGUUGUAAUUAAAAAUACACUUCUUGUUUCUGUUCAAAAAAAAAAUACACAUCUUGGUUAACUUAGCAAAAAAUAAAAAGAAAGAAAGAAAGAAAGAAAAGCACACACUUUUUUUAAAAUAACAAACCAAAGGUAAAUUUUAUAAAUAUUAAUAUUUAAUUUAUAUGUGUAAUUAGUAAUAGAAAUAAUAAUUAAAAAAAUCAAUAUAGUUGAGUUUCAAGUUGAAUAUAUAUGGCCAUUAUUGGAUUGUGAAACUAUUGAAGUUUACUAAUUGUGUUUGAUGUUGAUCUAUAUGGUGCAAUAAAUUUAUUUGGUUCUUUUUUUUAUCAGUUUGCUGAGUAUGGACGUACCAAUUUUUUCUUAAAAGAUUCUGAAAUGCUUCUUUCUAGCAGGUAAAAAUGAUUAUUAUAUUUUGUUUCUUGAUUAGAUUAUUUGCAACUACAUGACUUAUAUUUGAUAUGUUAGGAAUUUUUUUUUGGCAUUUAAGGAAGAAAAACAUCUUAGCAUUCUUAUACUUUUAGUGAAGAUUUGUCGACAAUUAUUCUUAUAUUUUCUUUUAUCUUCUAUUGCAGUUCAACGACUUCUACAUAUCUUAAGUUUGAUGUGUAUUUUUUGGGUAUAAUUCUUCUGAAGCUUAUUACUGGGAAACAACAACAUAAUGACAUCAGUUCUAUUAAUGACUAUAACUUGAUCGAAUUGGUAUGUAUUUCUUCCCAUAGUCUAAAAUGCAAGUAGCAAAAUUCAAAAUAGAUCAAAUAAUUCAUUGUUGAUAUUAGCCAUAGUCUAAAAUGCAAGUAGCAAAAUUCAGAAUAGAUAAAAUAAUUCAUUGUUGAUAUUAGCAAUGAGGAUUUAGUGACAUGCUAACUCCAUUGCUGAAGUUAAUUUUAACUAGCAAUAUAUAAUUGUCAAAUUAAAAUAGUCACUGAAAAGCUUGUCAACAAUUUAAAAAUGGAUUAGCAAUGGAAUCGAUUGUGAAUCUACAUUAUUAGCGACAGAUCUAUCAAUCCAUCACUUGAAGUCUAUUUUUUAUUAUUUUGUAUUGUAUGUAUAUAUACAUUCUUUUAUAUGUCAAUGAUUUUUUUAAUGUAUUAAUUAUAAUUCAGAUGGCGAUUCACCUAAAAAAUAAUUGGCCCAAAAGUGACUAUAGUUUUGUCGAUCCAAGAAUUGAGAGUUAUGACAAACAUGAAAUGGAUCAAAUGAUUGAAUGUGCUAUAGCAUGUGUAAAUCCUUGUCCACAAUAUCGACCUCAAAUGAGUCAGGUAUGUAAUAAUUCUUUUAAAAAGGAUUGUAGAAAUGUGUAUAUGAAUAAAUAUUUACAAUUAAAACUAAAAAUCAGAAUUAAUUGAACUCAUUUCAGCCUAUUUAAUUUAACUGUUAGAAUAUAUUUAAUAGCAGAUAAUUUUUUGUAAUGAGUAGCUAACAAAUAAGUCGAGUUGAUAUAUCUUAGAUGUUUUAUAAAUUAUGUCUAAUUCAUAUGAUUAAUAUGUCACAUGAGUAAUUGGCAAAUAUCAAUUUAUUAUACUAUUGAAAUAAAUAUAAAAUUAUUAAUUUAUUAUACAAUAUAUAUAGUAAUUAAAAGCAUAAUUUUUCAAAAUAUAAUUGUUUUCAUGCAUAUACAUAAUUUUUUGUUCUAUAAUAAUUAAUAUUAUAAAUAUUUUAAUUGUUAUUUAUAAUAUUUUUAAUUUAUUUAUUAUCUCUUAUAAUUUUAAGUAAUUUAUUGAUAUAAAAAUUUAAUUUAAAAAUUAUUAUUAAGAAAAUUUUAAAAGAUAAUAUAUUCUAAAUAAAAAAUAAAAUUAAAAUAACUAUUAAGUAGUAAAAAACAAUUCUAAUAUUCGAGCUUAUGUGAACUACAACUAAUAAGUCUCAUAUAAACUACUAAUUGGUUUUUAAACAUUUAAAAAAUAUAUUAAUUAUAGUUAUAGCCAUUGCUGUAAACAAAUUCUGAACUAUGACUCAUCUUUAUUUAUUCCAUUUCUUAUGAAAAGCAGGUGGUCGAAGUUCUAGCAGGAAAUAUUCCUGCGAGAAAUCUCGAGAAGAAUUUUUUCUUUUUUCAUGAAAAAAAAGAAUGAAAGAUUUUUGGAUUCUGGGGAUGAAGUAUAUAUGUAUAUCUGCAGCAAAGCUAAAGAGUGUAAUAGUUAUCUUUUAUCAGAUAAUUUCAGAUUGGCAACUCAGUAUCAAAUUGAGAAAAUAAAAAUUAUUCCAUUAAUUGUAAGCAUAAAUAACUUUGUAUAAUUUUUUUUUUUUUUUCUAAGCAUACUUUGUAUCAAUUUACUAUUUAAAUAAAAAGUAAUAUUUCAUAUAUAUUGUUAAUUCUAUUAAUUAUAAUAAAACCUUAAUGACUUAAAUAAACCUCUUGUUAGUAUCUAAAUUAAGGAAUGAAUGAAAAUCAUCACCAUAUGAUGAAUUAGAUUCCACCUUGCUUAAAUUCAAAGGCCAUGAUUGUUCAUUGAUAGAGUCAAUAGCGUAAGUGUAUUCAUUCAUAUUUUUAAGUGGAAAUCAAGCUAACCUUCUCGAUUGCCUUAAUAAACAAUAAACAACUUCUUACUUUUAUAAGAUUUUUAUAUUUUAAAUUUUUUUUAUUUUUAUAAUUUUAUGUUGCCCACAAUACAAAAUUAAUUAGUCAAUUAUUGAAUUCGAAUAUAUCUGUAUUCUAACCCUUGAGUUGGACUUUAAUAUAAAGUAUAGAGAUAUUAAUUAUAUUAAUAAUAAAAUAUUAAUAAUAUCUCCAUCAUUGAGGUGUUUUUCUUAAAAAAAAAUGUUAGGUGUAAAAUCCAUCAGAUGAAUACACAUUAAAAUGUAUAAAUAUCAAGUGCCUUCAUAAAAAAUUAAUAAUUUGAAAAAGAAAAGAGAAAAAAGAAUAAUUAAGAGAGAUAAAUGAAGUGGAGCAAAAUUGAUAAACUUAAUUUUCAUCUAUUUAUAUUAUUUUUUCCCUGCAAAAUAUCGAGCUGGAGGCCACAUGCUGCGCAUUCUACGCUCAUCGUCAACGUUAAUUUUCUUUUUUUUAAGGAAAAUGAAGGUCUGAAUGGGCACAUCUCCCUCUCCAUCUCUGACCAUUCGCAUUCACACUUAAUAAGCACUGUAUUUUAUAUAUAUAUACUUGCAACAAACCUCUGACUGUGGUUGGGCAAGUUGAUCUGCGACUUCCGAUGGCCUCUCGCUGGGGGAUGAACAGGGCAGAUAGCCAGAGUGAAACUAGAGGUAUUAAUUUUUUUUUAGCUGCAACUGAGUAACGAGUUCAAUAGUAAUAGUUUCAUGGAACUUUCGUUUCAUUAAACUAUUUGAGGCAUGUUGUUUAUUGAUUGUCACUGCGCACAGAUCGGAAUGAAUCUGGCUCAUCUCCUGAGAAGAGUCGAAGUUAUGCAUCUAACAAUUAUAAGGGUAUUGGGCCAAAGUCAUAUUCAUACAGUGAACUAGCAAAGGCAACUGGUCUUUUCUCGCUCAAUAACCAACUUGGUCAAGGUGGUUUUGGUCAAGUUUUUAAGGCAAUCUUAGAUGGUAAGAUCCGUGCUAUCAAGAAACUUAAUAAUUUUCCAGAUAUACAGUCUGAAGGAGAUUUGGAGAGGGAGAUUAUGGUCGUCAAUAGAGUCAGUCACAAAAAUCUUGUUAAGCUGGUUGGUUACUGCAUUGAUGGAGCCAACAGAUUACUGAUAUUGAAGUAUUUUCCCAAUAAGUCCUUGAAAUAUACAUUACAUAGUGAGUCCCAUGCACAUUCUUUCUUUUGCCCAUGUUCAUGUAUAAUUAAUAUUUCGUAAUUAAUCUUACAAAUUACAAAUCAUUUUGUAGGAAAGGAGAAUGUUUUAGAUUGGAAAAAAAGAAUGAAUAUUGCAAUAGGUUCUGCAAGAGGAUUGGAAUAUUUACAUGAACACUGUGAGUAUAUAAUAGAGAACAUAUUUUUGCUUGUUAGGCUUUUAAAUUUUGGGAGUGAGUUUUUAUUAAACCUUGUUUAUUUCUUCUAACAGUUCUGUGUUUUCUUUAUAUUAUUUUCAGGUAAACCUAAAAUUAUACAUUUAGAUAUCAAACCUGAUAAUAUUCUUCUUGAUAAUGAUUUUGAACCUAAGGUAAGAUAGUUUGAUAAUAAAUAUAAAUUUUAUUUAUAUCAUCGUAGAUGUAUGCUGAAAUUUUGAUCAUUUUAUUCCAAAAUUUUAUUUUUGAAAAAUUAUAUCAACCCAUUAAUUUGAUUGUUGUAAUUAAUUAAUAAUGAACCUUAAUAAGGCUUCUUAUCUUCUUUUCAUGCUCUACUACUUUCUUAAUAAACCUUAUUGGAGUACGGAAAAUAGUAUAAUUUUCCAAAUAAAAAAUAUAUAUAUUCGUGAAAUUAAAUGUGAAAAAUAAUUAUACCUUUUAAUUAAUAUUUAUAUUACAUAUGCAUGGCAUAAUAAAUUUACUAAUCUACUUAAAUCAUUUGUUUAGGUUUCAGAUUUUGGACUUGCCCUAUUCUUUAAGGAUGCUGCUACUCACGUAUCCAGAUCAUCAACUUUGGGAACUCAUAUGUACGUAAAAAAAAACUUUCUUUCUAUUAUUUAAUUACUUCACUAUUAUUGCCUUUUUUUUUCAAUGUCGUCGUUAUCUAAUCUUAAAAUAAUUUAAAAAAUUAAAUUAAAUUAAAAAAAAAAAAGAAAAAGUAAAAAAAGAAAUUAGGCUCUUAAUUUGAAGAUAUUAGUUUUUUAAAGAAAAUCUUAACACAAAUUUUAAUUGUAAUUGUAAUGAUUUAUUAACACAAAUUUUAAUUGUAAUUGUAAUGAUUUAAUUACAGUUAUGCAGACCCAUUAUCAACGAAAUUGGAAAAAUAUUCUGAUAAAUCCGAUGUUUAUUCUUUUGGUGUUACGUUGUUGGAGCUUAUUACUGGACAAAAUUCUAUUAUUGAUGCAAGCACCGACAUCGUUACUUGGGUAUGACUCUUUAUUAUUAAUAGUUUAAUAUAAAAAUUACAAUAUAAAAAUUGUGAUAUAAAAAUCAAUCUAAAAGAAGAAUUGAAUUCAAAUCUCAGUUGGAUGUAUUUAAUAAUGAAUCAUUCUCUAUAGCCACAUGAAAAAAAUAGAAAAGGACAACCCAUAUGCUAUAAGUUAAAUACAAAUGUACAUGCAACAUACAUUUAUGAUCCAUUAAUAAAUAACUCAUUAAUGAUAUUGUAGGCAAAACCUCUAAUACAAAAGGCUUUGGAGGGAGAAUAUGCAGAUUUUGUAGAUUCAAGAUUGCAAUCUUUUGACCACGAACAAAUGCAUAGAAUGAUUUUUUGUGCUAAUGCUUGCAUAAAUCAACCGCUAAAAUAUCGUCCAUCAAUGAAAAUGGUAAAAUUUAUUUUUAUAAUUUAAUUUUGAUAUAUUUCAAAACUUUGUCUAUAUAUAUAUAUAUAUAUAUAUAUAUAUAGAUUACAUAAUAUAUUCAAUUGAGUUUGCAGAAGCGUUGAGAGAUCACAUUGUUGACUUAUAAAUCUUUUUAUCAUUGAUAUGCCAUGUAGAUACUUUUAGCUCUUGAAGAAAUUUUGCCUCUAGGAAAUCUGUGCGAUGAGAAGAACAACAACAAAUUGCAAUUGAAAGCUACUUACAAAGGUAAAUUUCUUAUAAAAAAUAAAAAAUAUCUAUUUCGAAAUGUUAUUCAUUUUUUUUAUGGAUAAAAUAUAACUUAAUGAUAAAGUGGAAUCAUCUUAAUGUUAAAAAACUGAACAAAUUUUAAUUUAUUUAAAUGACAUAUAAUCCUUUAUUUAAAAGGAGGAAGGGAUGACAUGAACUGAACUAAUUCACCUUUUUGUAAAAAAAAAGUAUCCACCUCUGUUCAUGUACUUGAUCCUUUUUUCCUUUAAUAAUUUAUCCUUAUAGAGCUGCACUAGUUUACCAUUUUGUUUUCUGAAGCAGAUGAGCUUAAGCCAAGCCUCAAGCCUCCUAUCAAUCAAGAAACUAAUAAGCCAAGCUCCAAGCCUCCUGUCAUUCAAGAAACUAAUCAAAUCGUUGUACGGAAGGGUCGAAGCACCAGUCGGCAGCCAAGAGAAGCAACUAGUAAUAGUUCCUCCAACAGCAUUCGAGAAACUUCAUUUGAUGAGAGAAACCAAGUUUACAAACCAAGGAGAUUUACUUAUCAUCAACUAAGAUCUGCGACUCAAGGUUUCGCUGAAAACAACCUUCUCAACGGGGGUCUUUUGGGUGAAGUUUAUAAGGGUAUCCUAAAUUAUGAUGAAUGGGUGAUGGUAAAGAAAUUCUAUAUAUACAUGCAUGGAGGGAAAGAAGAUGAAUUCAAGAAGAUUAAAGACAUCAGCACCAGUGUCCACAAUAAACAUCUUGUUAACCUAAUUGGAUACUGUGAUGAAGGAGACAAUAGAUUGCUCGUUUACGAGUAUUUUCCAGAUAAGUCCUCCUUGAGAUCUCAUUUAGAAGGUAUGCACUUUUAUCUUAAGCAACUCUUGUCUAUAUUUUAUUUUUUUAUAAUAUUUACUUCUAAACCAAUCAGAUAUUUAUUUUCCCAACAGAUAAUAUGGCAGGGAAAUACCGUUUGGAUUGGCCAACCAGAAUGGCGAUCGCUUUACGCAUCGCAUUAGGAUUGGUACAUCUGCAUGAUCGAUGUGAGUCUUCCCUUGUAUGCUUAGGCCUUGGCUAUAUCAAAGCAUGAUUUUCCCAGAUAUUUCUCACUUAAUGUUUGUGAUCUCUAUAUUUUUCAGACAAGCCCUGGAAUAUAUACGAGCAUUAUAAGGAUAAUAGCAUCUUUCUUGAUGAAAUUCUUCAACCAAAGGUGAUUAUAUAUAUGGCAGAUUUAAACAUUUUCGAAUGAUCAAUUAGUGGUAAUAUUUCUCAUAUUGGACAUUGAUGAUCUGAGAUCCAGAAAAUAGGGUUUUUUACAAUGGGUUUGUGAAUCUUAGCUAAGAAGAAAAUCCCCCAAGGAGAGAAUGUUUCUUCUAUUUAUCUGUUUCCAUUGCCUAUCCGUGACGUGUAACGGCCCAACUUCCAUUGGGCCACCUGUCUCUGCCAUACUGAUACGAUCGUACAAGGAUAUCAGAUUCCUGCCCCAUGCAUAACAGCCUCUGAUUUCCUCUGGGCGCGCAUAUGGAUGGACCCACAAGACAGACGGGUCGAUCCACUUCCUGAUUCUGAGUUGGAUCCGAAGAUUGGAUUAAAACUGAGCCCAAGCCGGAUCUGUCUAAUGGGCCGUGGGGAUUGGGUCGACCUGUUUGAGGAAGAUAGCUGGAUCUCGGUCUUAAAGCUGAGUGGACCGGACCUGGUUCAUGUGGGAGACUUGAAGGCCUCCAGAUAAUGGGCUGUUGUCAUGGGUCCGGCCCCAAACCGUGAUGGCGAAAACCAGCGGUCAUCAAUUGCCCCUUUACCUCCUCGUCAAUUAUUGCCCGACUGAAGAGGGAGUAAAUACCGAGAGUCAUCAUGACCGCGCCACCCAAGGACAAAACUAUUCAAAACAUCUUUUCGGCUCUUUAUUGUUUCAAAUUUCAUUUCCCGUCAAUCUCCCCAGAACGUUGGCUCUUCUCUGUUCUACUGCUCUCUUUGCUUUCCUCUGCUCAUUUGCCCUAAUCACUUUUCAGGUACGCCUCUUCUUUUACUAUGGAUAGUUCUAGUCUCCCCGAUGUCGUCGACCAGGAGUCUAGCAUCACCCAGUCUAACAUUAGGAGUUUCAUCUCUAGGAAAUACCUGGAUACCCCUCUUUAUCACAUCCGGGCUCCUUACCCGAAUGAGAGAAUCGUUCUUCCUAAUCCUUCUCCCCCUGGCCUAAUCGACCCUCAAAGGGACGUCAGUCUAGUUUUCUUUAUCAAACAGAGGGAGUACGGUCUGUCCUUUCCCUUUUCUCCUUUCUUCAAAAAGGUCUUCCAGUAUUUCGUGAUCACCCCUCGAAUGCUAACCCCUAACUUCGUUCUUUUCAUGUCUUGCUUUGAAUCUGUGUGUUUGAGCUGGGGGUUUACACCCACGGUUCACCUGUUCGUCAGCUUCUUCAGGCUAGUCAAAGUGAGCCAGAAAUUUUAUUACUUUGCCCCUCGCGGAGGGUUGUCCAUUUUCACGGGUUAUAAAGACUCCAUCAAGGGCUGGGUAGAGGGGUUUCUGGUGGUGGAGUUGAAGAAGAAUACGGGGUUGGCUUGGGAGCUCGAUCUUGCCUGGGAGGAUGUCUCUCUAGGUUGCAACGACCUGCCCCAGUUGGACCUUACUGAGCAGGUCGGAUUCCUUCGACUGACUUCUGUGGAUAGGAAGUAUGCCAUCGAAAAGUGCUUGUUCGCAUCCAACCUUAGGGAUAUUAAGGACGCGGGUAUCUUAUUCUAUCUGCCUGUGUUAGUUUUUGCUUACGCGAUCUUUGGUGAGAACUGUUCUGAUUUGCUUUGAUUUUUAAUUUUGUAGCCUCUGAGGUGAAAAUGGAUCGGAUUAAGCCUCCCAAGAAUCUCAUACUGUCCCGGGAGAGCAUGGACACUGCUCUGGAUGCCCUCCUGGCUGGGCAAUCCAUAAGGGAGGCUACUCAAAGGGUGGCCGAGGUUAUUUCUUCCAGAUCGGGUACCCGACCUCCUCCUCCUUCGGUCUCCUCACAAGCUCCUAGGCCAAACUCCCGACGUAGUAAGUCGUCUCGGCCCUCUAGUCGCAGCAAACCGAACUCGACUCACCAGUCCUUUCAAGCCCCCCGACCUCAACACUCUUCUACUGAGAGGGCAGAAGAGACUCCAAGAAUUAUUUCUGAAGUGGCUGAGAAAGCCAGGCUGACGAGGACGGAUCCCGCCCUUCCUCCUGUGGACGCUUCUGAUGUGGGGCUUGAAGUUCCCGCUGUUAUUGAGGAGGAGGUCUCCAAGGUGGGGUUCGAGGCCCCCAUUACUGAAGAGGAAGCUCCAGGGAAAAGUAAGGAGGUUAUUCUUAUAGACGAAGAUGUCCAGGAGGCCCUUACCGGAGAUGUUGGAUCCGGCCCUGCUAAUGACGGAGGAGUCACAGAGAAGGCUGGGGACAAGCGUCCUGCCUCUCCCGAAAUGUCUGCCCCAGCUCCUGCUCGGAAGAAAUCCAGGGUUUCCAAGGGAUCAGCUCCAGCUCUCUCUCCUAUUGGAAAGAGAAAGGAAGCUUCCAAGGGAUUAGCUCCCGCUCUCCCCCCUCUCGAAAAGAAGAAGGAUGUUCUUGUGAUACCCCUGUUGUCUGCUCUUGACAACGACAUUUUGAACGCUGAGAACAUAACUCAUCAAACUCCAGCGAGUGUCGUAACGGAGAUCUUACGGGAGCGAAUGUUCGGGGGAAUCACAGAGGCUUCAGACUCUCGUCUACUUGCUUUGACCGGCCAUUUGGCUGGCUUCACACGGGAGUAGACAGCCUUCCGGUCUCUACCUCGAGGGGAGCUUGGAGAUAGGAUUAGGGAGAUGCUUCUGAUGGUAAGUUGUUCGUUCCAAUUUCUGCUCGUAUUCCAAUUUUCUUUGUUUCUUUGUUCUGACAGCUUUCUCUUUUUGUACUAGGUGAUGGGCCUCUUCAUGGUGGUGGACGCUCGUGACCUCUCUCUCUUAGAAUCUGUUGAUCGUCGGAUCGAGGAGGCGCGUCUGGAGGAGAACCUGUCUGCAACCAGUGAUGCCAGGAGCAACCUUGCGGCAGCUCGAGAGCAUGCUAGGUCCCUAGAGGCGGAGUUGUCUCACGCUCGAAGGGUUCUUAAAGAGUCUAACGAUAGGGCAGCUGCUGUUGAAGUCCGCUGUGAAGAAGUCCUGAAGCAGCUGUCCUCUACGGUAGAUGCCCUUCGUGAAAAGGACGAGGCUUUAAAUCAAAGGGACGAGGCCCAGCGUCAGUAUGAGGCCUUGAAGGCUGAUUUCGAGGGAGUCCGGGCACGUCUUAUCAAGGUGGAAGUCCAGAAGGAGGGGGCACUAGCUCGGGUCGAGGUUCUUGAGCAGGAGUUGAGUAAGAGUUCAGAUCGCAUCAGAGAUUUGGCCUCGGCGGCAGAGGAAUCUAAACUUCUCAAUCAAAAACUCUGUCAUGAGGUCGAGACUAUGGAGCAUAGAUGUUCAGCCCUGCUCAAGGAUGUCAGACUCGUUGAAGACAGGGUCCAGCUAGAGUGUGAGAGGCGUCUGAUGGAGUAUAAAGAGUCUCCCGAGCUGAAAAAAGAGAUCGAUCAGGCCUGUGAAGCGCGCCUCCAGGAUUAUAAAAGUUCUUCUGAAUUUAAAGUCAAGAUAGCUGAGGCCUGUGAGAAGCGACUUGCGGAGUUCCAAGGCUCUGAUGAAAUGAAAACUGCCAUAUGGAAUAGGGGCUUCCGCAUGUUCAUCUCUGGGUAUAAUAGAGGUCUGAGGACAGCCAGAUACGCUCUCUCUACCCCGUUGGCUGAACUCCGAGCUGUAGAGGAAGACUCUGAUGGCGAGGAGGUGCUUUAUGGGGAGGAUGACAGGCCUUUGCCCAAAGGGGCUCCUCGCACUGCAGCUGGGCCUUCUGAGGUAGGCGCCGAGCUGGGAGAUGGAGAUGCUGGGCCUCAAGGGGAAGAGAUUGUGCCUUUUGUGGGUACUGAAGAGUCUAAGCCAGAAGGUGCUGGGCCUCCCAUAGACAGUAAUGUAAAUGUAGAUAGUACAGGGGGUAAUGUAGAUGAUAAUGCCCCCAGACAUGUAAGUCCUUUAAGGACUGUUUUUCCUUCAGUAGAGUAGACUGUAAAGUAGGUUGUAAUUACUUUUAUUUUUAAUGAAAUUUAAUUUUCGAGUUGUGUUGGCGUUUUGAGUUAUUUUGAUUGUUACUUAUUUCUCUAGCUUUAUUUGUACUUGAGUUGUUCUUACCUCGGCUUGUUCUUCCCUCCUCACCGGGCUACUUGUUCUGCUUAAACAGUCUGACUUGUUUAUUUUUAGAGAUUUGAGAAUAGAACACUUAGGCAGUGUCUAACAAAUCUUGUAAGGAAUUGACUACAUUGCCUUCCCUUUCUCGCCCCUCAAUUAAUCAGGGCUGAAAACUUAGCAAGAGACUUAGUCUCUGACUUAUAAUCUUUUUUAAUUUCACAAAGGCGUUCUCAUCUGUAAAUUUUCUCCGAGCUGGAUUUGCCUUAAGGCUAAGAUCUUCAAGCUGUACUUUUUUAUGGAUUUAGGUCUUCACUAUGAGCUUGGUUUUUAACAGCUGACUUAAUAUCGUCAACUUUCUUUCCCUUAUUGUAUAUGUACGAGCUCGGGCGUGUAGCCCUUAUACGACUGAAGUAAAAAGGAUUAUGUACCUCUUUCGAGCAGGGUUGAUCUUCUUCUUUUCAGUUCUGUUUCUUAUCUGCUCACGCCGUUGAACUUCCUUUCAGCUCAUGAGAGGUUUGUUAUCUUCAUUUUAUUCUUUGAGUUUUCUGAGCUUGGUUCUUCUUCGUUGCUUGGUUUUUCGAGUUCGCGCUUCCAGGUCGGCACUUUUGGCCUUUUGUUGUCUUUCUUUUUAAUUUUAGUUUUCGAGUAUGUCUCUGCCGGGCCCUUUGCUGCUUGGGUCUUCUCCUAGACUAGUCGAACUGGUUCAGUGCUAGUCAUCAAGUUUUGAGGUCGGAAUCUUACCAGCCUGUAAUAUGAGUUUGGACGGGUAUUGUGAGAGUGAAACUCUGGUGAUGAAAAGAUCUCCUUCGUUCCCACAGACGGCGCCACUUGAUGAUCUGAGAUCCAGAAAAUAGGGUUUUUUACAAUGGGUCUGUGAAUCUUAGCUAAGAAGAAGUACCCCAAGGUGAGAAUGUUUCUUCUAUUUAUCUGUUUCCAUUGCCUGUCCGUGACGUGUAACGGCCCAGCUUUCAUUGGGCCACCUGUCUCUGCCAUACUGAUACAAUCGUACGAGGAUAUCAGAUUCCUGCCCCAUGCAUAAUGGCCUCUGAUUUCCUCCGGGCGCGCAUGGAGAUGGACCCACAAGACAGACGGGUCGAUCCACUUCCUGAUUCUGAGUUGGAUCCGAAGAUUGGAUUAAAACUGAGCCCAAGCCAGAUCUGUCUAAUGGGCCGUGGGGAUUGGGUCGACCUGUUUGAGGAAGAUAGCUGGAUCUCACUCUUAAAACUGAGCGGACCGGACCUGGUUCAUGUGGGAGACUUGAAGGCCUCCAGAUAAUGGGCUGUUGUCAUGGGUCCGGCCCCAAACCGUGGUGGCAAAAACCAGCGGUCAUCACACAUUAUUAUGUAAAAAAUUUCUUAAGCUUAUUAUUCAAUAUAUGCAACUAUACUUAACUGUAAAUAUAUGGUGCAAUAAAUUUACUUUGAUUAUCAUUUUAAUCAGUUUGCAGAGUAUGAACGUGACAAAUUUUUCUUAAAAGAUUCUGGAAAUUCUAUUACUAGCAGGUAAAGAUGAAACUUUUGUUUAUGUUUCCUCUUCGUCACAUUGCUUGCUCAAGCUUAUAGAUACAUGAUCAAUUCUCCAACUGCAGUUCUAUGUCUUCAAGAUAUGUAAAGCUAGAUGUUUAUUUCUUCGGUGUAAUUCUUUUGGAGAUAAUUACUGGGAAAUUACCUGUUAGUGAUAUUAGUUCCUAUGAUUCCUUCAACUUAAUUGAAUGGGUACGUAUUAUUUUUCUGUUUUAAUACAAAUGAAAAGAGCUUCUUGAUUUGAGUAUGUAAGGGUUUAUUUAUUUAUUAUUCUUAACGUUCAGGCUGUUCCUGCAAUUCAAAAUGAUUGGCCCAAAGGCAACUAUAAGUUUGUUGAUGAAAAAUUGGGGAGAAACUUUGACGAGGAUGAAAUGGAUCGAAUGAUAGAAUGUGCUUUAGCAUGUGUAGAGCGUUAUCCACAAAAUCGACCAGAAAUGAGUAAGGUAAUUUCAUAAAGCUUCAUAUUCUAUUUUAUAUUAUGCACAUACAUUUGAGUUUUAAAUAAUUAAGCAUUAACAGUAUUUUUAUUAUGAUUAUAAAAUUAUUAGUUUAGUACUGUUAAAGAUAAUAAUUUAAAACUGUCAUAAAGAAAAUUCAUUAAAUAUUUAAUAAAAUUAUAAUUUUAGCUGCGUUUUUUAUUCAUUGUGAAAAAAUAAUUAAACCGUUACUUUAUUUUUAACAACAAAAGUAGAUGUAAUAAUCAUCAAUCUGUUAAUAUUAAUUUAUAGUUAUAAUUAAAAAUAUAAGAUAACAAUUUAUAGCUAUUGUUUUAAAUUUAUUUUUAUAGUAAUAAUUAUGAUAAACUAAUAACAUUCAUGUGUUGUAAUUAUACUCUAAUUUGGGGAAUAAAAAAAAACUUAAUUGCUAAAAGUUAAAUUUUGUAAGAAUUAUUAAUGAAGUUAAUCUAUUCCAUUUCUUGGCAGAUCCGGUACUUUUUUUUUUUCCCUUUCUCUAAUUACUUUUCUCGGCAAAGCAGGUUGUUGAAGUUCUAGCAGGAAACAUUCCUCGGAAAAAUCUCAAGAAUUGAGAUGAAAUGUUUGAAAAAGAAAAUUAUUUUUUUCCUUUUCAAUAGAAGUUGGAAACUUCCUUGAAAGGCCGAUUGGACAUUGAAAUAAAAAGAUAGACCUCAGUUGAAGUGGCAAAGGAGUGUAACUGGAAGACUUUCUGAAUUUUGCUUGUAUUGAUGUGUCUUGGAGACUAUUGCAAUUUUUUUUUUAAAAAGUUCCGUUUGAAAUAAAUCGAAUGUAAAAAAGUGAUUUAGCUUUUAUAAAAUCAUAUUAUCUUAAAGUAAUUUUUUUAAUCAAAUCUUUUUAGUCAAUAAAAUUAAAAUUUUAGUUAUUAUGUUUUUAAAUAUACAAAUUAAAUUAAAUUCUUAUAAAUUUUUAGUUUUCAAACAGGAAAAUAAAAGGUUUUGGUAGGUUUGAAUCCAAAUAAGAACCUUGAGAGAAUUAUAUCACCCCAAAUUGCUGGACUAUCUACAGUAGCAUUUCUUUUUCAAAAAACAAUUGAAAAUGAGGUUAAUUCUUAUUCUAUUAACUAAAAUUAAAAAACUUUUUUUUUUUAAAUGAAGAUUGGAGAAAUAAAAUUUAAGAUCUCACAUAUUUAUUUUUUUUAAAAUAACAAGAAAACUUCAUUAAUUCAAAGAGAACAAAGAAACAAUAUGAGAAUGAGGGAUAUCAAUCCAAACUCCUUGACCUGACUCAGAAUGAGCCGAUAUUGCUAGAAUAUGAGCGACAUCAUUCGCAGAUCUAUGAACAAAAACACACUUUGCUUCCUCAUAACUAGAUAGAAGCAGUUUACAAUCUUGAACCAAAAGGGCAAAAAACGAUAAAUCAUCUAACAAAACACAAUUAACUGACAUCACAAGUACCUGAGCAUCCAAUUCGAAAAGAACUCGAUCCCAUCUACACUCUUUAAUCCAGCUCAAUGCUUCCCGGAAUGCUAUAGUUUCAGCACACUUUGCAUCCAUCUGGCUAUAAAAAGAUGCUGCUCUAGCAGCCACAAAACUCUCAUCAUCCUUCCGGAUUACACAACCGAAACCUACCGAACCUCGUUGCAAGCUUAAAUAGGCGUCAAUGUUCGCCUUGAUCCAACCGUGCGGCGGAGGAGACCAGAUCGGGCGAGCCGGGUCGACAAUGGUGCUUACUGAGGACACGACCCGGGCUACUUUUCAUUGCUGCAAAAAAUUCAGAGCCAUGAAGAACACACCACUCGCAGUCUGACCCUGACUCUUCCAUACAACAUUGUUCCUAUUUUGCCACAAAGCCCAUAAGAUCAUUAGCAUAAGGGAGGCAUUUUCCACAGAAGCAGAAGAAAAGGCUAAAGAAAACCACUCAUUUAAAGAAGAUGCAGAAGGCGCAGGCCAACCCAAUGGCGAGCUUAACCAGCAGCUGCGGGCAAAAGGGUACUGAAUCAGAAUAUGCAAGACAUUCUCAGGGGCUACAUGACACAACAGGCAUGAAGGAUCAACUGGGACUCUCUUGGACUGAAGUGACGAGAGGCAAGGGACAACAUUAACUAGAGCCCGCCAGCAGAAAUUGAGCACUUUUGGGGGAACUUUAGCUUUCCAGAACCUUUUCCAUAUCUCGCUCCCUUCCCUAUGUUGAAAGCCAUCAACCAGGAACCUAUAUGCACUCUUAACCGAAUAGUGACCUUUGGACUCGAAUUUCCAGCACCAUGUAUCAGAACACGAUGAAAGACUAAGAGGGAUGUUCAAAAUACAACUUCUAUCUCUUUCGUUGAACAUCUGUGCAAUUAAACUCUCGUUCCAUCUGUAGUUAAUUAUGAGAUCUGAAACAACAACUCUAGCACAGUUCAAAGGAGGGGUUGUGGAAACCAGGGACUCAGGCAACUCUCUCAACCAGGGUUGCCCCCAGACUGAAACUGACUAACCAUUCCCAAUCCUCCAGUAAGCCCCAGCUCGAAUUAGACCCCGAGUUUUCCAUAUGCUGCGCCACAAAAAACUAGGGUUACUUCCCAAAGGAGCUUCAAAGAAAGAUUGUGUCGAAAAAUAGCGGGCCUUAAGGACACGAGCCACUAAGGACUGAGGCCUAUUUAAAUAUAUUUAUCACCAGAUUGUGAGUGUAAUAUUUAUUAUAUUUUAAUUAUAUUUUAAGAAUUUAAUACGCUAAUAAAUCCUAUAGAGAUGUAAUUGUAUAUUUAAUAUUAUUUUAAUCUUUAAGUCAAAAUCAAUAAUUUCAACUCCAACCAUAGGUUAUGGCACUAAUCAAGUAACAGAGAAAAAUAUUUUUAAAGGGAAAUACUUAUUUUUAAUAAAACAAAUUAACUCAGAGUUAGCUUCUUUUAUUAGUUUAUAUGAAUUUUAUUAUAUUAAUAAUAAAAAUAUAUUUGUUAAAUAUGACCAAAAUUUUAAAAAUGACCCUCUUUUAAAUUCCAAUAUUAAAAUGACCAAGCUUAUUAUUAAUUUAAUUCCAAUAACUUAUCAUAUUUCUCCUUAUUAUCCAUAUUAAACAAUGACCAAGAUUUUAAAAUGACUCUCUCUAAUUUAAUUCUAAUAUUAAAAAUGACCAAAUUUAUUAUCUAUAUUAAACAAUGACCCAGCUUUUUAAAAAUGAUCCUAAGAUCAAACUAACAACUUUGUUGUUUCUUCAUUUAUUAAUAUGCAAGUGGGACAUAAGAAAUCAUUAGUUAAUUAAUUUGGUACGUCCUAUUUUAUAAUACACUGACCAAUCUGAAAGCUGAUUGGCCCCCACAAAUGGAUUAAUUAAUAAUUCAACGUUCUUAAUUAAUGCCGCCUUCAUUGACAGCCUGGGUACUGUUCAGAAACUAACAAUAUAGUAACCUUUGCACCGACUCUGCAUAAUUUGUAUUUUUUUAAUACUCCCUACUUUGAAACUUUAAUUUUCGCUAUGUGUGAUUCAGUAGAUUCGAUUGAAAAUUAAAAUUUAAAUAUUUUUAAAAAUUAAGUUGAAUUAAUUUUAAUUAAAAAUUAAAUUGAACUGAAUUUAUUUAAUUCAAUAUUAUUCGAUUCGAUUUGAUCGAUUUAAAUUUUUAAUAAAUUUUUUAUUUUUUAUGUUUUAUUUUUAAUAAUUUAAAAUUUAAUUAAAAUAUUUUAAUUUUAAUAUAAUUUAAUAUUUUUAUAUUAUUAAAGAUAAUAAAUUAUUAUCAUUAAUCGGUUCAGUGUAAUUUUUUAAUUUUUUUUAUUAAAAUUUAAAUAAAUUGAAAUAAUUGAAAAUUUUAAAAUUAAAAAUCAAAACAAAUUAAAAUAAAUAAAAAAUUAAAUUAAAAUUUUAAAUUAAUUCAAUUCGACCAAUUUUUUCGAUAUAAACCAAAUACUAUUCACCAUAAUUUUUAUCAUUGCGGUCAAAAUUAGAUAAGAUAUUUUUUUAUUAAAAAAAUAUUAUGCACAUGUAAAACGUAUAGGUUAAAAAUAUAUUUACAUAUUUAUAUUUUAAUAUUAUAUACAAAACGAUACAAGAGUGUAUAUAUAUAUAUAUAUAGAUGACUGACUCUCUCUCUCCUUGGCUUUUCAUUUCCUACCUUGACUAACUCUCUCUCUCUCUGUCAUCGUAACCUUGUGGGCAGCCAUGGCUGGGUCUUACUUUCGCUGGUUCAAGAAUAACGAAGGAAACGCCAGUUGCCAAAACAGAGGAGGUAUAUCUUUUGGGCAUAUACUGUAAGAUAAGUCCAACUCUAUUGGAAUUUCUUACCUUCUAAUAUCUAUAUUAAUAUAUAAAAAUCCAAAUCACUGUAUCAUGAUCAUAUAUGACUAGAUUUGUUUGUUAUGUUAUAGAUCUAUUUUUCUUAUAAGAUUUAUCAAUUUUUGUUUUUCAGAUAUUAAUUAUUGACAAUAAAACUUAUAUUUAAAAAGAAAAAAAAAAAACCUUCUCAUUUGAUUCUCUUUUGUUUUCCAUUAUUAAAAACAGAGGAAAAUGCCAUUCCAGAACCAAGCAGAGGAGGUAUGUUACAAGUGAAUUGCUAAACAUCCUAUUUGAAAUUUUGAUUAUGUGUGAAAUUUAUAUUUGCCAUACUACAUCUUUUAGUUUCGUAAGGAAUUAUUGACUUAAAAGUAGACCUAGUCGGAUCUAUUCAAGCCGUGAAUGAAAUGAUCCGUUAAAUUUUAGGAUAGAUUAAUUAAUCAUUUUAAUUUUUGAAUAGUUUAGAAAUUUUAAAUUAGAAAGACUUUUAAAAUUUUAAAUUUGAAAUGACUAAAACGAAAAGAUUUCAUGUUCUACCCUCUCAAUCUCCAUUUAAAAUUAAAAAAAUUUCUCUUCUUAAUCAUAAUUAAAAUUACACUACAAUCUAUUCAAUUUAAAUUAACAUCUUUUAGUUUUCGUUUAAUUUUAAAUUUUUAAAAUAAAUUAUUUUAUAAAAUUCUACCAUUUUUUAAAAUUAAUAUAUAAAUAAAUUAAAUUAUCAAAUAAUUAAAUUAAUUUUUUUACUUGUAAAAAAAUAUUUUCAUUUAAUUUUUUUUUAUAUCAUAUGAAUGGGUAUAUUUUGUAAAAAAACUUAUUUAUUGAAUUAUGAAUUAAAUAAUUUUUAGUACUCAUAUUUAUUUCUUUACGAUUUAUUUAAUUUUAAGUAAUUUUUUUUUAAUUUAUUUUUUUACGUAUGUGUGGAAUUUAUGUUUGAUUUUAAUCCCAACCCACAAAAUUGCAGAAUAACAAAAUUAGCAUUUGAUCCAGGUGUUCACAAGUACAGCUUUGAAGAGCUAGCAAAGGCAACAGGUGAUUUCUCCAACAACAACCGCGUUGGACUGGGCGGUUCUGGUCAAGUUUAUAAAGGAACACUUCCAAAUGGUAAACAAGUUGCGAUUAAGAGGCUUCAAUAUAAUUCAGAUCCUGAGAAACAGCGAAUGGAACUUCUAUUUGAGGAUGAGGUUAAAACCAUUAGCCGCACUUGUCACCGGAAUAUUGUGGAGGUCGUCGGAUACUGCAGCGAAGAAGCUGAUCGAUUGAUUGUUUACGAGUUCGUUUCCAACAAUUGCUUGAAAUCUCAUAUCUAUGGUGAGUACUUCUCAAAUUUUCUCAUUGGAUUUAUAAUUUAUUUAUCAUGAGAAUUAAAUGAUUAAGCCAUCUUGUUUGGUUACAUAAGUGGGAAGAAGACAGCAGAAAACGGUGACCGCCCCGAUCGAUUGGCCAACCAGAAUGAAGAUUGCUUUGGGUACAGCAGAAGGAUUGGCAUAUUUGCAUGAAAAGUGUGAGUUUUUAACUAUAUUUAGUUUUUUUUUUUUCAAGUUUUUCUAUAUUGCACUUUAUGCUUUUUAAUUUUAUGCAUUCUCAGGCAAAGGUAAACCAAGAAUCAUCCACAGAGAUAUUAAAAGUGACAAUAUUCUUCUUGAUGAUGAAUUUAAUCCUAAGGUAGGAUGAUAUAUUUACAGAAGAUAUUUAUGAAAAAUAAUUCAACAGCUAAACAUUUUAUAUUAUGAUUUCAAAAGUUAAUAUUAAAAAUGUAAAUAAAGUUUAUAUUUAUAACAAUUAACUGUUUUAAAAUACAAAUUGUAAGAUUCAUAUCAACUUCGAAUUUGAAUUUAACUUGUUAGUUAUAAAUUAAUUUGAAUAAAACAAUAAAUUACUUCUAUCAAUUUUUUUCCCUUUAGAUUGGAGAUUUUGGAAUUUCCAAAGAAUUUGCGGAUUCAAAAACUCACGUUUCCACUAUCCCAAAGGGAACUCCAGAGUAAGAUUCGUUCUUAUUUGCUUGCUAAAUUUUCUUUUUCAAAGAAAAUUCGUUGAAUUGGUAGUUCUCAUCUGAUGAACGCUUUCUUUAAGUGCAGUUAUCUCGCCCCCGAGCAUUGCACCGAAGAUGGCCAAAAUAAGAGGCUCACCGAUAAGUCUGAUGUAUUUUCUUUCGGUGUCGUGCUUCUAGAACUAAUUACGGGAAAAUUAGCCGUUUUUGAGAAGGAACGCAGGGAAUAUAUUUUCUUAACUAUUUGGGUACUUAAAAAUAAAUAAUAUGAUAUUUUGUAUUUUCAAUAUUCAAGGUUUUUUGUUUUUUAUUAUUUUUUUCCCUGAUGGAAUGCUUAACUGACCUUUGUACAUCUAUUUUCAUUAUUCACAGGCCGUGCCUCUACUGAAACAAAUUUUGGAUGCAGAGUAUCAAGAUUUGGAUGCUGAAAAUUGUAAAGAGCUUUUUGAUUCCAAAUUACCGAAUAAUUUUGAGAAAAAUGAUAUGAAACGACUCAUUUAUUGUGCUGUUGCUUGUGUAUAUAAACCUGCGAAUUUACGCCCACAUAUGUGCAAGGUAAAUUCACAAAACCAAACCAGUUAUUUUUGGAUUAUGCUUUGCAUGUGAUUAUCAGUAAAAAUAUAUGAAAUAUAAUUUAAAAAGUACGUGAAAAUUAUUUGAUAAUUUUGCUGUUGAUUAAAAAUUGGGAGAGUGAUUGCAUGUGAUUUUGUGAUGCAGAUAGUUAAAGUACUAAAUGGAGAUCUGGAACCCAAAACUAUAUGGGUGAGAAGUGAUUGCAAGUACCUAUACAGAGGGUCACCUUACACUCCAUUUCCUCAAGCUCAGGGAACCUCCAGCUCUUGAGCUCUAUCCAAUACAUGAAUUAUCCUGGCCUUGUAACAAAAAAGUAUGUGUUCUUGCUAAAUGCACGUGCUUUUCUAAGGGAUCAAUUAGUUAAUAAGAAUGUGUUGAACUUUUUUUAAAUAUUAAUAAUGAUUGAUAUUGAAUAAUUUUUCAUAUAUAUAUAUAUAUAUAUUGGCAAAAUACAUAAUAUCCAUUAAGUAUUAUUUUAAAACAAAGAGAUAAUAAUUUCUUUUAGUGAGGGUCCCUUCGAGGUGCAACAUAUCGAUGUAUAUAUAUAUAUAUAUAUAUACAUAGGUAUGAUUGGUAAAUGUAUGGAAAAUUUUUUUGGAUAAAUCAUAAGCCGAAUCCAACAAAAUAAUUAACAAUUUAAUAGCUUUUGAUAAUUUCAAAUUGAACAUUUAUAUUUAAAUAUAUAUAUAUAUAAAAACACGUAAAUAUUAAUAUAAAAUUAUUCAAUUAAUAUCAAGAUUGAAGCAAUAAAAAAUAAUCUAUUCUAAUUCAAUAAAUAUAAAUUGUGUAUAGAGUGAAUAUGAUCAAAUUCAAAAAAAUUAACACUAAAAACCUUCGAUCAAUAAGUAGAAAAAAAAUAAACAAUAAAAGUAAAUUCGAGAUUUUGAUGAAAAUUUAUUUAAAAUAAUAAAUUAAGAUAAUUUAAUAAAGUAAUAAUAAAAAAAAUUAAAUCAAUACAGAUAAAUUCUAGUCGAAUAUUAAAAUUGAUUUCAAUUCUGAAAAUUGAUUAUAGAAAUAAUAAAUUAGUUCUAAUUAUAGAAUACGCUCUAUAUAACAAAUUUAUCAUUAGGUGUAAAUUAAUUAGAAAACGUUCGCUAAUUAAACCUAGUUAACAAACAACCCAAAGAACAUAUGUUGAAUUUAAUUUAUCAACCCUUUUAAGAAUUAGAGAGACUCAAUUGUAACCAACAAAUCAAACCGUUUGAUGAGUUCAAGCUACAUCAUGUAAUUUUUUAAUGAAUUACACUAAUUGUUACUUGUUGUUAAAUAAAAGCAAUUAUGAAAUUCAAACAUUUAAACUAACAACAUAUCACUUUGAAAAUAUAAACAAUGGGCUCUAUUGGUCAAAUAACAAAACAAUAAUAAUAACAACCGAAAUUGUAUAUAUAAAUAUUGGAAUAAUAAAAUAUGAACAAUAAUUGUCACACCCAUUCUUUAAUCUGUAGAGAUGGAUAUGACUCGAAAAGCUGACAGAGUUCCCCCUAAUAUUAUGCAUAUAAAUGUAUAUAACCUGCUAUAAGUUUUAAAAUAUUAAAUAUAUAAGAGAAAACUGAUGGUUGUUCUAGUCAAUUCAUAAUAUAUUUACAUUAAACAAAAUAUGUUCCUCACUGGAAUGUACAAUCUAUACAUGAUCUUUCAAAAUUACAAAAAGAUAUGACAAAAGACCUAGGAUUGGUCCGACCUCCUCUAGACUCUGAGUGGACGAUGUGCAAGGAAAGUCAAACUAGGAGAUGCGGACUGCUGACCGGAUCACCGAAAAGAAACUGAAAUAAUAAAAGUAUAAGGGUGAGUACAAAAUACUCAGUGAGCGGAUAAAUAAAUAACAAAGGGGAAAAGAUAAAGUUUAGGUACUUAAUAGUACCAAAUAUUUAGCUAAAAUAAGUCAGCUGAAUAAAUACAAUUUAAUUCAAUUAAUACAAAUAAACUGUGAAAAAUAGAGUCCGCAUACACUCAUAAUAUGUUCCCUGUAGAUAAUGCUGACAUCUCAGGUGUGAUAAAAUAAUGACAGCCUGAGAGCAAUGCUGGCAUCUUAGGCUCUAUGAUGACAAUUUUGGCCCAAAAACAGUACAUAUAUAUAUAUUUGGUGCAUAUACAGAGUGUAAUCGGCUAUUUAUUCAGUUGUGCUUUAAAUUCAAUUUCAUUCAUUAAAGAAAUAUAAAUUAUCUUUAUCCUUUCCCAACUUAAAUAAACAAAUAAUAUAUAUAAAUAUAUAUAUUUAAGAAAAAUAUCAAUGUUAUAUAUAUAUAUAUUUUUUUUGAAAUAGGGAGUCGAACCUUAGACCUUUCAAGGCUACAGGAUGCACUUUCCACCAGGCUAAGCCUUGGAGUGCAUCAAUGUUAUAUAUUUAUCCACUCAUCAGUACUGAUGAUAAAAAUAAUCUAGAUUGCACGAGUACCCCUAUUAUCUAUCCCGGAAGCUGGAUCCUCUCCUAGAAUUAAAAAGAAAAAAAUAAUAUAUCAAAUAAUAAAUAAAUAUUUUAGAAUGAAAAUAUAAAACGUAAAAUACAAAAUUUUAAAUAUAUUUAUAUAUAUAAUUUUAAGAAAAAUUCGGCAGUAUUUUGGCAUAGCUAGACCUCCCAAAAUACACAAUCUCAAUAAAAAUACACAAUAAACUAUAAAUAUUAUAUAGAACAAUCUAUGAAAAAUCAUCAAUCUAAAAAGAAAUAUAGAAUUCCAUUAAUUGGGUCUAACUAAAACUUAUUCCCUUUUUAUUCUCAAAUCACCAAAAAUCACUAUUUAAUGGUAGAGAAAAUAAAUUAUACCAUAAUAAUUCGAAUAAAAGGGAUAAAACUCACCUACCCAAUUUUGGAGCCUCUGGAAGAAAUUAUUGAAUUCAUGAGCAGGAUAUUGGUUUAAAAUAGGAUCUAGCCGAGAAUUUUAGAAGUUUAUGGGUUGAUUGGGUUGAACAGAAGGAGAUUUGGGUUAAAAGAGGAAUUUUUUUUUUAAUAACAGAGGUUGUUCUGUUUCUGCUUUCUUCGGGAGGAAGAGAGCUCGCUCUGGUUUCGGGACGGAACUUUCCCAAAACCAGAGCUUUUAAUGCUCUCUUUUCUUUUUUUUUUUAAUUUUAUUUUAUUAAUUAUUCUUAUUAUUUUAUUAAUAAUAAUUUUAUAUAUAUAUAUUUGUAAAUUAUGGGCCUUUCUCUUUAUUCAUUUUUUUUUCUUUUUAAUUUUUAUGGGCUGGGCGUGAUAAUUCUCUUCUGCUAAAAGAAAUUUCGUUCUCGAAAUUUUACAUAUCUGGUGAAGGGAAUAAAUGUGGGAAUUGAAUUCACAUACUCUCUUCUUUUUCCCAAGUAACUUCUUUAGCAGAGUGAUUACUCCAUCGAACUUUAACCAGGGGUAUUAUUUUGCUCCUUAGAACCUUCUCUUCUUUCGCAAUGAUCUCAACUGGCUCUUCUUCGUAUGUUAAAUCUUCCCUCAACUCGAUAGGCUAUUUUUGGAGGAUGUGGGAAGGGUCACUUCUGUAUCUCCUUAACAUAGAUACAUGAAAGACAUCAUGAAUCUGAGAUAGCUCUGGAGGUAGUGCUAAACGAUAAGCAACUGGUUCAAUUCUCUCUAAAAUCUCAUAUGGUCCUAUGAAUCGCGGACUCAAUUUUCCACGUUUGCCAAAACGUACAACCCCUUUCCAAGGAGAGAUCUUUAGGAAUACCUUGUCGCCAACAUUAUAUUCAAUAUCCCUUCUCUUCAGAUCUGCAUAACUCUUCUGUCUGUCUUGUGCUGCUUUUAAUCUACUUUUGAUCAUCUGAAUUUUAUCUGUAGUGUGUUGUACUAGUUCUGGACCUUCUAAUUGUCUUUCCCCUACCUCAUUCCAACACAAUGGUGUUCUGCAUCUCCUCCCAUACAAAGUUUCAUAAGGAACCAUGCCGAUACUCGAAUGAUAACUAUUAUUAUAAGAAAACUCCAUUAAAUGCACAUACUUAUCCCAGCUUCCUUUAAACUCCAUCACACAAGCUCUCAGCAUAUCCUCCAAGGUCUGAAUAGUUCUUUCUGAUUGACCAUCAGUUUGAGGGUGAAAGGAAGUGCUAAACUUCAACUUGGUGCCUAAAGCAUUUUUCAAGCUAGGCCAAAAACGAGAAGUGAAUCUUGGAUCUCUAUCUGAAACAAUAGAAAUUGAAGCACCAUGGAGUCUUACAAUUUCAUGGACAUAGAUCUCUGCUAAUUUGUCUAAAGAAUAAUCCAUCCUGACAGGCAAAAAGUGUGCUGACCUGGUUAAUCUAUCAACUAUCACCCAUACUGCAUUAUAUCCGUGCGAAGUACGAGGUAACCCAGAAACAAAAUCCAUAGUAAUGUGUUCCCACUUCCAUUCCGGAAUAGAGAGCGGUUGCAGGUUUCCUGUUGGAUGUUGAUGUUCUGCUUUAAUCUGUUGGCAAACUAAGCAUAUGGACACAAAGUCAGCUAUUUCUUUCUUCAUGCCUGGCCACCAAUAAUUUUCCUUAAGAUCUCUAUACAUUUUUGUACUGCCUGGAUGCAUAGAGUAAGCAGAACAAUGAGCUUCCUCCAUAAUCUCUUUCUUCAAACUUUCCACUCUGGGUACACAUAGUCUAUCACCAAACAUUAAAGUCUCAUCCUCCCUUAGGGAAAAGUCAGUACGGGUGCCAUCUCUUACCUCAUUACUGAUCUUACUCAACUGCUCAUCUUGAUUUUGACUUUCCUUGACUUUUUCUAUCAAAACUGGUUGAACUUUGAGAGUUGCCAACAAUGCUCCUGCAUCAUCCACUGCUAGUUCUACCCUUAAGGAUCUGAUCUCUAGUAACAAGGGAAGCCGAACUGUUUUGAGAUAAGCCAAAUUACUAAAGGACUUGCGACUAAGGGCAUCAGCUACCACAUUAGCUUUACCUGGAUGAUAUUCAAUAGUACAGUCGUAGUCCUUAAGUAACUCAAUCCACCGUCUCUGCCUUAAAUUCAACUCCUUCUGUGUGAGAAGAUACUUCAAACUCUUGUGAUCUGUAAAAAUCUGGCAAGUCACGCCAUAAAGAUAAUACCUCUAUGUCUUUAAUGCAAACACAACUGCAGCUAAUUCCAGAUCAUGGGUGGGAUAAUUUAAUUCAUGUGGUCUAAGCUGUCUAGAAGCAUAAGCUAUCACCUUCCCAUGUUGCAUGAGUACACAGCCUAAACCCUUAUGAGAAGCAUCACUAUACACCAUAAAUCCAUCUGUACCUGAGGGUAGGGUAAGAACUGGGGCUGAUGUGAGACAUGUUUUAAGCUUCUCAAAACUCUCUUGACAUUCAUCUGUCCAUUCAAAUUUUGCAUUCUUUCGAAGGAGUUUAGUCAAUGGUGCUGCAAUGAUGGAGAAAUCCUGAACAAAGCGACGAUAAUACCCUGCUAAGCCCAGAAAACUUCUAACCUCUGUAACAUUAGUUGGAGGGUCCCAAUUGACUACUGCUUCAAUCUUCUUAGGAUCAACCAAAACUCCAUCUACUGAGAUAACAUGUCCCAAGAAAACCACCCGAUCAAGCCAGAACUCACAUUUGCUCAAUUUAGCAUAUUGUUGCUUAUUCCUUAAAAUUUGCAGUACUAUCCGUAAAUGCAUCUCAUGCUCUUCCUUGCUACGGGAAUAUACUAAGAUGUCAUCAAUAAACACAAUAACAAAGCUAUCCAAGUAGGGCUUAAACACCCUAUUCAUGAGAUCCAUAAAAGCAGCGGAUGCAUUAGUUAACCCAAAAGACAUAACGAGGAACUCAUAAUGCCCGUAACGAGUUCUAAAGGCUGUCUUGGGUAUUUCAGACUCCUUGAUCUUCAAUUGAUGAUACCCAGACCGCAAAUCAACCUUAGAGAAUACUUUAGCACCUUGGAGCUGAUCAAAAAGAUCAUCAAUGCGGGGUAAAGGAUACUUAUUUCGCACAGUGACUCGAUUCAAUUGUCUGUAGUCAAUACACAACCUUAAGGAACCAUCCUUCUUCUUCACAAAUAGCACCGGGGCUCCCCAAGGUGAAACACUGGGUCUUAUGAAACCUUUAUCAAGUAACUCUUGCAAUUGUGCUUUUAACUCUUUUAAUUCUACUGGGGCCAUUCUGUAUGGUGCCAUAGAAAUAGGAGUUGUACCUAGAUUUAAAUCAAUAGAGAAUUCAAUCUCUCUAUCUAGAGGCAACCCAGGAAGUUCUUCAGGAAAUACAUCAGGAAACUCACUCACUAUUGGUAUAUCCUCCAAUUUAGGUCCUUCAAGGUUACUGUCCACCACAUAGGCUAAAUGCGCUUGACAACCCUUCCGAAGCAUCUUCCUAGUGGUCAUGGUGGAAAUCACAUAAGAAGGAAGUAAACGCCUCUCCCCAAAGAAAGUGAACUUGGACCCUUCUGGACUAUUAAAUACCACUAAUUUCUCAAAGCAAUCUACUGUGGCAUGAUGACGGGAUAACCAAUCCAUACCUAGGAUAACAUCCAGAUCUUGUAGACACAAAGGCAUCAGAUCCACUAACAGCUCAUGGUUGCCCAACUUAACAACACAAUCCCUAUACACAUAUUCACAUACAACAGAAUCCCCAACUGGAGUACUCACAUCUAAUCCACCAUCUAAAGGUUUUAAUUCUCUAUCAGCAUACUCAGAGAAUGAUUGAGAUAUGAAAGAGUGAGUAGAACCAGGAUCUAUAAGAAUGUGUAUCUUUAUUAAAAAUGGUUAACAUACCAGUCACCACCUCUGGAGAUGCUCGUGCCUCCUGCUGUGUCAUAGCAAAGACUCUGGCUUGAGUGCGAGGUCUACCAGGUUGCAUCAUUGGUCUAGUCUGAGAAGAUGAAGUAGCACCACUGGCUCUGCUUGAGCUAGGCCCAACUUGUGCCGUAGGUACACCCUGUGAUUGUGUCCUACCAUACUUUAGCUUCUGAGGCGCCACUGAUCCUUGCUGAGAACCACUGUCUUUAGUUAUCAGCAAUGGAUAAUCUUUCUUAAAAUGCCCCGAAGAACCACAUUCAAAACAACCCCUAUCAAAUUUUCUGCACUCCCCAGCAUGAUAUUUACCACAGGUGAUACAUUGAGGAAAAUGUCUCUUCCUUUGUUCAAACCCAAAAUUAUAUCCUUAUCCUUGUCCACGUUUAUGUGCCCCAAAGGAACUACCCACCGGUUGUGCUACUGAACUCUGACUAAACUGUGGUCGAGUAACUUGCUACUAUGUAUUGACAAAAGAACCUCUACCACUACCACUGUAUUCAGUUUUGGACUGAAAUGAACUGUUCCCUCUCUUAGCUGGUCUCUCUCUGAACCCCUGUGAACCCUGCAUAUGCUUCCUACUCAUCCUCUGCUCAUACUCUCUCUUUUUGCUUAACUUUCUCAACGUUCAAGGUUGCUUCCACCAAUUCUCUAAAAUUAUUUCCUCUGAACCAAGUCAUAGAUGAUCUAAUAUUGACAUGUAGACCCUGUCUGAAUCUGUCACAUUUAGCUUCCUCAGAAGGCAGUAUGUCUGAAACGAAGCAAUAGAGGUCUUCAAACUUGUCAACAUACUCUCUUAUUGAGAGGCUUCCUUGAAACAACCUGAAAAAUGCAUCCUGUUUUCCCUUUCUGUAACUUUCUGAUAAAUACUCCUGGCAAAAUUCAUAUAUAAAUUGAUCCCAAGUCAGUCUAACUCCAUGUCUGCGACGAAUGCCAUUAAACCAACCAUCAGCCUUACCUUGAAGCAAUCCAUGUACAUUAUCUACCUUAUCUGGAUCAGUCAACUUCAUUAAUUCAAACACUUUUAUCACUUUCUUUAACCAUUUAUCUGCAAUGUCAGCAUCAGAAGAACCCUCAAAAUCAUAAGCCCCCAAAUGUCUAGCACGAUCCACUAUCUCCCACGGAUCUCUAGGUUUAGCUAUAAUAACUGCUGUAACUACUUGUGCCACAAAAGCACCCAGGUCUGCAUUGAUCUGAAAAGGAUUGGCUGGUGCUACAGGUGAAACAAAAGGUGGAACUGCAGGUGCAACACGAGGUGCAACUGUAGGUGCUGAAGGGGGUGAUGGUGAUGUUGGAUAUGUUCUUGAUUCAACACCAUGAGAAGCAAAAUCUCCAUGCCCUUCUCCGCUCUCAAGUAAAAUAUGAUCUGCCACCCCUUCUAGAGGUGGAGGUGUAACUGUAGGAUCCCUAUGAGGUCGACCAAUAUCAGCUAAUCUAGCUGUACGAACACCACGGCCCCGAUUUCUAUUACCUACUCUGGGCGGCAUUGUCCUACAAACGAAAAAUACGAAAAGAAUUAUCAGGAUAUAAUUAAGAAUACUGACUCGAGAAAAGUCUACAGAAUCUAUAACCUAAGCUCUGAUACCAAAAAUUUUCACACCCAUUCUCUAAUCUGUAGAAAUGAAUAUGACUCAAAAAACUGACAGAGUUCCCUCUAAUAUUAGGCAUAUAAAUAUAUAUAACCUGCUAUAAGUUUUAAAAUAUUAAACAUAUAAGAGAAAACUGAUGGUUGUUCUAGUCAAUUCAUAAUAUAUUUACAUUAAACAAAAUACGUUCCUCACUAGAAUGUACAAUCUAUACAUGAUCUUUCAAAAUUACAAAAAGAUAUGACAAAAGACCUAGGAUUGGUCCGACCUCCUCUAGACUCUGAGUGGACGAUGUGCAAGGAAAGUCAAACUAGGAGAUGCGGACUGCUGACCGGAUCACCGAAAAGAAACUGAAAUAAUAAAAGUAUAAGGGUGAGUACAAAAUACUCAGUGAGCGGAUAAAUAAAGAACAAAGGGGAAAAGAUAAAGUUUAGGUACUUAAUAGUACCAAAUAUUUAGCUAAAAUAAGUCAGCUGAAUAAAUACAGUUUAAUCCAAUUAAUAUAAAAUGAACUGUGAAAAAUAGAAUCUGCAUACACUCAUAAUAUGUUCCCUAUAGAUAAUGCUAGCAUCUCAAGUGUGAUAAAAUAAUGACAGCCUGAAAGCAAUGCUGGCAUCUUAGGCUCUAUGAUGACAAAUUUGGCCUAAAAGCUAAUAAAAUACUGGUCAUACACAUGUGCAGAGCUACCCCAAAGGGUGACCACCUGACAUACGCCCCAAAGGCUGUCUGUAUAUCAAGCGCUGUCCCAAAGACAGUACAAAUAUAUAUAUUAUGCUGAAAAUAAAUCACCUGUCAUCAAGGUGUUAUCUAUUCGGUGCAUAUACAGAGUGUAAUCGGCUAUUUAUUCAGCUGUGCUUUAAAUUCAAUUUUCAUUUAUUCAAGAAAUAUAAAUUAUAAUAGAUUCUAGUCCUAUUGGAAUUAACUCCAAAAGCCUUGUCAACCCGACUAUGAGGAGCAUAUAAAUACUUUAAAAUAUUACAUUCUAAGAGCAUAUUUUAAAAUAUUUAGGGCGCAUUUGGGAGAUAGAUGCUAAAAGUGAAAUAAAUCAUUUUAUCUAUUAAUAGUAGACAAAUUGCAUACUACUAAACCAUGCAUCUAUUGCCACAGUUGUUCAUAUCAGUAUUUUGAGAAUAUACCUUAAUGACCAAUAGUUAACAAUGACUGACCAAUAGUUAACAAUGACUCUGAUGGGUGGUUUUGCUAGAUUAAGCAAUAAUGAGUCUACGUAAAUACAUUGCUCCCGACUCUUCAAUCAUUUGAUAACCAGAGUUAUUCUUUAAUAAAUGAUCAUUAUGAGUCGAGCUCAAUAGAAUUUGAUUAAUCCUUGGAGUAUCUUAGUUGCACGCAAUUCUAAUAAGCUAGUUCAGCUAAAACAGCUAAGUUAUCACUGUUGUUGCAGCUUGCACAAAGAUGACUAACAAGAAAGGAGAAGAUAAGCUUUGCUUCAUAUUAUUUUCAUAUGUACAACAUACAUUCAAGCUCAGUAUAAAUAGACUUUUGAGCAAGUAACUGCCUUAACAGUCUUGGUUAUAGAAUACCACGUGAAACUAAUAUAAAUGCCAGCCCAACUUUUGUUUAACUAACUGGAACUAAUUUUGGUGCAAUUUUCCUCUAUAUGAUUUGAUAUCCCCCCGCAAGCUGGAGAGUAGAUAUUGACAAGACCCAGCUUGAGCAGAAUGUCUAGAAAAGGAGCAGUAGCUAAGGGCUUAUUACAAAUAUCAGCUAACUAAGAAGAGGAAGGAACAGGAAGUAGCUUGAUCAGUCCAGCAUGUAUCUUUUCUCGUACAAUAUGGCAAUCAAUCUCUAUGUGUUUGGUACGUUCAUGAAAAGUCGGGUUGGCAGUUAUCUGAAGAGUAGAUUUGUUAUCACAGUAUAAUAAUGCAGGGUGAUAAUGAGGCACACACAUAUCUUUUAAUAGAUAGGACAACCAUUGCAGCUCACAAGUAGUGCUAGCCAAAGCUCUGUAUUCAGUUUUUGAGGAAAAAUGAGAUACAGCAGUUUGCUUCUUAGCUUUCUAACUAAUUAAGGAAGAACUAAGAUAAAUGCAAAAGCCAAUUACAGAUUUGUGAGAAUCCACACAGCCUGCCCAGUCUGAAUCACUGAAAAGCUUUAAACUGAGCAGUGGAGUUGGCUGGAAAGAAGACACUAGUUCCAGGAGAUCCUUUGAUGUAUCGAAGGACUCUGUGUGCAACCUGAAGAUGUACAGAAAAGGGCUUAUCCAUGAAUUGACUAAGUUGUUGUAUGGCAAAGGAAAUAUCAGGCCUAGUUGAAGUUAAAUAUAACAAUCUACCAAUGAGUUGUCUGUACUGUGAGCAUCAGUUAAGACAUCUCCUGUGUCUUUACUUAACUUGGCUUUAUGAUCCAUAGGAGUUGUAACAGGUUUGGCCUCCAAAUAUCCAGUAUCAACGAGAAUAUCUAGAGCAUAUUUCAUUUCAUUAAGUAUAAUGCCUACUGGAGUUCUAGAAACUUCAAGCCCCAAGAAAAACUUAAGUUCCCCCAAGUCCUUGAUCUUGAAUUUGGUGUCAAGGAAGGACUUAACAAAUUGAAUUUCUGUGGGAUUGGUUCCAGCAAGGAUGAGAUUACCUACAUAUACUAAGAUGACAGUGACUUAAGAACCAGAUUGUUUCACAAAUAGAGAAUGAUCUAAAGUAGAUUGCUUAUAACUAAAAGACAUGAGAGCAUGAGAUAAUUUGGAGAACUAUUGUCUAUUGGCUUGUUUGAGUCCAUAUAGGGACUUUUGGAGCUUACAUACCUUAUUUGGAUUGGCUGUUUUGAAUCUUGGGAGAAGAAGCAUGUAGACUUCUUCGUUGAGGUCUUCAUGAAGAAAUGCAUUAUUGGCAUCAAGCUAUUCUAAAGUCCAAUUAUGAAUGGCAGCCAGGGCUAAAAGUAUUCUAACAGUUGUCAUUUUUGCCACAGGUGAGAAGGUAUCAAAGUAAUCCCCUCCUUACUGAGUGUAUCCCCUAGCAACCAAACGUGUUUUAUACCUUUCAAUAGUCAUCAAUUUUAUAUUUCACUUUAAAGACCCAUUUGUAGCCAAUAGGAGUCUUUCCAAGUGGUAAGUCAGUGAUCUACCAUGUAGAAUUCUCCUCAAGAGCUUGGAUUUAGGCCUGCAUUGCUAAUUUCCAACAGUCAUGUUUCACAGCUUGAUGAUAGGUUUUGGGUUCAGAAGAAGCAGAGAUGGUAAGAGAAAAAUGUUCAUGAGAAGAAGGUAAAUGAGCAUAGGAUAUGAAAGAACUUAAAGGAUAAGGAGUAUCUGAAAUUGGAGAUUUAGUAACAGUUAUGGUCGAUAAAUAAAUUGCAAUGAUAAUCUUGCAAAUAAGUUGGAGACUUUCUAAGUCUUGUAGACUGCCUAGGUAAAGAAGUCGAUUCUAUUGGAGGAGUAGAGGUGGGAAGGGUGGAAGGAUAAGUAUCUACAUUUGGAAUAGAAGUGUCCUGAGGAAGAAAGAGAGAGAGUGGGAAAAGACUGGGAAUGAACAUGAAGAGGGAAAAUAUUCUCAUAAAAGACUACAUUUCUGGAAAGAAAAAUGUUUCUGUUAAGAACAUCCAACAAUAUAUACCCGUUAGUGCCUUGCUUCAAGCCUAGGAAGAUGCACUUCCUAGCUCUAAGAUCAAAUUUAGUUCUUUGAGCAGUGAUUGUGGUGGCAAAGCAAAAAGAGUCAAAGACUCUAAACAACAUUUCAUAAGGUGUCUUAUUAUAAAUGAUAGGGGAAGGUAAUCUAUUGAUGAGAUGAACUGCAUAUACAACAGUAUAACACCAGUAGGACUUACAAAGAUUAGAUUGGAAGAGAAGAGCUCUUGCAAUAUUUAGGAUAUAUUGAUGAUUCCUUUCAACAAUGGCAUUUUGCUUAGGAAUUUCAAUGCAAGAAGUCUGAUGAAUAGUGCUUUUAGCUGCAUAGAAAGUGGGCAUAUCAAACUCAGGUACGUUAUCACUUCUCACAAUUUUGACAGUAAUGAGAACUGAGUUUCAACCAUAGAAAAAAAAAUCCUUGCAGAGACUGCCUUACUUGGGAUUUAGCUUGUAACAAAUGCAACCAAGUGUACCUUGUAUAGUCAUCCACUAUUGUUAAGAAAUAUUUGUGAUUGUGAAUGGAUGAAAUAGAAAAGGGCCCUUAAAUGUCAACAUGAAUUAGUUCGAAUGGCUUCGAAGUUUUACUGGUGCUAAUAGGAAAUGAGAGUUUCUUUGUUUGGCAAAAUGACAUACAUCACAGUGAUUAUUUCUUAUAACAAAAAAACCACGUAAGUGCUUUUGCAGAGUUUGAAGUCUGACAGUGGAAGGAUAACCAAAUCUUUGAUGCUAAAUGUCAAAGGUAGAUAAAGAUGACAUAAAAGUUGCAUGUUAACCUGAUGUUGCAGUGUAUAAAGCACAUUGUUUACCUCAGCUGUACCAAUUAUCUUCCAUGCGUGCAGAUUCUAUAUAAAGCAAGUAUGUUUAUGAAAGAUGAAACAACAGGGAGAAGAUCUUGUGAGCUUUGUGAUUGACAAAAGAUUAAAUUGAAAUGUUGGAAUAUAAAGAACAUCAUCAAGACUGAGAUCUAUUAAGAACUCCACUGUGCCUAAUAUGGUAGAUGAAACUUUAGUACCAUUUGACAAAGUAACAAAGAUAGGAUAAAUAGUCUUGUAGGAUUUGAAGCUAGUCAAUGAAAAGGUAGUAUGAUCUGUAGCCCAAGUGUCCAGAAUCCACUCAUUAUGUCCAUGAGUACAGGCCAAAGAGAAAUGAGUACCUGUUGAUGGAGAAUCAAAUGAAGAAACCAGAUUGGUGGAGGCAGGCUGUGACUGAGAAGGUGAUGAGCUUGAUGAAGCUACAUAAGUAUUGAGUUGUGAGACCUUAAAUAGGUUCAUUAAGCUAUGGUACUGAUCUUGAGAAAGAAUAAAAUUUGGAGUAUUUGGACCACUUUGAACAGAUUCAAUGGCUGCAUUCAAUAGAUCUUCAAAAACAACAUUAUUUGCAAUAGGAGAAUCGGUUCUGAAUUUAAAACCUAGUGGAUAACCAUGCUUUUUGUAGCAAGUGUCAAUUGUGUGUUUUUUCUUACCACAGAAGGUGCAAAACUCGGUAUCAAUAGAUCUUUAUCCUCCUUGAACUAGAUUAGGCUUUGAACGGUUAAAUGACUUGAUUCUUGAGUCUGAUUGAUCAGAUCUAAAAGCUCUACUAGCAAGUAAGCUAGAAAUGGUGCACUUCACUGACAACAAUUUAAUAUGUCAAGCAUGCAAGAAUGAUUCACGAGGGUUGUUGCAAGGUUAUUAUAUCGGUCAACCACAGGUGGUUAAGAUUGUGGGAAAGAGCAAAUAAGCUAGAAAUGGAUCAUUUGGGAGCCUUUCUCUUGUAUAUAUAUGUGAAUAGUUAGUGAUAGAGAAUAUGUACUCUGUAUGAUUUUCCUCAGUUUUACUCAAUCAAUGAAAUCCUCUCGCUCUAAGCAAACGAUCACAUAGAAUGGCUGGAUAAAGUAGUAGUCAAGCGGACAAGGAGAGAAAUCAAACUAACCUUCCAAAGUUCUAAUAAUCUUGGUAUGAAUUUGAUGAGUGCUCACUUAACAGUUGACAACUAUUUAGCUUGGAGUAGAUUAAUGUUAAUUACUUUGAAAGCCAAAGACAAGUUAGGUUUCAUAACUGAAAAGUGUAAAAUACCCAAUGGAUAUUCACUUAAAUUUAAGAAAUAAGCCAAAGUUAAUAGUAUGGUAACCUCAUGCAUUCUUAACUCAAUUUCCAAAGAAAUUAUGGAGGCUUUUCUAUGCGCAUAGUGCCAAGGAUCUACGGAAUAAAUUGGCACAUCGGCUUUGUAAAAGCAAUGGACUACUGAUGUACUAAAUCAAGAGGAAAUGAACACGCUUAAUCAAGGAAAUAUGAUUGUUAUGGUGAAUUUUAUAAAACUAAAGAAAUUAUGAGACGAAAUGUCACGUUUAUGGCUAUGUCCUACAUGCAAUGGUGGAGCUGCAAAGGAAUAAGUAGAAAUUGACAAAGGGGACAAGGUGAUUCAGUUCUUAAUGGGACCCGACAACAUCUAUGAUGAGUUGCAAAACUCACUAUUUUUUUUAUAUUAAAUUUCAUAAUUUUGCUAUAAUUUUAAUAUAAACAAUUGAUUUUUUACUUUGAUUUUGAUUUUGCACAGAUUUUGAGCUGAAAGUGUAAAAAAGAACUAAAAGAUACUGUUUUCGAGCUAUUUUUAUCUGGAAGGUACAGUCUUAUCCAAUGCUGUGACCUAAACUUAACGAAUAAAUUGCAAGAUUUCUAUUUUGCCAGCUAUACAGAGUUCAAACCUAUUUGAGAUGGUUACAAAUAUAAUCAGAUCGGGAUUAGGAUAAUAAUUAUAGGAGUAGUAGAUUUAUUUUACCUUUUUCUUUUUAAAUUUUGAAUAAUUAUUUUUUUUUGUUUAGAAAAAUCCUAUAAAAAGACUGUUUUAGAAGUGGAAAAUAUAUCUCAUCUCUCAUUCUCUCCUUUCGGUUCUUCUUCUAGCCGAAUCCUUUCUUUAUUUUCUUUUAUUUAUUUUUUAAUUUUGUUAUGAUUCUUACUGACUAAACAUAUUUUUUCAAUUGAAAGUUAAUCAAGUUGAGAUUUAUUUAUAUUGUGAGAUUUUGUUUUUAAUUUAUAUUCAUAUUAAUUUUUAUUUUCAUUUUUUUUUCUGUUUAUAAAGAACACCACCUCUGGUUUGUCUUUUAGGAAUUCAAAAGAUCUAUUGAAUUUUUUAAAAAGACAAUAUAUUGCUAAUUAAUCUAAAUAAAUACGUAAUUAUUUAAUUGGAUUAACACAAGUAGUAAUUAGCAUAUUUAUUUAUAUUAAGAAAUUAAUUGAUUUGGUUUAAAUAAUUCGCUUGCAAUUAUUGAUUAUGUUUCACGCUUGACAGACUUAUUAAUUAAUUAGGAAUUAAUUUAAGCACUGGAUAGACUUAUUAAUUAAUUAGAAAUUAAUUUAAGCAAAUUAAUUUAAUUUUGAGAAAGAAUUGGUGGGAUUGCUUGUAUAAACACUAUAACCAAAUACUAAACAAUUAAAUGAAUCAUCUUUUUAAUCAGUGAUCAACUGCAAACUUCUAACUCUGACUACUUUUGUCUGAAUUUUUUAAAAUUAUUUAUUUAUUUUAUCAUUCCAAUUUCAUUAUUUUCUUUAAUUUUUCUUAAAAUUAAUUUCUCUAAUAGAAAACUUUCUUCUUUUUUCACUUUUAAACAAUUCUUUCUUUCUUUUUUUACUUGGCAUUUAAAUUAAACAAUUUUAAGAUUUCGAUAGAAUCGAUACUCAUUCGUUCUAUCUAUAAAUUCUAUUAAAUCAAUAAAAGGAGAAUCCGUUUUAAUUGAUGGAUUCGACAUCCAUCAAUCUAUGAUCAUGUGAAGAACCAGAUUCUCUUACUUCUAUUAAUAAAACUUAUUCUAGAGCAUUCGAUCGGUUCGGUUUAAAAUCGAAUCAAAUCGAAUAAAUCAAAAAUUAAAAUUUUAGUAUUUAUAAAAAUCAAACCGAAUCAAUUUUGAUCAGAAAUUAAAUCAAACCGACCGGUCUGAUUUGAUUUGAUUCGGUCAGUUUUAUUGAUUUCAAUUUUUAAUAAUUUUUUUAUUUUUUACACUUUACUUUUAAUAUUUUAAAAUUUAAUUAAAAUAUUUUAAUUUUAAUAUGAUCUAAUUUCUCUAUAUUAUUGAAAAUAACAUAUUAUUAUCGUUAAUCGGUUCAGUUUAAUUUUUUCAAUUUUUUUUUAUCAAAACUGAAUCGAACUGAAGUAAUCGAAAUUUUUAAAAUUAAAAAUCGAACUAAACCGAAAUGAAUAAAAGACCGAACUGAAUUUUUAAAUUAAUUCGAUUUAAUCAAUUUUUUUUAGUUGAAUCGAAUACUGCUCACUCCUGGUGCCGAGAGUUGAAAAAUAAAGGGAAAUUCACAGCUUGAUAGGAGGAGUGAAUAAUGGCUAGACAAUAUUGGCAAAUGCUCAGAUCACAAAGAAGGAGAAUGGAAAUGAAAGUGCAAUACCUAUCUUCAAUAACAAUAGCCAGGUUAGGGAGUCAUGCUUCAAGUUGAUCUGCUAUCCUGAAUGGUUCAAACAGAAGAAGAAUAUGCAAGCUGCAAAUGCCCUAACUCACAAUGAUGAUGGAUCUGAAGUAAAAGCAAGUGAAGUUGUUAAAAGACCUAAAACCAAUAAUGCACAACUGACAAGCUUAAUCCAACAGAAGCUAAUAAGUAUUCUGAAAGGCAAGUCCGUGAAUGGGGCUAAUCGUGUAGAAUUCUCUAGAUUCGCAAGUAAUAUCUCUUAUUAUAAUGGUUCUUGCAAGAAUAAUAUAGAAUAAGAACUUGACUUAUUGAUAUAGGUGCAACAUUUUCAUAUGUUCCAAUCACACACUUUUCACCUCUUUAAAAUCUUUACUCAAACCUUGUUCUAUCCAACUACCUAGUGGAUCAAGUCAAUUGGCAAGCAAGACCGGAGAUAGUCAUCUAAGUCCUUCACUAACACUGCACAAGGUAUUGUUUGUUCCUACCUUCAACCAUAACCUUCUCUCUGAAUUAAUUAGCUUACAAGUGAAUCUGAGAUCAAUGUGCAUUUCUUUUCUAAUGAGUGUCAUCUACGGUUCUAGGGGUGCGCAUUUGAACCGAACCGAACUAAAUAAACCGAAAAUUAAAAUUUUGGUAUUUAUAAAAAUCAAACCGAACUGAUUUUGAUUAAAAACUGAAUUGAAUUGAAUCUGUCUGAUUCGGUUUAAUCGGUUUGAAUUUUUAAUAAAUUUUUUAUUUUUUACACUUUAUUUUUAGUAUUUUAAAAUUUAAUUAGAAUAUUUUAAUAUUAAUAUGAUCUAAUCUCUCUAUAUAUUAUUAAAAAUAAUAUACUAUUAUCACUAAUCGGUUUAAUUUAAUUUUUUUAAUUUUUUUUAAUCAAAACCGAACCAAACUGAAAUAAUUGAAAUUUUUAAAAUUAAAAACCAAAUCGAAAUAAAAUAUAUAAAAAAAUCAAAUUAAUUUUUUAAAUUAAUUCAGUUUGAUCAAUUUUUUUAGUUUAAAUUUGCUCACCCCUAAUUCCAUACCUUGUGAUACAUGUGAUUUAGCUAAUUCUAUACCUUGUGAUACAUGUGAUUUAGCAAAACAUCGUUUACCAUUUCUUAAAAGUUAAUCGAAAUCUUGUUUGCGUUACUAUAAAUUUUUUAAAUGACAAAAUUAUCAUCAAUUAAAUGAGAAUAGAUUUAUUAUUUUAUGAAAAUUUAGAAUAAAAUUAAAAAUUUAGAGUAUAACCACUAAUAAACAAAAUCAAUUUUAAUAAAAUAAAUUAAUUAAGAGUUAACUGCUGCUAUUAGAAUUGAGUAAAAUUAUAGAAUUAAAAAUUCAACAGAUGAUCUUGGUCAAUUUUAUAUGAAUUUUACUAUGAAAUUAUAUUUAUUAUAUCUGUAAAACAGUUAUAUUAAAAUUUUUUUUUCUUUCUCUUAUAAAUUUUUCACCAAUAAAUUAUUUUAAUUAUUUCUACGCGUUUUCUAUAUUAAAUAUGACCAAGAUUUUAAAAAUUGACCCUCGUAUUAUUGGUUAACAAAGUCAGACUAACUACUUCGUAGUUUCUUCAUUUAUUAAUCUGUAAUUGGAACUCAUCAUCGAUUAAUUAAUUUUGAUACGUCGAUUUUAUAAUACACAGACCAAGACUAAAACUUCCUCAAUGGAUUAAUAAUUCAACCUUCUUAAUAAUGCCAUGACAGCCUGGGUGCUGUCUGGAGAUUGCUUGCUCAAGUUUUCUUCUCUAUUUUAUUCAGUUAAUUUUGGCUAAAAUAAUUCAACUAGAAAUAAUUAAUUUUAAUUUUUAUAGUAGGAUGAAACUAAUUAAUUAGUUUCCUUUAAUAUUUUCUUAUAUAUAUAUAUAUAUAUAUUCCGACCUUCUAAUGACACCAAAGACCCCUGGCUUUUCAUUUUCCAGCUUGACUCUGUCUCUCUCUCUCUCUCUCAUCCGAGGGCUGUGUAUCAGAAUUCAGAAAGAAACCUAGUGGGCAGCCAUGUUUGGAUCUUACUUUUGCGGGUUAUGGAAUAAGAAAGGAAACGCUAAUGGCCAAAACAGUGGAGGUAUUUCUUUUCUUCUCAUAUCUAUAUAUGAAUGAUUGUUAGAUAAACAGCAAGCUUUAAUUUGGGUGUCACCGUUAUAUGAUUAAGAUUUGUUUGUUAUGGGAAAGAACUCAAAGGACUUCUCAUUUGAUUCUCUUUUGUUUUCAAUUAGCAAAACCGGAGGAAAAACCAAUUCCAGUACCAGAAACUGAUGAUGACGGCAGAGGGGAAGGUAUGUAACAAGGGAAUUGCUUAACAUCUUAUUUUUGCUUGACUUUUAGUGGCAAAUUAUUGACUUAAAAGUAUUAAAAGAAAAAAGACAAGAGUUCUUAUUGAUUCUCUUUUAUUUCCUAUUAGUUAAAACAGAGGAAACAGCUAUUCCAAUACAAGCAACUGAUGAUGACAGCAGAGAGAAAGGUAUGCAACAAGUUAAUUGCUAAACAUAUUAUAUCAAAUUUCAAACAUCUCGCUUAUGUGUGGAAUUUACGUUUGAUAUGUCUUCUGUUAAUUUCUGAUAUUGUGCAUCUAUCUAAAUAAUUUCUAAUUCACUAAAUUGCACAGCAACAAAAUCAACAAACAAACCUUAUAAUACUAAAAAUAAUUCAUGUGUGUACUUGGGUAAGCAUUUGAUCCAGGUGUUCCCAAGUAUAGCUUUGAAGAGCUAGCAAAAGCAACAGGUGAUUUCUCCAACAACAACCGUGUUGGGCAGGGUGGUUCUGGUCAAGUUUAUAAAGGAACACUUCCUAAUGGUAAACAAGUUGCAGUUAAGAGGCUUAAACAUCAUUCAGAUCCUGAGAUAGAGCAAAUGGCUCAACUUCACUUCGAGGAUGAGGUUAAAACCAUUGGCCGCAUUCGUCACCGGAAUAUUGUCGAGAUCGUCGGAUACUGCAGCGAAAAAGCUGAUCGAUUGCUUGUUUAUGAGUUCGUUUCCAACAAUUCUUUGAAAUCUCAUCUGUACGGUGAGUACUUUUCAAACUAUCACACGCUUUCUCCUUGGAUUUAUAAUUUAUUUAUCAUGAGAAUUAAAUGAUUAAGCCAUCUUGUUUGGUUACACAAGUGGGAAGAAGACAGCAGGAAACGGUGAGCGUCCCGAUUGAUUGGCCAACCAGAAUGAAAAUUGCUUUGGAUACUGCAAAAGGAUUGGCAUAUUUGCAUGAAGACUGUAAGUUUUAACUUCAUUUUUUUUAUAUAUUGAAUUUUAUGCUCUUUAUUUUUUACACACUUUAAUUUUAUAUCUUAGGUACGCCUAGAAUCAUUCACCGAAAUAUUAAAAGUGAAAAUAUUCUCAUUGAUGAUAAAUUUAAUCCUAAGGUAUGAUAAUAUAAUUAUUUUUACUAUAUAUCAUAUUAUAUAUUUAUAAAAAUUGUUAAUUUAUGUUAUAUUAAUUUGAAUGACAAAAUAAAUUACUUCCAUCGACUUUUUACUCUUCAGAUUGGAGAUUUUGGAAUUUCCAAAGAUUUUACAGAUUCAGCAACUCCCGUUUCCACUGAUCCAAGGGGAACUCCGUAAGAUUCGUAUCAUAUUUGUUCGCUAAAUUUUCUUUGUCAGAGAAAAUUCAUCAAAUAGGUUGUCCUCAUCUGAUGAAUACUUUCUCUAAGUGCAGUUAUGUCCCCCCUGAGUAUUACAACAAAGAUGGCCAAAAUAGAAAGCUCACCGACAAGUCCGAUGUCUUCUCCUUCGGUCUUGUGCUUCUUGAGCUAAUUACUGGGAAAUUAGCCGUUUUUGAAAAGCAACGCAAGGAAUAUAUUCGCUUAGCUAUUUGGGUACUUAAUUUUUUUUUUUUAAUUAACAAAAAUUUCCUUUACGAAUUCAAUAUUAUUUGAAUACCAUUUAAAUUUUUAUAUCUUUUCAACAAUCGAAAAUCAAAAAUUUUAAUUUUUAUAAAAACUGAAGUGAGAAUUUAAUAUUUUGUAUUGACAACUGACCUUCGUACAUCUAUUUGGAUUAUUCACAGGCCAUGCCUCUAGUGAAACAAAUAUUGGAUGCAGACAACCAAGAUUUGGAUUCAGAAAAUUGCAAAGAUCUUUUUGAUUCCAAAUUACAGAACAAUUAUGAGAAAGAUGAUAUGAUCCGAAUGAUUUAUUGUGUUGUUGCUUGUGUAUAUAAACCAGUAAAGUUACGGCCACAAAUGAGUCAGGUAAAUUCACAAAAAUAAAUCAGUUAUUUUUGGAUGUUUUCGUGAAUAAAAUAUUUACAUAUAAUUUAAAAAUUUAGUGUAUAUAUAUAAAAAUAUUUGAUAAUUUUGUAUGUGUUGAUUAAUAAUUGGGUGAUGAUUUUGUGAUGCAGAUAGUUGAAGUACUAAAAGGAAAUAUGGAACCCAAAACUAUAUGGGUCAGAAGUGACUGCAAGUACUUGUACGAAGGGUCACCUUAUGCUCCAUUGCCACAGGCGCAUGGAACCUCCUCCGACUCUUGUGCUCUAUCCAAUACAUGAAAACCUCGCCUUGUAAAAAAAGA